rnacentral:lncRNA from 1 species
UCCAUUUCACUUAAAUUUUUCACUGCAAAAGCACUUAGUGGUUCCAUUUUGUGUUCUGCAAUUUGAAUUAGGCCAAUCCUUGCAGUCUGCUGAUGAGGUACACACUAGCUCCAAUGGUGGAUCCCAACUGAUCUCUAUCUCAAUGCUAUUUUCCAAUGACUUCUCAGAGCCAAAAUUGUCGAUUUUGACCACUGUGCAGACAUUGGUCAUGUGAAAAGGCAGGUUUAGUGGUGGAAUUUUGUUGAUAAGACUUCGAGAACUGCAAUCUAAUUCUUUAAGUUAGAUUACAAAUGUUAAUGUCUCUAGAUUAAUGCUAGUUACCCGAUAGGUGCCACCAAGUACCUUGAACUGAACCUGGCCCGUGGUAAUGUUGCAUUCAAAAUUAAAGUACAUGGGAUCACCACACUUUGAUCCAGUGCUUAGAGGAUAAGGAAUCAUGAUUGAGCCACAAGCUUGACAAUUUCUUAUUGUUGAUUCUGCAAAUAAAAUGUAGAAUCCCUUGUUAAAGGGUAUUUCUUCCGAUUACAGUUUCUUCCUAAUGUCUAUAAAUGGAUUUAUGCUUGUGUUGAUCAAUAAACUAAAACAUGAGGUACUUCUUCUCAAGAAAAGGGGAAAAAGAAAUUGGAAAGGGACAUACCUAUAUCUGAAAUAGAUACACGAACAAAGAGAUUGUCAGCAUCAGAGUCAUACUCCUCCUGAAGACCACUAAGGUCGUCUGUCCAAAUCAAGCAUUCUGGGUUAUUGCCCCUUUAUGUUAUUUAGUUUGAGCAUAAUGUCACGGACUUAGUCGUUCACUAAGCUCUUGUGGCACUUAGGCAAGUCAAGACGCUUGAUCUUGCUAAGUCAGCCUUGCUCCCAAUGCUUAGCUUGCUAGGCUAAGACACUCACGACUCGAAAGCUUAAGAAGCUUAGUAAGCAACUCUUUAAAGGAAGCUCUUAUUAACUCAUGGAAGCCUUUACAAGUGCUUGGAAGCUCACUUGCUUGGUACCUUGGCCAAAUGAGGCCUUCACCUAUUUAUAGGCACCAAUGGAACUCUCUGGAACCUUGGAGGGUUCCUUACAACUUAAGUAUAUUCUAGAAUGUCCUACAUCAUUCUAGGUACAAGCCUAUGUACAAGGAUAUACAAGAGACUUCUGGAAUUCUCUAGAAAGCCCUGGACUCCUCUCAUGCCUUCCACCAUAGUGUAGAAUUGUGUGGAUUCCUCCAGGCUUCUCCACAACCUUCCACACUCUUCCCACUCUAGGAGUCUCCAGAAGCUUCCUGGCUCUAUAUAAGCCCAUGGGGAGGCUCAUUUGAAUCAGCUUGUGACACUCUCCUCCACCUAAGCCGCAGACGUUCUUGUCGCGCCUUCUGCCCGGAAUUGCUCAAUUUGCUCCUAUAACUGCCAUAGUGCAUCUGUUGGCUCCCAGCUAGCCUCACUUUUUGGUAGUCCUUUCCAUUUCACUAAGUAUUCCGUACCAGGAGGUACACCUCGUCUCCUGAUGACCCGAUCUACGAGAAAGUGUUCUAUCUCCUUAUCAUAGGAGAUCACGACCGUUGUAGGUGCCCUCUUAGACAACCCUCGGCUUGGAUCAUCUUUGUCUUCGUGAUAGGGUUUCAAGUAGUUUACGUGGAAGACAUGAUGAAUCUUCAACCUUGGCGGUAGCUUAACUCUAUAGGACACCUUGUCGACAUUCCCAAGUACGGGGAAGGGUCCUUCAUACCUCCUCAUAAGGCCCUUAUGCACUAACCUUAGGGAUUUGAAUUGUUGAGAAAUGAGCUUGAAAGCACCAUGUCUCCGACUUUGUACUCCGUGUGUCGUCGCUUCUUGUCAGCCCACUUCUUCAUUUUCUUAGCGGCCUUGUCCAAGUAUGAGCGUGAUAUGUCAGCUUGCUCGUGCCACCCUUUCGCGAACUUGAAAGCUGCUGGACUUCUCCCCGUAUAGCCUAUCGUUAGAGUGUGAGGAGUUAACGGUUGCUGCCUUGUGGCCAACUCGAAUGGGCUCUUAUUGGUUGCCUCACUCCUUUGCAGGUUAUACGAGAAUUGGGCUAUGUCUAGCAACUUAGCCCAAUCCUUCUGGUUGGCACUCAUGAAGUGCCUUAAGUAUAGCUCCAAUAAAGCGUUCACCCUCUCAGUCUGCCCAUCCGUCUGUGGGUGAAAGCUUGUGGAGAAGUGAAGCUCCGAACCCAUAAGCUUGAAGAGCUUCAUCCAAAACUUCCUAGUAAAACGCGGAUUGCAAUCACUUUAGGCAACCCCCAAUACUUGACUACGUGCUUUAGGAAUAGCCUCGUCGUCUCUUCCGCAGUGCGGUCAGUCGGGGCUGCUAUGAAGGUUGCAUAGUUAGAGAACCUGUCCACUACCACUAUGAUAGAACCGUUGUCCUCCGACUUGGGUAGCCCGAUGAUGAAGUCCAUGGUGACGUUGUCACAUGGGCGCUCUGCUAUAGGUAGUGGCUUCAACAGGCCUCUAGGUUGUUAUUGUUCCACCUUGUCUUGUUGGCACACAAGACAAGUCCUCACAUAGGCCUCUACCUCAUCCCGUAUUUGAGUCCAAUAAUAAGCCGACUCGAGUAGUGCCCUCGUGCGUCGUUGCCCAGGGUACCCAGCCCACUUGGUGUCAUGGCACUCAUUUAUCAGAUUCCGUCUUAUGUUCCCCCAUUUAGGCACAUAGAGUCGUCUCCCCUUAGUGUAGAGUAGGUCGUUCUCCACCCAGAACCGCUUAGUCUUCCCUUCAUGAGCUAGGACGAUGAGGCUCUUAGCCACUGGAUCAUGUUGCAGUCCCUCCCUUAGAAGAUCCAUUAUGUCUCCUUGGGGCUGACUCGUCAUGGAUGCUAGCUCCGUUUUACUGCUUAGGGCGUCAGCCACAUGAUUAGCACUCCCUGGCUUAUACUCCAACGUAUAGUCGAACUCAGCCAGGAAGUCUUGCCACCUAGCUUGCUUAGGACUCAACUUCUUCUGUGUUUGGAAGUAGCUAGUGGCAACGUUAUCGAUCUUCACUAUGAAGUGAGACCCUAGAAGAUAGUGCCUCCAGGUGCGCAAGCAGUGGACGAUGGCGGUCAUCUCUUUUUCUUGCACCGUAUAGCGCAUCUCUGUGUCGUUUAGCUUGCGACUCUCAAAUGCGAUCGGGUGUCUUUCUUGCAUAAGGACUCCCCCAAUAGUGAAGUGUGAGGCAUCUGUGUGUAUCUCAAAAACCUUGGUGUGGUCGGGUAGUGCUAACACCGACUCCUCAGUCACAGCCUUCUUAAGAUCUUUAAAGGCUUGUUGGCACCUUUCGUCCCAUUCUCAUGCCUUAUUCUUCUUAAGGAGAUCAGUGAGAGGAGCGGCCCUUGCUAAAUAACCUUUGAUGAAUCGCCGAUAGUAAUUAACUAAACCAAGGAAAUAUCUGAGCUAAGGUACCUUGGUUGGUGGAUCCCAUUCCUGGAUGGCUUUCACCUUGCUAUCAUCCAUCUUCAGCUUGCCAUCCUUGAUGCGAUGCCCUAGGAAGCUCACUUCUUUUUUAACAAAGGAGCAUUUUUCCUUCUUCACGUAUAGCUCGUUCUGCCUUAAGAUCUUAAAGACCUUCCUCAAGUGCUUUACGUGCUUCUUUAGGGUGUUACUGUAGAUGACUAUGUCAUCCAAGUAUACCACCACGAACUUGUUGAUUACUACUCAAAAAGUGCUAUUUGAUAGCUUAUAAUUAAUCCUUUUAAACACUUUUGAGUAGUAAUUUUGGCAUUUUAACUCAAUUGGCAUGUUAAGGACCCUUGAAAGCAAUUUUAAUCAUUUUGUGUAAGUUUUGGUGUUUUUUGUUAGUAAUUUGAUCACCAAAGCAAUUCAAGAUUGAGGAGAUUUAUGAGGAAUCUUGGGCAAAGCUUGGAAGUCAUUUGCCAAGAGUAAAUCAGGAAUGCAAGGAGAAAAAGUUAAGAGAAUCUGCCAUGAAGCAUAUUCUUGAUGAUAGUAGUAGCAGCCACUUUUGGAGCACUUUUUGAAGUCCAAUUGAUGCAUGCUAUAUACCAUUUCAAAGCUCAGGAAGUCAACAAUCCAAUGCUUCAAACGGUACGCAAUUCGGAGUUGAAACGAAGAAGUUGCAGCCAUUGCAAGCCAAUCACUCCAAGCUGAAGGAAGCAUUUUCCAAAGUGUUGCGAAAUCACCCUUUUGUUGCGAAGUGAUUUCGCAGCCUUUUUGUACAGUAGGGUGUAUUUCCUUCUGAAGUUGCCCGAUAUAUGCCGCAAACUGGAAGCUGAGAACAUCAAGGUGGAAGCCAACUUCGCAGCCCUGCGAGAAUAGCUUUUUGCUGCGAAGUGAUUUCGCAGCCCUUCUUGAGUGUUUGCGAAAUCUCGCAGACACCAUUUUCUCUUGCGAAAUGGUCCCUGGAGCAUCCCGAUAUUUGCUACCGACAUUGGGAGAUAUUUUACAUCAGAUUUUUGUUGUCUAAAUCCCAAAAUACUUCUUGUAAGCCACCAAUUACAAGAUUCCUUAGCUUUUAAGUUAGUAAAAAGAGAAAAUAUCCAUGUAAUAAUUAGUUUUAUAUUAUGUUCAUAUAAAUACUUCUCGGGAGCCUGUUCUCAAAAAGGGACCCUUUUGUAAAGUUUUGGGAAAGCAAGUAAAGUUCAGGUCCUUUGUUUUGUCUUACCUUCUCACUUUGUAUUAUUUAUUUCUUACUAAGUUAUGCACUCUCUGAGGAAUUUUCCCCAGAGAAUGAGUAACUAAACCUCUAGUUCCUUGGAGCUAAGGUUGCCGGGGAAGGUUCCAAAUGCAAGAAUGCAAAGCUUUGUGGUUUCAGCCAUCAAUUAAGAGGAAGUAAAGUCUUUUAGUGAUUUCUAUGUUUUUAGUUAACUUAAAACACCUUAGAGUCACCUGGGCCAACACUUGGUAAGGCAAGUGAUCUCCAUCCAUGGAGAUGCACUAGUUUACCCCUUGCGAGCCUCUGGGAGGUGACUUUAAGGUAGGAUUUUCUGGAAUUGCCAACACUUGGUAAGCUUUUGGACUCCAAGGAGACAUCCAUUAGUUAUCUCUUGCGAGCUAGAGAAGGGAAGUCUAAGGUUAAAGAUCACCUUGAAUGGUUAAGGCUUAGUGAGAGGCUUAAACCAUUGCAAGUUGCAUCAAUGAGAGAAUUAAAGUUGAAAUCUAAUUAAAGGAUGUAUCUGUACAACACCGGUUAGAGAAUUGACUAUAUGUUGAAUCUCUAAUGCGAGGAAAUGAACCAUCUGACCGGAGCUAUGUCUUUUGCAUGAGGAACCACCCCAGUGAACCUAACUCUCCAAGGAAUGUUUUUCUUCCUAAGUUAUUCUCACUACUUAUUCUGUUAGUUAGUUUAAAUCUAAAUCUUUACCAAUCAAAAGGUUGUGUUUUAUUUUUUUAGCUAACCUUGAAAUGAAACAAGACCAAUUCACUUUGAAUUGGUAUCAUUGAUAGCUUGCUAAUCCUUCCCAGUGAACGAUCCUAAAGCCGCUAUAUUAUAGUAGUUUUUUCUUUGCUACCCUAGUAUAUGGUGUAAUAGGUUAUAAAUUUUGUUGAUUACUCCCCCAAUCAAGGAGCACCAGCUGGACACGAAUCAGCUGAGACACCAAUUGGGCACGAAUCACUUGUCUAAGCAUGGGUGGAAGAUCUUGUUCAUGAGGGUGCAGAACGUUGCUGGGGCAUUGGUGAGUCCGAAAGGCAUCACUAAGAAUUCGUAUGAGCCAUACCUGAUCACACAUGUGGUCUUUGGCUCGUCCCCCUCCGCAAUCCUUACUUGGUAGUAGCCCGACCUUAGGUCUAGCUUCGUGAAGUACCUUACCCUUCCAAGUUGAUCGAAUAAGUCAGCAAUGAGCGGGAUAGGAUACUUGUUCUUUACCGUCACCUUGUUGAGUGCCCGAUAGUCUAUGCACAUUCGUAGGGACCCAUCAUGCUUCUUCUGAAAUAGAACCGGCGCGCCAUAGGAAGCCUUGGAUGGUUGGAUGAACCCCGCAUCUAGUAACUCCUUAAGUUGUCUCCUUAGUUCCUCCAACUCCGGUGGUGUCAUUCUAUAUGUACCAUAGUAGGGGGCUUAGCUCCCGACUCCAACUCAAUCCUGUGAUCUUCCUCUCUCCUAUGAGGAAGUCUCUUAGGCAACUCGGGCGACAUCACGUCCUUGAACUCAUCAAGGACCCCCUCGAUUUCCUUAGGCAUGGGUUCUCCCGACCCAUCGUCUCUUUCUUCCUUCAGGGUGGCGAGGUAGGUCACCUCUUUCCUCUUUAACCCCUUCCUAACUUGCAUAGCUGAUAGCAUAGGGGUCUUAAGCGUACCUUCAGUGACCGUAGGGACCAUGCAUGGCUUCUCCUCCUCUAAGAUAGCCAUUGAGCAUAGGAAAGGUAGUGGCACGACCUUGACCUUCUGUAGGAAGUCCAUUCCUAGCACCAUCUUGAAGUUAUCCAUGGGUGCCACUAUGAAAUCGACCCUUCCUUCCCAUGAGCCGAUGUGCAUAGCCACCCUGCAAGCUACUCCAUGUGACGGGCUUGGCAGCUGAAUUAACUGCCUUGAGUCAUCCUCCUUCCUUGGAUGCUUGGAGCUUUAGUCUCUUUGCCUCAUCCUCCGAGACAAAGUUAUGAGUGGCACCAGUGUUCACCAAGGCCUUGGUGGCCUUCCCAUUCACAAGGGCCUCUACAUACAUUAGCCCUUUGCUUUGAGGCGUCUUAGGCAUCGGCUUGGCCUUAAGGGCAUUUAGGAGUUGCAACGAUCCCACUUUAGCAUCGCCUUCCUGCUCAUUUUCCUCAAUCAUAGCAUUUAGAGCUUUCCUUUUAGGGCAGUCUCGUGCCCAGUGUGUACCAUCGCACAGGAAGCAAUUGGUCCUGGGCAUGAACUCCUUCCACUUAUCUUUGCCUUUACCAUCCUUGCCACUAGGGUCUUUGCUUGAUCCUUCCUUAGAAGUGUGGCAUUGUGAUCCAUUGUUUCCCCCACCUUUGGCCUGGUUACCCUUGGAUGGUGGUUUUGGCUUGGAGGAGUCUCCCCUUCUAUAAUCUACCAAGGACUCUGCUACCGCCAUGGUCAUGGCUAGGUCUUAGACACCAUGUCUCCUCAACUCUUGCUCGGCCCAACUUUGCAAGUUGUCCAUAAAGUUAAAUAGUAGCUCCUCCUCAGCCAUGUUAGGUAUCUCAAGCAUAAACGUAAAGAACUCCUUGACAUACUCACGGAUCGAGCCUGUGUGCUUGAGACGCUUCAUACUCUUCCUUGCUAGGUAAGCCACAUCUUCGGGAUAGAAUUGCCUUUUGAUUUCUCUCUUAAAGGCAUCCCAUGUGUCUAUGGUGCACGUCUCUUUCUCUAUGUCGGAAAACUGUCGACGCCACCAUAGAGUAGCAUUAUCGGUGAGGUAAAGGGUCGUGGUGCAUACCUUAGUGGCUUCAUCCGUCAAUGCAAUGGCCUCAAAGUAACGCUCCAUGUGCCACAAGAAGUUAUCUAGCUCCUUAGCAUCCCUCUUUCCAUUGAACGAGUGUGGCUUGGGCACCUCCACCCUUGGUGCCUCAUGAGUGGCCAUGACUCAUGUUGAUAUCGCAGUCUUGUAGAUGGCUAGCUCUUGAUGAAUCUCUUGGUCUCGGGUCUCCAUGAGCGCAGCCAAGGCCUCCAUCCUUGAUUCCACACUAGCGAACAUGAUCAUGACCUUGUCUUGGAAGGACAUGAACUCCUUGUGUGACACAGUUGAACUUGUGAGCCUAGCACCCCCUCGCGAAGGUCUUGGAUCUGCUCCCUUAGAUCCUCUAAGCCUUUCUCCAUGCCUUGCUCGAUCAAGUCCACCCCUUCCCGGGUGUCCGUCAUGGCUAGCUCCACCUUAGCUAGCCUUGCCUCCAUGUUGGCUAAGGCAUCACGAGACUUAUCCUUCCUGCCUCGGCCCCGUGCAGUAUGCUCCAUCUCCCUUCCACGGGUUUGCUCGCUAGUCUCCUCCACGUUAGAGCCCGACAUGCUUCCUUUGCUAUGCCCACUUCGUAACCGCGCUCUAAUACCACUUGUCACAGACUUAGUCGUUCACUAAGCUCGUGCAGCACUUAGGCAAGUCAAGACGCUUGAUCUUGCUAAGUCAACCUUGCUCCCAAUGCUUAGCUUGCUAGGCUAAGAUGUUCACGACUCGAAAGCUUAAAAAGCUUAGUAGGCAACUCUUUAAAGAAUGGAAGCUCUUAUUAACUCAUGGAAGCCUUUACAAAUGCUUGGAAGCUCACUUGCUUGGUGCCUUGGCCAAAUGAGGCCCUCACCUAUUUAUAGGCACCAAUGGAACUCUCUGCAACCUUAGAGGGUUCCUUACAACUCAAGUAUAUUCUAGAAAGUCCUACAUCAUUCUAGGUACAAGCCUAUGUACAACGAUAUACAAGAGACUUCUGGAAUUCUCUAGAAAGCCUUGGACUCCUCUCAUGCCUUCCACCAUAGUGUAGAAUUGUGUGGAUUCCUCCAAGCUUCUCCACAACCUUCCACACUCUUCCCACUCUAGGAGUCUCCAUAAGCUUCCUAGCUCUAUGUAAGCCCAUGGGGAGGCUCAUUUGAAUCAGCUUGUGACAAUAAGCUUGACAUUGGCAGUCACUAAGGCAAGCCUUUUUGCAAUAUUGAUUAUCAUUCGUAUCUACUAAAAUAGAAGACUACGGUUUUUUGGCUUUCAUCAUUUUUAAGCGCAAGAACAUGUCUUCAAUGGAAUUCUUCUUGUAUUUGGGUGACUUUCUGGUACACCCACUUGAGAACUCUCCAAUUUUCCAACUAUUCGGCGAGAUUGGUUUGAACCCAGGCAAACAUUUUCACAUCAAAGCAUUCUUAGUGCUACAACUUCCAAAUUUCCCACAAGCAAUUGACACACUGCAUCGGUCUUUCGGUGCCCACCAGACUGGAGACGAUGUAUUCCAAUUCGCAUAGUAUUGAAUUUCCCCUAAAGAACUCAUUACCAACUGUUUUUCAACUGAUGAGUUGGGGAUAGAGCUAUGCCCUUUAUACACGUUCCUCUAGGAGAUUUUGGACAACAAGCUGCGUGUUGCUUCAGGCAUCUCAUCAAACGUUCCAUCCCAGUCCUCACUGUACCAAUGUACAUAUAAAAUUUGAGAUAUGAUAUACUGGUACUCUUUUUCUUGAUCUAGCUUGAAGGUAUAGUUUCCAAGUGUGGCGUCAACGGGGCUUAACCAUGAGGUCAAUAUUAAGCUUUCAUUCAUCUUCAUACCAGGAAGAAAAAUAUCGGUGGGAUUACGGAAGCUCUCUCAAAUAAUCUCUUCGGAUCUAUUGCCACUCAAAACAAGGUUCCCAUAGUCCAUAAGCUUCACUAUCCUGUCUUUAGAUGAAGGUGUUUCAAUAUCAAUAGACCAGUGAACUGCUUCAUUAAUUUCGGCCAACACCUUCAGCUUACCAUCUUUUUUAAUGGCAAAAACUCCAAUGGAGGUACCAGAAAAGGGGUUCUCUCGGUUGGCUACCCACACAACUCUUGGUGGUUUAGACAUGUGAUGCCAUAUGCCCAUGAAUCUUCUAUUCUUGGAGCUUCCAUUUGGAUGAAAGAAGCCUAGUUCAAAAGUUUCACCGGAAGAGACAAGAGUUUCUCCAUUAGUAAGCCAAGUGUCUAGUGUGAUGGUGUGUCACGCCCCAAGACCCACUCCAAGGGCGUGACGGUCAUUUCACACCUCAAACCCGAAGGCUUAAAGUAUAAUCUGACCCAAACAGUCAUAUUGUAACUGGAUGUUACCAAUUACCAAAUACCUGCUCAGAGUAGCGGAAACAAAGUCUAAAAUCCUCAAAAUUCAAUUUCCAAAUAACUUCCAAAUACCAAAUGAUCCAAAAUAACAUAACUAAUAGUUAAACAAAAUCCAACAUAAAAUCCUAAGUCAAAUCCUAAUGAUGACCAUUCCUCAGCCUAGCCAUCACUCCUCACCCGAACUAAGAGUACCUGAAAAAUUUUCAACGAUUGGGAAUGAGCUCACAGCCCAAUAAGGAAUAUUAAUGCAGUUCAUGGAUCAAAUAUUUUCAUUUCAAAUAGGAGAUAUCAAUUUUUUUUUUUUUCAUCAAAUAUCAGAGUUUCAAAAAUGCCAAUAUAUUCAAAAUUCAACCAACCAAUUUCAUAUCAAAUUCAAACACUUUCCCAUCAGACUUAAUCAAAUCCAUUCAAUUUUUCAUUACUCUGGUUAUCAAAUAUCAAAUGCCCAGUUAGGUGGGACUUUUCAAAUGGGUGGCUAGCCUCAAAUUGUUCCUGGUGGACGGAACCAAACACUACUAGUACUAGUAACCUCUAAACAAACCCCUAGAGGUUGGGGUCCAAAUCAAUUACAUUCCCACCAUGAAAUGUAAAGGUCAACUAUUAUAUCCCAUUGACAGGGCCGAAUAGUCAACUAUUAUAUCCCGUUGACAAGGGCCAAAUAAACCAGAGUGAUGUUUUUUGUUCAAGUAUUCAAAUUUACACAACAUAAUAUCUCCAUAUUUUGUGUCAUAAAUAAAACAAAAUAUUCCAACAUAACAUUUAGUGCAAAACAAUUUGAUCCAUGCAUGGUAACAAAAUAUCAUUUUAUUUUCCACAAUUCAAAAUAACAUAUAAAAUAAUUUUAUUUUAUAAAUAUUACAUUAACUUCCCUUACCUCAAAAGAAGUCCUUGAAAGCUUGGGAGAAGAAUGAUUCUGAAAAAAAAUAUAAUCUACUCUUCACCUAAUAUAACAUAAGAGAAACAAUUAUUACUAUUUAUUUAUAAUUUAACUAAUCUAUUCCUUAUUUAAAUAAAACUAAUAAAUUCUCAAUUUGUUUCUAAUAACACAUUACUAAUUUAAUUAAAUUACAAUUUUAUGUCAUUAUAAAAUUCUCUAUAUAUAUAUAUAUAUAUAUUUUGCUAAAUCUAUUAUUACUAUUAUCUUAUUCAUUAAUCUAAAACUAAAUAUUAUUAUUUUAAUUAACCAAUUCAAAAGCCACUAGAUGUCUCGAGUACACCAAACCACCAAACCAAAAAGCAAGUUUUUUUUUUUUUUUUUCCAUUGCAUCAUCAUUCAUUAUAUAUAUAUAUAUAUAUAUAUAUAUAUAAAAGGCUUCCUUCCAUUUGGCACAUGCCUAUUUUUUUUUUUUUCCUCCUUGCUUCCAGUAGCACAGUACACGUACACCCCCCAUAUAUUUUUUUUUUUCUUCCUUCCUUCCUUCCAGUGCUGUGCACACGCGUUCUCCCUCUUUUUUUUUCUUUUUUUUUUUUAAUUAACCCUAACCUAAAAUCGAAAUAUUCCAAGGAAUUUUUUUUUUCUAAUAAAACUUAAGAUCUCCCAAAUUCCAAUGCUAAAAUCAAAAUAUUAAAUUUUCACUAUUUGAUAUUAAAACGAAUUAAAAAAUAAUCUAACCCUAAUCUAGAUUUGGGGUUUUCCAAAAAAAUAUAUCUAAUGUGUUUGAAAUUAAUCAAUGAAUCUAAAAUAUUAAACUAGGGGUUAGAAUCUUACCUAUAGAGAUCUGUUCUUCAACCCUGAAAUCUGACUCCAACCUUACGUUCUCUGGAAUUCUGCGAACAGGAACUCUAUUCAGAAAAGAAGGGAAAGAAUAAAAUUUCUAAUUUAUACCUAGGGUAUUUAUUCGUAAAAUUACUCUUUUACCCCUCUUCUUUUUUUUAUUAAAUUAAUUAAUUAACUAAUUUAAUUAUUAAUAACAAUUUCCUAAAUUACCCUUAAAAGAAAAUGCUUGGGCGUUACAUGGUGUCUCUAGUAGAGCAACACAGAAAAUAACACAAUAAGAAAAAAAUGGUAGAUAACAUUGUGAAUUGCAGAGACUGAAACCCUGAAUUUUCUUGUCUUUUUCCUACUAUUUUUGUUAAUCCGAGAAUCUCUUUAGUUUUGGUGCCACAAAUUCACUGUGGGAUAGCGUGCUACUUCUCUAGGUUGACCUUCUAUAUGUGGCGCCUAAAACAUUGGCCCCUUAGAUUAACUUUUUAAUUGUCUAAAACCAUUUUUACCGCAGGUCCAUACUCCGGGACAAGCCCCCACACCCCCAUCGGAUCAGUGGUGAUAGGCCCAAUCCCCCUGUUAGACCCUAAAAAAAAUCUCAUAGUUUUUUUUUCACCAUAUAUAUUGUAUUGCGAAAUUUUCAAGUCUGACAAAAUAAAAUUCGAGUCACGAAUCUUUAAUAGUUAUCAUCAAGAAAUGAGAUGGAAAUGUUUCAGCUAGUGAAAAUCUACAUCAAGAGGCUUUUUGGGAAGACAAAUAUAAAAAUACAUCUAAACAUCAUUAAACUUCAUGAUUCUAAUACACAUCAUGGGAUGAAUUCUCAAUCAUAUAUAGGUGAGUAUCACAUAUAUAUAUAUAUAUAUAGGUUUAACACACAAUGCUACAUAAUGUGGUGGAUAAAUAUGCAUGUCAAAUUGAUCAUAGUUGUAAAAUUGUUAGCUAGAAACUAAAAAUUUCUAAUCUGAUUCCUAAGUGCUUCUUUUUUUUUCUUUUUCUUUUUUUAAAAAAAAAACAAAAAAUGAUAAUAAUUUCUACAUAAAAUGUAAAAAUUAUCGUAAAAAAUUAAUAACAUUCAAUUUAGAAAAUUUUAAGAUAUUAUAUAAAACAAAUUCACCAUCUUAACAUUUAAAAGUAAUUUUUAAAGAUAUAAGAUAAGUUCAUAUUAUUUAUAUAAAAACUAUUUUAUAAUUUACAUAGAAAUUAUAUAUAUAUAUAUAUAUAUAUUGAAUUGGGUUAUUUCACAAUAUUGGAGCAUAGUUUACCUUAGGUGAUUAAAGAUGUGAUACAGUAUAGUUUUUAGGAUAGAUGUGAUAAUUUAUAAUUGAAGUUUUGAUAUGGGUUAAUUAGUAAUAUUAAACAAAGGAUAAUGCUUUUUCAUAUUCUUAGAUUUAAUUUUUGGUGAAAAUAAUUAAGAGUAAGUAUUUGAUAGUGAUUUUAAGAAAUGUUUUUAGUCUUUUUAAUACUUGAAAAAGAAAAUUUUUCAAGUGUUAGAAAAACCAAAAAUACCUUUUAGAAACAGUACUAAACAUAUUCUAAAUAUGUACUCAAUAAUCGAUUUAAUAAAUUCACGGGUGUCAAAAUAAAUAUGACAUCAAGAUAUGUUAAUAAAUUUUUUUUUUUUUUUUGAAAAAUAAUUCAACAUAUUUAUUGAAUUCACAUUCAAGACAAGGUCGCCUGUAACAUAGGUGCAUGGCUGUCCAUUUAUUCCCAAUUGCCUUAGACAAACAUCCCCUUACUCUUAAGUCAUUUUGUUUUUUUUUUUUGUGAUUGCAUGUUGAAAAUUUGAUUUUAACAUGAGUCCACUAGGAGUUCAGGACAUCUAUUAAUUAAUGGGGGCAGUUCUCGACCUCCAUGGCCUGCCUACUAAUUUUGGUGGGUUGCUCACAGGUGACGUCUGACUUAAAAUACGUCCAUCGCCCAACUUACUAUUCAUGGACAAACAAAAUAUUAGUAAUGUACCAAUCAUCUUGUAUAUGUAGUAACAUUUUCAAAUUUUUAAUCUAAACCUUGGUGUAAAUAAUUAAAUUUAAAUAAAUUAAUUAAAAUGUAUAUUUAAUUUUUUUUCACCCGCAAUUGAAGGCCGGUGGAGUGGUGAAAUCUUGGAAAUGGAAGCCAACCAUGCAGCAAAUAAAGUGACCCAAAGUCCAAGACCACGUUUAGAGCAUUUGUCCAUUUUUACUUGUUUUCAACGGCUUCUAGUCUUGAAGUUGAAAUCUGCGGUUUCAUAAACGGUAUUCUGAAUUUUCUCUCUUGCGUUCUGUUUUUCACAUUUUCCAGGAAAUGGGACCUAUUUGUUUGGCUAUCAGCAAUGAGUUUCUUGUCAGAAUCUGUAAAAGAACUAGAACUUGCAGAGAAAAAAUAAAUAAUUUGAGAGUUACGAAUUGAAGGAAGGCACACAUCUAUUUCACAAAUGAGAAUGCCUAUUUAUAGGCUUACAACCAAACGAAAAUUGCAAAAAAAAUCUUAGCUACUUUCAAAUUUUAUUGGCAUUACUUCUAUUAACUGAAAAUAGAAAAUUAUGGAGUAAGAAUCUGAUAUGAAACAAUAACAAAGACUAAGUCUAACUAAGACUUUUUCAAACUUCAGAGGCAAACUCUCAUGAGUUCUAACACUCCUCCUUGAGAUUUGCCUUGGACAUGCCAAGCUUCAACCUUAGAAACUCCAGCCUUGAUUUAGGAAGUGCCUUAGUCAUUAUGUCAGCAAGUUGCACAUCAGUUGAGCAAUAAUGCAACUUGACAAGUGAAUUCUUUUUAGCUUCCCUUAUAGAAUGAAAUUUUACAUUUAUGUGUUUGGUCUUGCCAUAUUAGACAGAAUUUUGAGCAAUGGCAAUGGCUGACUUGCUGUCACAGUAAAGCUCUGUUGGUGAGCUUUAUUCCUAGCCUAGAUCAGCAAGCAAUUUCCUUAACCAUAUCCCUUGAUUUGCAACAGCUGCUAAGGAGAUAUACUCAGCUUCUGCAGUUGAUUGUGCCACUACUUCUUGUUUUCUUGAAUUCCAGCAAAUGACACCUGAACCGAUUGUAAAUACAUAACCUGAAACGUUCUUCAUGUCAUCAACACUUCCUGCCCAAUCACUAUCAGCAUAGCCAUCUAGCUUAACUCCUCCUGUCUUUAAAUACCAAAUGCCAAGAUUUGUUGUACCUCUAACAUACUUCAGCACCCUUUUUGCAACUCCCAUGUGAACAUUGCUAGGUGAACUCAUGAAUCUUGAAAGUAAACCAGCUAGAAACAUCAAGUCAGGUCUGGUUGCUGUCAAGUAUAGUAGGUUGCCUACCAAGCUUCUAUAUGCAGAGGGUUCCUUAAGUUUCUCACCAUCAUUCUUUGAAAUUUUCUCAUUUUGUGCCAUUCCAAGGAAGUAGUUCAUGAUGCCAAGGUCAGACAUCUCAAAUACAUCUUGCAUUUCCAUUUUGAACUCAGCCAGCAAUCGUACAUUACUUCCAGUCACUAGCAUGGCAUCAACAUAAAGUGACACUACCAAUUGCAAACCAUUCUCAUUUUGUUUCAAAUACAAAGUAGCUUCAUUUUCACUCCUCCUAAAUCUAAGUUGGAUCAGGUGAGAGUCAAUUCUGCUAUACCAGGCCCUUGGUGCUUGUUCCAAACCAUAAAGAGCCUUUUGCAACUUGUACACUUUGUGUUCAUGCCUAGUAACCUCAAAGCCUUCUGGUUGUUGAACAUAAAUUUCUUCAAGAAGUAUGUCAUUUAGAAAAGCUGACUUGACAUCUAAAUGGUACACUUUUCAUCCCAUUUGACCAGCAAGUGCAAGUAACAGCCUUAUAGUGUCAUGUCUGGCUAUUGGUGCAAAUGUAUCACCAUAGUCCACUCCAGCAACUUGAGCAAAACCCUUCACAACCAAUCUAGCCUUGUGCUUGAAGAUUAAACCAUCUGAAUUCAAUUUGGUUCUGAAAACCCAUUUUACACCAAUUGUCUUCUUAGCUUCAAGUAAUUCUGUCAACUUCCAAGUUCCAUUUCUUUCAAUAACAUCAAUUUCAGCUUUCAUAACCUCAAUCCAUUCUAGAAAUCUUGCAACUUCUAUGUAACAUGUAUGCUCAACAUGUACAAGAUUGCACCUCUCAUACACAUUAGAUAAUGGCCUUACCUUAAGCACUGGUAUGUCUAAAGUUGCUUCAACAUCAAGUGGAUCUUCUGCUGGUUCAAGAAUAGAUGGAGUGGUUUGAUCACAUUUAUGGACUUUCUUCAAGUCCCAAUUCUAGUAGGAAUUUUCAUCAAAGUGCACAUCUCUACUUAUCACAAUUUUCAUUCUACUCAAGCUAUAAAUUCUGUAACCUUUUGAUUCUGCUGCAUACCCAACAAAAACACCCUUCUCAGCUCUUUCAUCAAGCUUACCUCUCUUGAUAGAUGGCACAUGAAGGUAACACAAUGAACUAAACACUUUUAGGUGCUUGACAGAUGGUUUUACACUAGACCAUGCCUAUAUUGGUGUUUUGCUCUUAACAGACUUAGUCGGUAGUCUGUUAAGCAAAUAUACUGAGGUGCUAACUACUUCAGCCCAUAGAAGCUUUGGUAGCUUCUUCUCGAGUAGCAUGCACCUCGCCAUCUCCAUUACCGUUCUGUUCUUCCUCUCAGAGACUCCAUUCUACUGCGGUGAGUAUGGAGCUGUCAGUUGGUGUACAAUUCCAACUUCUAGACAAAAAACAUUGAACUCUUUUGAGGUAUAUUCACCUCCAUUAUCAGUUCUGAGCACCUUAACCUUUUGGCCACUUUGAGUUUCAACCAUUUUCUUGAAGCUUUUGAACACAGAGAGCACUUGUGAUUUGGUUUUUAGAAAAUAAACCCAAGUCAUUCUAUUGAAAUCAUCAAUAAAUAGUGCAAAAUAAACAUUGUUGCUCAAUGAGGCUAUGCUCAUUGGUCCACAAAUAUCUGAAUGAACUAAUUCCAUCUUGUGAGUAGCUCUCUUGGACAUAUUUUGAGGAAAUGAUUUGCGAUGCUGCUUCCCUAGCUCACAACUUUCACAAGUUUGAUCAUUAACUGUGAUUUCAGGCAUGUCUUCAACCAUACUUCUUGCAUGAACUUCAAUGACUUCAAGUUGAAAUGACCAUAUCUUUUGUGCCAAACAACACUCUCAUCAAUCUUGGCACUAAAGACAUGACCUUCAACUAAAUCAAGCUUCAAAUAAAAGUUAUUUCCAUUCAUUUUAAUUUUUCCUAUCUCUGUUCCAUGUACAUCAGUGAUAAAACAAAAAUUUUCUUUAAAAGAGACUGCAUAUCCAUUUCUUAGCAUUUGUGUAACACUAAGAAGAUUUUGAUCUAGUUUUGGAAUGUAAAGAACAUUAGUGACAAUUUUUGUACCUCUCUUGGUGUUGAUAGCAAUUGUCCAUUUUCCUUUGGCCUGCACAACUUCACCAUUUCCCAACUUGACCGUUGCUUGAAUUGAUUUAUCAAUGGAGGUAAAAAUUGAUAGAUGUUUGGUCAUGUGACUGGUGCAGCCAUUGUCAAUGAGCCAAGUAUUCAGUUCAUGAGAACUGAGUACUUGUGAUGCCAUAAAUAAAUGCUUAUCAUCUUUUUUGUCUUCUUCAAUCACAUUUGCAUGUUGUUGUGUUUGCUGUUGAGAUUGUUUUUUCUUGGCUCUACAAUACUUCUCACUGUGGCCACAUUUAUUACAGAAAUUACAAUUAAAAAGGGAUUUACCUUUGUACCAACAAUCUUUCUCAACAUGGUUGGUUCUGCUGCAAUGAGAGCAAGGCGAAAAGUUUCAUUUUCUUGAAGAUCCUUCAGCUUUCCCUUUGUUGUUCUUGAAGAACUUCUUUCCUUUUAGGUUUCCAGAACUCUUUCCCUUAUGAUUUGCUCAAAAAGCACCUUCAGUAGCUUCAACACCUUUCAUUAAGACCCUUUGCUCCUGCGCAUGAAGCUUGCUGGUUAAUUCUGCAAUUGUGAGACUUUGCAAGUCACAAGACUCUUCAAUUGUAGAGAUCUUGGCUUCAAACUUUUAAGGCACUGAAACCAUGAUCUUUUCUACCACCUUUUGAUCUGUAAAUGCCUCACCAAGAAGCCUCAUUUGGUUUACAACAUCCAUUAACUUGCUAGAAUAAUCUUUCACAGAUUCAUUGUCUUUCAUCUUCAUCAAUUCAAACUCUCUCUUCAAUGUGAGGAGCCUGACAUUUUUUACUGUCACUACCAUCAAAUUCACCUUGGAGUUUGUCUCAUACCAGUUUAGGUGUUUCCAAGUCCAUGAUUUUGGUGAAGAUGUGGUCUACAAGUCCUGAAUGUAGGCAGGUGAUGGCUUUGUCUUUCUUAAGUUUUUCCUCCUCAUAUGCUUUCAUCUGAGCAACUGUAGGAUUUGCUCCCAAUGGUGGUGGAUCAGCUUCAAACAUCACAACAUUCCACAAACCUUGAGACCUUAAGCAAAACCUCAUCUUGACAACCCAAAUGUGAUAGUGUUCACCAUUAAACACUGGAAUAACAGAGGAAGUACUGCUGGAAGUAGACAUGUUUGCACCACAACUGCCUGAAAAAAAUAAAUCACUCAACCUCACUGUGUUUAGCACUCAAAACACUCAAAGAAACUUUGCCUCACAACUCGUAGGAACAAGGCUCUGAUACCACUGUCAGAAUCUGUAAAAUAACUAGAAUUUGCAGAGAAAAAAUAAAUAAUUUGAGAGUUAAGAAUUGAAGGAAGGCACACAUCUAUUUCACAAAUGAGAAUGCCUAUUUAUAGGCUUACAACCAGACAGAAAUUGCAAAAAAAUCUCAGCUACUUUCACAUUUUAUUGGCACUACUUCUACUAACUGAAAACAGAAAAUUAUGGAGCAAGAAUUUGAAACAAUAACAAACUUUAGAGGCAAAUUCUCAUGAGUUCUAACAUGGCAUAUGGGUUUUGGGUUUUUCAAUUGAGGGAAGCCUAUCAUAGCAUUUAAAAAUGGAUCCCCAUAGUGGCCAACACCAUAGGAUGAUAAUUCAUCAUGGUUCUUAAUCAUGAUCUUUAUUAAAUAGAUCAAACCCAAGUACGAUACAGAUAAUAAUCGUAUUAGAAAAACAUAAAUUCAUCUAAUUAUUUAAUAAACAAUAAGUCGUAUAAUUCAUUUAAUUAAUCUAAUAAUCAUACAGAAUUAGGUCUUAUACAAAUCUACACGAUUAAUUUCUUAAUCUAAUAUGUUUAUAAUUCAAUUAAUUUAUUUAUUUAAAAUCAAUUUUUAAAUAAAUCAAAUAUAAGUUAAAUGAGUUAGGGUUAAUCAUAUUAAUCAGUAUGAUUAUCAAGUUGGUCAAUUAGGAUCAAAAUUGUGUUUGACUAAUUUAUUUAAAAAUAACUUAUUUAUUAAAUGAGUUAUACAUAUUAACAUAAAUUUAAUCCUUAAACCCACAAAAAAUAAAUUGAAUUUGAGUCAUGUUAACGAAAUAUAUUACACUUUUGACACUCGUAGUCUACGUAAAGAAAAGAUGUUGCAUCUUGCCAUUAGCUAAGCUUAGAGCAUCCAACAACUGACUAUAAGGGUCCAUAUCUUAGGCUAAAUUGAAUGAAAGCAUUAUAUUAUACAAAACCCCCUAUGCUGAUGAUGGUGCAAACACCAAAUUUGAUUUCCCAAAGUUGUAUAAUAAUGUAUUAGUUGUGUCUGUUGUGCGGAAGUUAGGUACAACUUAGUGACAAGUGUGUAUGGGGCUUGGAAUCUAGUGAGAAUCCAUUGGAUAGGAGUACAAAAUGUCGGCCAUGAGCAUGAUCUAGCCAUCCACAUUUCUCUGUGUCAGAGGGGUCAGGACCAUGGAAGAAAAUAUCAAAAUAUAUUACUGAUAUAGUAUUGGAGGUUAUAAAAACGAUAUUUGAUGAAAAAAAUAUUAUUCUGACAAAAUUAUUUUAAGGAGUAUCGAUAUAUUUGUGAUUACUGAUAUUUUUAUCUUUGGUCAAAUUAGUUUUUGAAUUCACCCAUGCAUGACAUUUGAGAUUCAGCUUAAAAGUUGGAUCAACCCACCUGAUCACCUAAGCUUAUAGAAUAGUUACAAUGAAAAAAAUAUAGUUAUAUGACAUGGAAACACUUGAGUCUUCAUUGAUUUCCUUUUCAGAUUGAAAACUAUUAGAAAAAUUGAUUCAAUUGUCAUGAAAUUGGUAUCCACAAAACCAAAGAAACACCCUAAAACUAGUCCAAAAUCUUAUCUAACCCACAUAAAUUACAGAAAAUUAUCUUAACAGCAACCAAAUUCCUAAGUCUUUGCACAAAAUCCUAUCCAAGAGAGAUCUUUUAGAUUUCUUAUCCACUCUGGAUUGACUGGUAGAGACUUUUAAACCAGGGUUGUGCCACAAGCUCAUGAACAAAUAAAAUUGGACAAAGAAUUGAAUGAGUGGAUAAACAUCAUUGUCAAUGUUUCUACUUGAGCGAGAAAUACGUUAGAUUUCUACACUUCUAAAUAGUUGCCUUGAGUGAUUCCUUGGUCCCACAGUAUUUGCUUCCCCCUUUCCUCGUGGUUUGGGAAAAGGACAUCCACACGGUUUGGUGUAGGAACCACCCUUUCCUUUGCUAUCCAUGAUUAUUUUUCUUUCCAAUAAUAAGGAAAACAUUCAUCAAGGCCCCAUGUGAAAACUAUUAUUGGUGACUGUAGGAAUAGAGCUAUUCAAUUUUUCCAAUAUACAGGACAUUGGAUGGAUACUGAUAACAAAAAAGAAUUACAUUAAAAUGUAUAAGCGAUGUAUUAUAAUUCAUUUUCUCAUCUAUUUUCAUGUUUUGAUUAUUUUAACGAGAUGGGAUGAAAUUAAAUAUGAUUUUAACAGAAGUGAAACUUGUCUCGUAAAUAGGAUUCCAUGUUGAUUUCAACAGAAGUAUGUGGAAGGAUAUCGUGGUUAAUUUAUUUAUUUUUUCAUUUUCAUUUCUAUUAUUUUUAAAUAUUGAAAUAACAACAAAUACUCAUUUCAAAUUUAUAUUGCUAGAUGCAUACAAAUAUAAGAACUGAAGCACCAAAUUCACUCCUAUUCUAAGAGGAAUAAGAACAUUGAUUUUCAUUCCCUACAGUCAAGUACCGAACAUGGCCUAAAACGUAAGGGUUCAUGGGAGAUCCUUCUCGCCUAUCGACCUUCUUCUAUGGUGGCUAGGAACUCACUAUUCAAGGAUGCUUCUGGUUUGCUUGAAGAAGAAGCUGAGCUGGAAAGGUCUCUCCUUACGACAAAAGCUGGUUGUUUAGGAACUGGGAGUGUGGCAGUGUCACUGCUGAGCAUUACAACUGCAACUGCCAUGGUGGGACGGUCACUUGGGUCUUCUUGCACACACAACAGCCCAACAUUCACGCACCUCAGAAAUUCAUUUGUUUUACAUGUUUCACUUAGUGUCUGGUCCAUCAACUCCAACACCCUGUCUUCCUUCCACAGCUUCCAUGCCUGGGAAAGUUUGGACGUACAAGGGUUUCAUGGCAUAUAUAUAGAAUGUCCAAAGGAUCAAUGCAAAUGAGAAAUUCAAAGCACUUACAUGGGCUAGAAGGCUCAGAUUCCGGUCAGACUGAUAAGAUCUGGUGUUCCUCUUCCCGCUGAUGAUCUCAAGUACCACAACACCAAAGCUAAAGACAUCAGACUUUUCUGAGAAAAACCCAUCCAAUGCAUACUCUGGAGACAUAUAGCCACUGCAUUGAACCAGUUAAAAACACUACUCAGUUAAUUGGGGAUGCAAUCAUGCAACUACUUGCAUUUUACCAUACACAAUAUGCAGUACUUACUAAGUUCCAACUACUCUGUUUGUGCUUGCUUCUACUUGCUUACUCUCAAAAAUCCUUGCCAAGCCAAAGUCUGAAAUUUUGGGAUUCAUCUCGUCAUCAAGUAGAAUGUUGCUUGUUUUCAAGUCUCUAUGGAUAAUCUUCAAUCUUGAAUCUUGGUGAAGAUAAAGUAGCCCUCGAGCAAUUCCCAAAAUGAUAUCAAAUCGCUUCUCCCAGUUCAGUAACAGGCAUAGAGUUUGAUCUUGCAAUGUUCCCAUUGGAAAGCACGACUUCAGCAUGUACACGUUGUAAUAUGGGAGAAAAAAAAAGGAACUUUUAGGCAGGUUAGAGGCAAACCAAAUAUGAAGGAGUCUAAGCUUUUGUUGGGCAUGUAUUCAUAGAGUAAAAUCUUCUCAUCUCCUUCAAUACAAUAGCCCAAAAGUCUAACCAAAUUUCGAUGCUGAAGUUUGGCAAUUAACACAACCUCGUUCUUAAAUUCCUGUAAGCCUUGUCCCGAAGCUCUUGAGAGUCUCUUUACUGCAAUUUCUCGCCCUUCAGGAAACUUUCCCUAGAUGCCAUAGCGCAUGGUAUUAGACAGACAAACCAGAAACCUUGAAAUGAGACUAAUGUGGAAAUUAAGGACUAUUACUUUGUAAACUGGCCCAAAGCCCCCCUGUCCAAGCUUAUUUGCAUCUGAAAAGUGAUCUGUAGCAGCCAGUAUGUCUUCUAAGUCGAAAAAUGGUACGUCAAUGCCUUUCUUAUCAUCUUCUUUGAAUUGCUCAGAGUCUAUUAAGUCUUUCACACGGCUCUCGCUAUGAUACAAGUGAAGCCCUGGAUUUGUUCUGUUUUCUGAAUUCAGAAACAAGACUACAUUAUGAAGAAGUCCCCUAAAAAUAUUAUCAAUUCUGCCAAUCAACACGAAACAAAAAAAGACCAGAACUUAAACGGUGGCGCAAAUAGCACAAAGAUUACCUUGCCCUUUGGAGAUGGUUCUUUUUCGAAAAUAAGCAAUACAACCAAUGAUGCAUAGAAGUCCAACUACUACAACAGCAGUUACUAUGCCUACCACAACUACCAGAGCCGAGGAUGAUGAUGAUGACUUCUGGUUUGCAGGUGUUGGAGCCUCCGCAAGAUUGCCACCAUCUGAAACAAAGAAAGACCACUCUCAUUCAUGGAGAAGGCAGCGCAUCUGCCAUUACUAAUCACUGUGUCUUUCAAUGCAAUUUAGCAAUAUGCUUGCUGAAAAGCAUCCUCACCUUGUGUACAAUUUAAACUGGAGCUGUUCCAUUUGAAGUUUUGAUUACAAAAACACCUUCUCGUUCUAUUUUGCGUUCUGCAACUCGAAUUUGGCCAGUCCUUGCAGUCUGUUGCUGAGUUACAAACCGGCUCUGGUGGUGGAUCCCAACUUAUUUCAAUUUCAUACUGACCUUUCAUAGGCAUGCUGGAGCUAGAAUUUCCUGUGUCAGCAUUGCACCAGCUAGUUAUCCUGAAAGGUGGAUUGAGCUGCAGUAUCUUCGUGUCUUGUGAAUUUCGUGCUUCGCAGUUAUCAAUAUCAUUCACUUGGAUGAGAAACUUCGAUCUCUCUGGAGUGAUGCUGGUUACUCGGUAGCUGCCAUUAGGUAAGGCGAACCAGACUUGGUCUGUGGCCUUGUCACAUCUGAAACUGAAGUACAUGGGAUCACCACAGUUUGGUCCAGUGCUUAGUGGAUAGGGGAUCAAGUUUGUGCCACAAGUUUCACAAUUUCUUACUGUUGAUUCUGCAGAAUUAGAAUGAAUUUCAAGAUUUUCCUCAUUAACAAUCAAUUAAAUUCAGAAGUAGAAGGGGGCAAGCAGAGAGGAUACCUAUAUCUGAUUUGGCGACACGGAGAGAAAGAUUAUAGCCAUCUGUGUUAUACUCCUGAAGACUACCGAGAUCUUCAGACCAAACCAGCACUUGGGAGGGGUGCUAGCACGGCCCCUUCGUAUCGUUCCAACUCCAGCAUAAGCUUGACAGCGACAGGUCUUAAGGCACUCUCUUCUGCAUUCACUUUCAUCCUUAUCCGAAAACUCAAUGUCAUACUUUCUUACUUUAAUCAUCUUCAAGAUCAAGAAUGUGUCCCCACAGAGGGUUGUCUUUUUAGAACACCCACCUGAAAAAUCUCCAUUAGUCCAUCUCUCCAGCGAGUUAGGCUCGAAUCCAGGCAAACAUUUGCACAUAAAUGCAUUGUUAACAUUGCAAGAACCGAAAUUCCCACAAGCAUUCAACACACUGCAUCGGUCUUGCGGCGCCCACCAGAAUGCAGACCACUCCUCCGUAUAAUUAUCCCAAACUAGAUAUCUUAUUUCCCCGGUGAAAUUCAUCACCAACCGUGUAUAAGAACUGCGGACAAAUUCAGACCCAGUUGGUUUUCGGGUCUUGCUAAAAUUGGAUAAGAGCUCGGCUGCUGCAGAACUCAUUCCUUCUGAUUCCUCACUUCUCCAAUAUUUAACAAUUGAAUCUUCAAAUAUGAUAUACUGAUCUUUAUCAUCAUCUUGCUUGAAAGUAUAGCUUCCAGGUGCAGGGUCAACGGGGCUUACCCAUGAAGUCAAUGUUAAGUUUCCCUCCAUAAUCAUCCCAGGAAGAAAAGUAUCAGUUGGGUUCUUGAAACUCUCCCAAAGAAUCUUCCCAGAUCUGUUGUCCCUUAAAACAAAGUUCCCAGAAUCCAUGACCUUGGCCACCCUACCCAUGGAAGAUGAGCUUCCAAGAUUAGUAAACCAGUAAGCUGCUCCACUUUCAUUCACUAGCUUGAGGUUACCGUCAUCUGCAAUGGCAAGAGCUCCAACACUGUCGUCAGGAAGGGGGUUGUCUCUAUUGGCUACCCAUACAACUGUUCUCUCCUUCAACCCGUAGUACCAUAUGCCAAUGUAUUUUCCAUUGUUGAACCCUCCCUUGGGAAUAAAGAAGCCCAAUUCAAAAGUUUGAUUGGCUGAAACAAGAGUUCCUCUACCAUCAUCAAUAAGCAAAUUGUCUGGUGUGAUGGUAUCUCUAGCAGAGCAGCACAGGAUAGAACACAAGAAGAAAAAGAUUGCAUGUCGCAUUGAAUUGCAGAGACUGAAACCAUUAAUUUUCAUCUAGUCCUUUGCAGGAUAGAACCCAAGAAGAAAAAGAUUGCAGACAGCAUAUGAGUUGCAGAGACUGAAACCAUUAAUUUUCAUCUAGUCCUGUUGCCCACCAUUUUUUUUAAUGGUAAGAGUAUGAAAAGUUUGGUGGCAGAGUUGAGUGUGGGGUUGCUGCUGCUGUAACGCACUCUCAAUAUUAUCAUAAAUAAAUAAAUAAAGAUUAUUAAAAAAAAAAAAAAAACCUCCAUUGUAUCUAGGUUGACAUCUUAUUAUGGGAAAAGAAAGAAAGGAAAAAAAAGCAAUGCAGAAUUAAAUUAAAAAAAAAUCCAAAAAAUUAAAAGUGAAAUGGAAAUUCUGCCCUCCCUAAAAAUAUAAAUUUAGUUUUAAUUCUUUUUUUAAUUAAAAAAACAAUAAUGAUAAUUAAACAUUAUUAAUAAAAAAUAAUACUUACCUUUGAGUAUUAAUGAUAUAUUAAGAUUUAAUUAAAAUUUAAAAAUAUAUUUUAUGUUAAUACCUAUUUCUUCCCUUUUUAUCCUAUCUUUAUCUUUUUUUUAGUGGAACCAUUGUUCCAAUUUAUUUUGCAUUAAUUCAAAUUAUAUGAGCUUUUUUGUUUUAUAAUAAACCCUUCAAUGAAAUUGACUUUUUAAAAUUUUGUAUUUGAUGGUUUAUAAGCUUUAAUUUAAUGGUGGGUUAUCUAUAGUUUUAAUCUUAAUAUUUAAAAAAAAAUAUUUUUAAAAUUUGUGACAUUUAAUUAAAUAAUAAAUUUUGCUUUCUUUAGUUUUUGAUGAUUUACUCUUAUUGAAUUGUUUAUAUGAAGUGAUAGCUUAUGUUUUAUUUUAAUUAUAAAGCUGAUGCACCUUAAUAAAAUAUUUUGACUAUAAAUAAUAUCGGUAAAGAUCUCUACACAUAUUGUGUAAUAUAUUUGAUGAAGACCUCUACAUAUAUUGUCUACUUUUGAGUCCAUUAGCUUUUAUAUUCCUACUUAUAACAUUGUUUACAUAUUCCAAAUAGCUAAUGGGUGGUCAUCCUCAUGUUUUCAAUUAGGAAUUAGUUUUAAUAUCACUUAACCCAACUCAUGUAACCUUAUUUUCUUUAAACCCAUUAAUCCUCGCAACUUUAAACCCUAACAACAAAUGGGCCACCCUUAAAGUACUAAAAAUUUCUUAUUCAAAUGAUAUGAAAUAUUAUAUUCGAUCAUUUAUAUAGACACAUUGUUCUCAUCAUGACCCAUAGGGUUUAUGGAUAGUCAAAACUCUACAUAUUUUUUAUUAGGGAUUAGCACAACCUACUAGACUUCUUGAUUUUACGUAUACUAAAUGCAUCACUCUUCUAAGUAUUACGAAUUCUCAUAUGAGAAUUUGAAAAAGGGAAAAGUGGGUUUUUCCUCACUAAUUUAAAGAUAUAUAGAAAAAAAAACCUCAAAUUUUAUAAAUAAGUUUUAUCUUUAUCAAUUUAAAAAUAUUUUAAAAUACAUACACUUUUACAUAAAUCAGAUAAUUAUUUUUUGAAAUAGCACUUUACUUGAUAAUAUAAAAUAAAAUUAUCAAAAAAUAUUUAUCAUUUUAAGUUAAUAAAAGUACAUUGCAAACAAAUAUAUUAUAAAUUUUUAUUAUAUAAUAUAAGGUACAAAUCAUUAUGGAAAAAUUCAGUAUAUUCCUCAAGUGAUAAAUAAUUUUUUUGCUAAUUCUCUAGCUAAUAAUGAUUUUAUAUUUUAUAUUAUAUAAAUCCCUUCAUCUUCUUACCUUUUUUUAAAAAAAAUAAAAUUGAAUAAAAUUUUUGUUGAUUUACAUCAACAAUAAAAUAAGAAACUUAAAAAAAAAAACCUAAAAGUUAAAAUAUAAAAAUAAAAUAUUGACUUUCAAUUGGCGUACACUAGUUAAAAAUCUAGAUAUAAUGGAAGGCAAUAUUUUCUUUUAUUUUAUUUUAUUUUAAAUUUUUAAGUAUUUUAGUUUUAAUUGUAUUUUUAAAAUUUUAAAUUUCUUAUUUUAUUGUUCCUAAGGAUGUUUGUUUCUAGAGAGAGAAAAAAAAUCUUAAAUCAAGUCUCACAAUUAACAGAACUAAAAGAAAAAUUAGUUUUUUACAAUUAAAUAUUUAUGUAUCUACUUGUUAAUUGGUAUUAUUAACAUAGUAAGUGCAAGUAAAAUGUUAUUUCAGAAAAUAAUUAUCUGACUUAAAAAAAUAUAUGUAUUUUAAAAUAUUUUUAAAUGGAAGAAGAUAAAAUUGAUUUAUAAAAUUUGGGGGUUUUCUUUUCUAUAUUUUUUUUUCAAACUAGUGACUUAUAAUCCACUUUUCCCAAAUCAACACAUUUACACCGAUUAAAAUAAUGAUAUAAAUAACAUUUUUUUUCUUAACUUUCAUGUUUUAUUAAGAUAUCAUGUUUUGUACCUAAAAAGAAAAGAAUGACAAAGAAAAUAAUUUUCUCACAUGUAAUAGAAAAAGAAAAAUAGUAAGGAAAUGAUGAGAGAAAAUUUAAAAGAUUUUCUUUUCCAUUUUCAUUAGAUAAAAGCAUGAAAAAUUUAGGAAAAAAAAUAUAUACUACUCAAUAAUUCAAUUUUCUAGAAACCAAAUAUAGUCUAAUAUUGCUCUACGUUCAAAGUCAAUUUUCAACAAUGAAUUCUCCUCUUACAGUACUUCUUCUUAACUCGAUUGUGACAAGUGUUGUCAUAUGAAUUUUCUUCCCUCAAUCUACCUACUGUGAAAUGUAAUGUAAAAAAAAAGAAAAAGUACUCCUAAUCGAAUAAUGAGUAAUCACUAGAGACUUUGGAGUGUAGCAUGCAUCCUAUUCUUUAAUUAUUGUCUCUCAAACCAGUCUUAACAUUUUUAUUCAUUGAAUUAAAUUAUUAAAUAUACAAAUUAUUGACUGGUGUCUAAGUUUUUUCUUUCUUCAAUUUCUAGCUUUAAGUUCCCAAAUGAAAAAAAAAAAUUGUCAAGAUCUUGAUUAGAAAAACCUAUUGUUUAAUUGGAAAUAAAGUGGACUCAGUCUCCUUUCUUGUUGAUACAUUGCUUUCAUCUCUUUUCCUUCUGGCUGGCUACUAUGCUUCCCGCUCUCUUCCCAAGCCUAAAAGAAGGAUAACAUUUUGUUUGUUCCUCCGCCCCCCCUAUGAAUACAUGUCACUGGCUAUGAUCAUGAUGAUGUUCAUUUUUUAAAACAAAGAAAAAUGAAAAAUAUGAGCAUCAACCAAUAAAUUUUAGUACCCUUUCUCCAACUUGGAGGAGUUCCAAAUGGGUAAUUUUUUUAUAUUUUUGUUAUAAUUUUUAUGUUUUUUAUUUUAAAUAAACAAGACAAUCCAUUUUUCUUCUGAACAUUUUUUCUUUUCCCCUUUAGCCCUAAUGGCAGUCCACUUCAAAUAUUUUUGUGCCCAAAGGGUCAAAACUAAGGAAAGAUUCAAGAAAAAAUUAGGAGAAUUAAAAAUCAAAGCCCAAAAAGGGUUCCAGCAAGUGGAUGAUUUUUCUCAGUCAACUACUGCAAUUUGGGUCUUCCUUCCUCUACUUCCUAUUUUAUUUCCCAUAGGUAGGUUAGGCACAUUGACAUCUUUUUAUCCAUUUCUGUUUGCUUUUGUGCUUUUUUGGGAAAUCAUAAUCUGAUGUAGAUCCUGAUGGAACAGGUUUCUAUAGAAAAAUCAACAAGGGCUUUUUUUUUUUUACUUUUAGUUAGAUUCUGUUAUCUCAUGGGUAUGGCAUGGAAGAAUUGAUCCUUCACUCAAAAUUGAGAGGAAAAAAAAUAGAUGUUUAUUUAUUUUUGUAUUAUAGCUCCUUUACACAUGUCACAAUCCCAUUUGCCUUAAUUCGUAGGCAUGACAUCCAAAAGUACUUUUCAGUACCAUAAUUUGAUGGAAAAAGUGGGUUUUGACUCGUUAAGGAAAAUUCUAUAUUACCUCAUGGGUAUGGCAUGGAUGAAUUGACCAUUCAAUGAAAAUUAAGGGGAAAAAAUAGAUGUUUAUUUAUUUUUGUGUUAUAGCUCCUUUACAUAUGUCACAAUCUCAUUUAUAUUAAUUUGUUGGCAUGGCAUCCGAAAAUAAUUUUCGAUACCAUAAUUUAAUGAGAAAAUAAGUUUUGAUUCACUAAUAUGAAAUAUAUAGAUAAAAAAAAAUCUUAAUUUUUCAAAAUCAAUAUUAUCUUCAUUUAUUUAAAAAUCAACAAGGGGUUUUUUUUAUUUAAUUUAUAGGAAUAUUCUAUGUUACCUCAUUGGUAUGGCAUGGAAGAAUUGACCAUUCAUUGAAAAUUAAGGGAAAAAAUAGAUAUUUAUUUAUUUUUGUAUUAUAGCUCCUUCACACAUGUCACAAACCUAUCUAUGUUAGUAGUACAUGUGAUGCUUGCAAAUAAACACAAAUAGGAGAAGGUGCAGAGUUAGCAUCACAUGUUCAUGUAUUACAAUAUGAUUGGUUCUUUCUCUUUCCUCCAUAAAAUUCUCUUAUAUAGUUGACUGGUUCUUUCUCAUAUAUGGUUGUAGAUAUGAUUUGAUCAAACCGCAUUAAAACCCGGGUAACUUAGUUUGCUUUAUUUAUGUUAUUCUGUUCAAUCUGGCAUUAUAGUUUUUUAUCUUGCAAGGAUUCCAUUGAAAAACAUAACUGAAAGGGCUUUUAAGAUUUGGAGUAUAAAUAUAGUUUCCAAUAUCUUCCAAUAUAUGUUGUGGGCUCAGAAAGAAGUCCUCCCAAUUGUACUGAAAAAUCAGUGCAUUUAUGCUGCAAUUUGUUAAUAUAGUUCAGUCAGAAACAGAGCAGAUAAACAGAUAUAACAACAAAAUCCUGGGAGUUGGACAAUUUAUUAGCAGCCUUCACCAUGUACAGGAUCCCAUAGAGACGUCCAAAACAGAGCAUCAAAUGGGAACUCCUCCUGGACUAUCAACCUUCUUCUAUGGUAGCUAGGAUUUCACUGUUCCAGGAUGCUUCAGGUUUGCUAGAAGAAGAAGCUGUCCUAGAAAGGUCUCUUUUUAUGACAAAUGCCGGUUGUUUAGGAACCGGCAUUGUUGCAAUGUCACUACUGAGCAUUACAACUGCAACUGCUAUGGUGGGUCGGUCACUUGGGUCUUCUUGCACACACAACAACCCAACAUUCACACACCUCAAAAAUUCUUUUGUGUUGCAUGUUUCGCUUAGUGUCUGGUCCAUCAGCUCCAACACCUUGUCUUCUUUCAAUAGCUUCCAUGCCUGGGACAGUUUGAGAAUAGAAAGUUAAGUAUGGUAUGGUAUAUCGUUGAGAACGACUAAAAGAUCAAUGCAAAUGAGAGAUUCAAAGCCCUCACUUGACCCAGAAGGCUCAGUGUUUGGUCAGACUGAUAAAAGCGAGUGUUCCUCUUCCCACUGAUGAUCUCAAGCACCAUAACACCAAAGCUAAAGACAUCAGACUUCUCUGAGAAAAACCCAUCCAAUGCAUACUCUGGAGACAUAUAGCCACUGCAUUGAACCAGUUAAAAGCACUACUCUGUUAAUUGGGGAUGCGAUCAUGCAACUGCUUGCUUUUUUCAGUACACAAUAUGCAAUACUUACUAAGUUCCAACUACUCUGUUUGUGCUUGCCUCUACUUGCUUACUGUAAAAAAUCCUCGCCAAGCCAAAGUCUGAAAUUUUGGGAUUCAUCUCAUCAUCAAGUAGAAUGUUGCUUGUUUUCAAGUCCCUAUGAAUAAUCUUCAGUCUUGAAUCUUGGUGAAGAUACAGCAGCCCUCGAGCAAUUCCCAUAAUGAUGUCAAACCGCUUCUCCCAGUUCAGUAACUUGCAUAGGGUUCGAUCUUGCAAGGUUCCCAUUGGAAAGCAUUACUUCAGAUAUGUAUACAAGAAUGUAUAUGUUACAUGAAAAAUAAAAGGGCUUUAAGGCAGGUUUAGAGACAAACCAAAUAUGAAGGAAUCUAAGCUUUUGUUGGGCAUAUAUUCAUAGAGUAAAAUCUUCUCAUCACCUUCAACACAAUAGCCCAAAAGUCUAACCAGAUUCCGAUGCUGAAGUUUGGCAAUUAACACAACCUCAUUCUUAAAUUCCUGUAGGCCUUGUCCUGAAGCUCUAGAGAGUCUCUUAACCGCAAUUUCUCGCCCCUCUGGAAACUUGCCCUGGAAGCCACAGUGCAUAUGCAUUGGGCAUAUGUUAGAACUUGGUGACUUGAAUUCUAUUUGGUUCGAUUCCAGAAGCUCGCGAUGCGACAUAGGUAGUAAAGCUAAAAUUAUGAAUUUUUUUUUUGGUCUAUGGUAGUAACAGAGGGAUCGGACCUAUUACUCUUUCAUGUAUAUAUAUAUAUAUAUAUAUAUACAUGCGGUGAUAUAUAGUUUUCAAUGUUAUGAUGAUUAUGUUUUUGCUAUAGUCGUCCGUAUCUCUUUCCUCUUGUACUAAUUUUUGACAUAGUAAAAUUUCUUCUCUUUGUGGUCUUUCUUAUCUAGGGUUUUCCACACAAAUCUAUGUGUUCUUAUCCUGUUUUAUUCCUUAUUGCAUAUUCUCAUUAUUUUGUAACAGCAUUGAUGAUGAGAAAUCAGUUGAAAAUGAGAGGAACAUGGAAGUUAAGAACAAUUACCUUGUAAACUGGACCAAAACCCCCUUGUCCAAGCUUAUUUGCAUCUGAAAAGUUAUCUGUAGCAGCCAGUAUGUCUUCUAAGUCGAAAAACGGUACAUCAAUGCCUUUCUUAUCCUCUUCUUUGAAUUGCUCUGAGUCUAUUAAGUGUUUCACAUGACUCUCACUAUCAUAUAAGUGAAGCACUUGAUUUGCUCUGUUCUCUGAACUCAAAAAAAAAACAGAAAAUAUUGUAUAGAAGACCCUGAAAUAUUCUCAAUUCAGCCAAGCACAAGUCGAAAAGAAAAGACCAGAAGUUAUAGGCUAGUGCAUAUGGCACAAAGAUUACCUUUCCUUUUGGUGAUGGUUCUUUUGCGCAAACAAGCAAUAUAACCAAUGAUGCCUAAAACCGCAACUAGAACGACAGCAAUUGUUAUGCCUACCACAACCACUGGAGAUGACGACGAUGACUUCUGAUCAGCAGGCUUUGUACCCUCUGCAGGAUUGACACCUGAAACAAAGAAGGAACUGAAUUGAACUUCUCUCACCUACCCAGAAGGCAAAUUUAGUAAGAUACUUGGUGAACAGAAUCCUCACCUUGUGUACAAUUUAAACUUGAGCUAUUCCAUUUGAAGUUUUCAUUGCAAAAGCACCUUCUCGUUCCAUCUCGCGUUCCGCAGGUUGAAUUUGGCCAGUCCUUGCAAUCUGCUGAUGAGGUACACACCGGCUCCAAUGGUGGAUCCCAACUGAUCUCUACUUCAAUACUAUUUUUCAAUGACAUCUCAGAGCCAAAAUUGUCAGUUCCAACCUCUUUGCACACAUCAGUCAAGUGAAAAGGCGGGUUUAGUGGCGGAAUCAGACUUCGUGAACUGCAAUCCGCUUCUUUCAGUUGGAUUACAAAUGUUAAUGUCUCUGGGUUAAUGCUAGUUACUCGGUAGGGACCACCAGGUACCUUGAACUGAACCUGGGCUGUGAUAUUGUUACAUUCAAAAUUGAAGUACGUUGAAUCACCACACUUUGAUCCAGUGCUUAGAGGAUAAGGAAUCAUGUUUGAGCCACAAGUUUCACAAUUCCUUAAUGUUGUUUCUGCAAAGACAGUAGAAUACCAUGUGGGCAUUUCAGUUACAAAUGGAUUAAUGCUUGUUUUUUCAAAGAAAAAAUAAAAUAAAAAUUGAAAGGGACAUACUUAUAUCUGAAAUGGCCACACGAACGGAGAGGUUGUAGGCAUCAGAGGCAUACUCCUCCUGAAGAUCAGUAAGGUCAUCCGUCCAAAUCAAGCAAUAUUCUAGGGCAUCAGUGACACCUCUUUGUCGUUUGAUAUAAGUUUCAGCAUAAGCUUGACAUCGGCAUUCUUUAAGGCAAGCCUUUCUGCAAUAAUCACUAUCAUUCGUAUCUGGUAUAAUCACACGGUCUGGCUUUCUCACUUUCAUCAUCUUUAAGCUCAGGAACACGUCUUCACUGGAACUCUUCUCGCAUAUGGGAGACUUUCUGGUACACCCACUUGAAAACUCUUCAGUUUUCCAAAUAUCCGGCGAGGCGGGUUUGAACCCAGGUAAACAUUUGCACAUCAAAGCAUUGUUAGUGUUACAACUACCGAAUUUCCCACAAGCUUUUGGCACACUGCAUCGAUCUUGCGGUGCCCACCAGUCUGGAGAUGAUCUACUCGGAUUCAGAUAGUACCUGAUUUCCCCUGAAGAACUCAUCACCAACCGACUGGUAUUCUUAUACCUGGAGGACACUAUUUCAAGGGUUCUAUUGUAGAAUUUUCCAGGGCUGGUUGACUUGCCGGUCUUGCUGAAGUUGGAUAACAAGCUGAGUAUUGCAUAUGGCAUUUCUUUCGAGUCCUCACUGCUCCAAUAUGAGACAAAUGAAUCCUGUAUGUUAUACUGAUCCUCAUUGUCUUGAUCUAGCUUGAAAGUAAAGUUUCCAGGUGCCGGGUCAACAGAACUCAGCCAUGAAGUCAAUAUUAAGUUUUCAUCCAUCUUCAUCCCAGGAAGAAAAGUAUCUGUAGGAUGAUCGAAGCUCUCCCAAAGAAUUAUCCCUGAUCUGUUGUCACUCAAAACAAGGUUCCCAGAGUCCAUGAGCUUCACCACCCUCCCUGUUGAUGAAUAUGUUGCAAUAUCAGAAGACCAGUGAACUGUCCCAUUUGCAUCCAAUACCUUGAGCUCACCAUCUUCUUUAAUGGCAAAAACUCCAGAGGGGGUAUCAGAAAGGGGAAGGGGUUUCUUUCGGUUGGCCACCCAUACAACGCUUCGUGGUUUCGACUUGUAAUACCAUAUGCCCACGAAUCUUCCAAUCUUGGAGCUUCCAUUUGGAUUAAAGAAGCCAAGUUCAAAGGUUUUGCCUGCAGAAACAACAGUUUCUCCAUCAUCACUAAGCCAGUCCUCCGGUGUGAUGGUAUCUCUAGCAGAGCAAUACAGGACAGAACACAAGACGAAAAAGAUGGUAGAUAGCAUGUGAGUUGCAGAGACAGGAACCAUGAAUUUUCUUCUUAUCAUUUUGCCUCUUUUUAGAGCUGUGUCCUCAAAUCUAUAGUUUUUAGUGGAGACUUUUCCUCUUGACCCUGAGUGGAGCAAAGUCACGUACUGUUCUUAGUCUUCCUCCCGCAAACCAAAUAAGGGUUGUCCUUUUGUACCCACUAUUUAUUUUGGACCUACCUACCCUCGUUUCAGGACUUUUCUUAAUAGUACGGUAAUUUAAAAAAAUUAUGCUUAAAUUAUUGUAGUAGAAAAAGUUAUUACAAAUAUAUGGUAGUUUUUGCCACCUAGGAGAGAGGAGAUAGGAGAGAAAAGAGAGGGUGAACAGAUAAUUUUUUUUUUAAACCAAAAUCAUCUUUUCAAAUUUCAAAAGACGAAAUCGUCUUUUCAAAAGACGAUUUUAAAAAAAUUUCAAAAGGGAAAUCGUCUCUUUAAGAGACGAGUUCCCAUGAAAAAAAAUAUAUAUUUUUUUUUUAAAAAUUCCCAAAUUAUAAAAAAAAUAAAAAAAUAAAAAAUUCCUCAAGGGAACUCGUCUCUUCAAGAGACGAAUUCCCAUGAAAAAAAAAAAAUCCUCAAGGGAACUCGUUUCUUCAAAAAUAUAUAUAUAUAUAUAUAUAUAUAUAUAUAUAUAUAUAUAUUUAUAUAUAUAUAUAUAUAUAUAUUUAAAAAAUUCCCAAAUUAUAUUUAAAAAAAAAAAAAAAAAACAAUUCAUCAAGGAAACUUGUCUCUUGAAGAAAUUAAAAAAAAAAAAAGAAUUCCCAAAUUNNNNNNNNNNNNNNNNNNNNNNNNNNNNNNNNNNNNNNNNNNNNNNNNNNNNNNNNNNNNNNNNNNNNNNNNNNNNNNNNNNNNNNNNNNNNNNNNNNNNNNNNNNNNNNNNNNNNNNNNNNNNNNNNNNNNNNNNNNNNNNNNNNNNNNNNNNNNNNNNNNNNNNNNNNNNNNNNNNNNNNNNNNNNNNNNNNNNNNNNNNNNNNNNNNNNNNNNNNNNNNNNNNNNNNNNNNNNNNNNNNNNNNNNNNNNNNNNNNNNNNNNNNNNNNNNNNNNNNNNNNNNNNNNNNNNNNNNNNNNNNNNNNNNNNNNNNNNNNNNNNNNNNNNNNNNNNNNNNNNNNNNNNNNNNNNNNNNNNNNNNNNNNNNNNNNNNNNNNNNNNNNNNNNNNNNNNNNNNNNNNNNNNNNNNNNNNNNNNNNNNNNNNNNNNNNNNNNNNNNNNNNNNNNNNNNNNNNNNNNNNNNNNNNNNNNNNNNNNNNNNNNNNNNNNNNNNNNNNNNNNNNNNNNNNNNNNNNNNNNNNNNNNNNNNNNNNNNNNNNNNNNNNNNNNNNNNNNNNNNNNNNNNNNNNNNNNNNNNNNNNNNNNNNNNNNNNNNNNNNNNNNNNNNNNNNNNNNNNNNNNNNNNNNNNNNNNNNNNNNNNNNNNNNNNNNNNNNNNNNNNNNNNNNNNNNNNNNNNNNNNNNNNNNNNNNNNNNNNNNNNNNNNNNNNNNNNNNNNNNNNNNNNNNNNNNNNNNNNNNNNNNNNNNNNNNNNNNNNNNNNNNNNNNNNNNNNNNNNNNNNNNNNNNNNNNNNNNNNNNNNNNNNNNNNNNNNNNNNNNNNNNNNNNNNNNNNNNNNNNNNNNNNNNNNNNNNNNNNNNNNNNNNNNNNNNNNNNNNNNNNNNNNNNNNNNNNNNNNNNNNNNNNNNNNNNNNNNNNNNNNNNNNNNNNNNNNNNNNNNNNNNNNNNNNNNNNNNNNNNNNNNNNNNNNNNNNNNNNNNNNNNNNNNNNNNNNNNNNNNNNNNNNNNNNNNNNNNNNNNNNNNNNNNNNNNNNNNNNNNNNNNNNNNNNNNNNNNNNNNNNNNNNNNNNNNNNNNNNNNNNNNNNNNNNNNNNNNNNNNNNNNNNNNNNNNNNNNNNNNNNNNNNNNNNNNNNNNNNNNNNNNNNNNNNNNNNNNNNNNNNNNNNNNNNNNNNNNNNNNNNNNNNNNNNNNNNNNNNNNNNNNNNNNNNNNNNNNNNNNNNNNNNNNNNNNNNNNNNNNNNNNNNNNNNNNNNNNNNNNNNNNNNNNNNNNNNNNNNNNNNNNNNNNNNNNNNNNNNNNNNNNNNNNNNNNNNNNNNNNNNNNNNNNNNNNNNNNNNNNNNNNNNNNNNNNNNNNNNNNNNNNNNNNNNNNNNNNNNNNNNNNNNNNNNNNNNNNNNNNNNNNNNNNNNNNNNNNNNNNNNNNNNNNNNNNNNNNNNNNNNNNNNNNNNNNNNNNNNNNNNNNNNNNNNNNNNNNNNNNNNNNNNNNNNNNNNNNNNNNNNNNNNNNNNNNNNNNNNNNNNNNNNNNNNNNNNNNNNNNNNNNNNNNNNNNNNNNNNNNNNNNNNNNNNNNNNNNNNNNNNNNNNNNNNNNNNNNNNNNNNNNNNNNNNNNNNNNNNNNNNNNNNNNNNNNNNNNNNNNNNNNNNNNNNNNNNNNNNNNNNNNNNNNNNNNNNNNNNNNNNNNNNNNNNNNNNNNNNNNNNNNNNNNNNNNNNNNNNNNNNNNNNNNNNNNNNNNNNNNNNNNNNNNNNNNNNNNNNNNNNNNNNNNNNNNNNNNNNNNNNNNNNNNNNNNNNNNNNNNNNNNNNNNNNNNNNNNNNNNNNNNNNNNNNNNNNNNNNNNNNNNNNNNNNNNNNNNNNNNNNNNNNNNNNNNNNNNNNNNNNNNNNNNNNNNNNNNNNNNNNNNNNNNNNNNNNNNNNNNNNNNNNNNNNNNNNNNNNNNNNNNNNNNNNNNNNNNNNNNNNNNNNNNNNNNNNNNNNNNNNNNNNNNNNNNNNNNNNNNNNNNNNNNNNNNNNNNNNNNNNNNNNNNNNNNNNNNNNNNNNNNNNNNNNNNNNNNNNNNNNNNNNNNNNNNNNNNNNNNNNNNNNNNNNNNNNNNNNNNNNNNNNNNNNNNNNNNNNNNNNNNNNNNNNNNNNNNNNNNNNNUCAUGUCUUAGCUGCUACACGUAUAUCAGAAUUUCGGGGCUGUUCAGACUUGGGCAAUAUAUGGCCAGUUUAUUCAUCCAACCUACCAGUACUUUCUGGUUAUGGAGCAUCACGAUCAGAUGUUAAUUGUAAGAGCUUUGCGUCCAUUUGACGAGAUUGGACAUGUAAUCAGCAGGAGGGAGAAUUCCGUUAAAAGUGUAAGGAAGUCCAUGAUACAUUGGGAAGGCCUGUAUUACUCAAUCUCCUUAGAUACGGAAUGGUAAAAUAGAAGAGAACAUCUUGUUUAAUAAGAAGAUGGACAGAGAAAGGUAUGAAAGGGUUCUUGAUGCAUAUUCCUUGAAAAAGAACCUGGAGGUUCUCUCAUUUGGUGAUCAGACAGUUAUAGUGCUGUGGAUGCUCGCGCAGGAACCAAUUUCUUUAAAGAAUAUUUGUUGUGUCUCUUAGGUUCGAAAGUAGUGAUUUAUGUUACGCAUCAAGUAGAGUUCUUACCUGUUGCUGAUUUCAUAUUGGUCAUAAAAGAUGUAAUCUUUCUUUCAGAGCAAGAACCCAUGUUAUCCUUUGCUUCAGAAUUACUAGAUCAUGUGGGCUUUCAAGAGAACGAAAUUGUGACAGAGGCUUUCAUAUAGGCACUUACAAGCAAGAAGAUUCUGAAUCUGUAUACUUGGAAGCUUCAGUUUUUAAGGCUCUGUUUCAUUUCAUAUAUUGAGAUCCAUUACCUAGCAUAGAAGAGUUCUUCUACUUUAAGAGGCUUAGUAUCUGCUCAACAGAUUGGUACAGUCCAGGUAGGUCCAGGCAGCUAUGCGAGUCUAAUCUCCGUGAAGAUGCUGCUGUAAAUAUUGUAGCAACUACCUUAGCUUGUGAUCAGAAUAGCACCUCUGUUUCCAGCUAAAAGCUGGAUGUCACAAAUUUGUUGAAAUCUUUGAAAAAUCUGAGAACCGUAGGCCUUUUGUCUGAUUCUCUUUCCAGUAACCCAAUCAGAAAAGGUAUUGGAGCAUGUCAUGGAGUGCAUUGUGCCAGUCUCUGGUUUAUCCAUGGUAGAAAGGCAACAAACUUGAUAAGUGGUUCACGUAUGCAAUGUUUAUAUGCAAUAAACAGAGUGCUAACAGUCUUUGUUACUACUUCUAAACUGGUCCAUUAUGUGAAAUAACCAGCUUAGAUCCAAGAUUUAUAAUCGGUUUGAUUUGGUCAGGAAAGACAAAGUGCUAUGCUCACUAGCUUGGUCGAUUGGCAUUAAUGUUGGCGAAUUUUGGAGCAUUCAUAUAAGCUUUAUAGAGUUUAUGAAACAGCAGUAGCGGCUGGGGAUCUGGAGUCAGUUCUCCAUGUACGAAACGAAAAUGGCAAUUUUUUUUUUGCACACCAGUGGAGAAGGCAAAUUCAAACUGCUCUUCUAAAAAGGAAUUUGUACGAAUCCCAGAAUUCUUUCUUAUGCUGUGCUUAAUAGGUAACAGAAGUGGUUGUGGAACUUGACACUGCAGUAUCAAGAGAAUAAGAGCAUGGAAGAAUGGCUUCAGUUGGUUCUGUCUUGUUAUCUAAGAGUCCAGUGAGUAUCAAAAAGCAAUAAAUUUUGAGAAGUCUUCAUCAGCAGAAUCAGGUCGUCAAUCUUCUUCCUCGACAUAGCUGGAUAUGACAUAGAAGAAAAGAAAGAUGAAAGAGCUGGCACUUGAAUUUUCACAGAGCCCCAUUAUUUAGGACAGCAACAUGUGGACCACCUUCAACUACCUUGACUCCAAUUGAUGGUUCAGAUGAAUAUGAAUUUGUUUCUAAACCCUCUGAGGCAGAAUCCCUCACGUGCCAGACAUACCAUGAGCUUAUUGCUUUAAUUUAUGACUCAAUUGAAGUUGUUAAUUAAGCCUAAACCAUAGUAGCAAUAUGAGGAAACUCUCUGCUAAUGUUCAUGAUUCAUUUCCUGAUUUGAGCAGUCGCACAUCUUUUGCAAAUAAAUUUGCAGAAACUGGUGUACCUAUGGGUAAUAAUGAUAAGUUACAUCACUUCGGUCUGUUAAUAUCUGAGUACAGAGGCUCCCAUAUGAGGUCUAGUCAGUCAUCAAAUCUAUCUACAAAUAUAGGCGAUCAAAGUCACUUCAUAUGUACCUUACAUGAGAGAGAUGCUUUAUUGCCCAGACAGAGUUCGAUAGGUGCUGCGUCCGAUCAAUCUCUUAUUGCAAAGACAUAAUCUGAUGAUUGUUGAAGAAAUAUAUGAUCUAAAUCCCGUGUUCAUCAAAAUGCCAUAGAUGCCCGGCAUUUAUCUCGCAUGGAGCAAGAAUUCAAUAGCUAUGACUUGACAGCAGCAACAAGUUCGCAAUCAGUUUCGAAUCCUACGGAUGCUCAAGCUGUCUUUGGAACCCUGACAAGAAGGAGUAGCUAUUCAGACUGUCUCCAACAAUACACCCAGCGCUGAUAGUUUCUGAUGGAUAACAGAGAUCAGUGCAAGGAAAUGGGAGGGUGCUGCUGCUGUUCUUCUAAGGGAAUUGAACUGAAUGGCAUACCAGCAUACUAUUCUUGCCCAAGAGCAUCAGAAGAACAUGAACUCUUAUCAUCUCGUCAUGGAACAGCCUCCACGCUCUCUACAGGACUCUUAGUUGAUACAGAUCUGGGAACAUCACCUUCUGACGCUUAUAGACCACCUCCUGCACCAAUUCCAUACGAUGUGGAUUGAGGACAUCCUCAAACUUCACCAGUUGCUGAAGAUAGCUAAUGUGGUCUUAUAAUGAGAACUCCCUGCUCCGUAUAAGAGGAAAGUCUUGAUUCAAGGUAGAAGGACGCAUGGUUCAAUCAGUGACUAAGAGAUACUUGGUUUUCGAAACGGCUAGGUCCAGAUUUUGCAGCUGUCGAUAGGGAUGUUCUGGCCAGAAUUGCAUAUUCUAAAUUAUUUGAUUGGGUUGUGGGCAAGACAAUUUGUUCUCCUUAUGACAGAUAGAUUGCAUUCGAAGAUGGAUGAUCUUUUAUAGACUGUGGAUUCUGCCAUUGACCUCCAUAACAAGAUGAUUAAAAAUGUGUACCUGAUAUUAAAACAGAAAUGAACUGGACAGUCCCAGAGAUCAAAGGUAACUUAGCUGAGCAAAUUGAAGAUGCUGGAAACUGCACCCUAGGAGGGAGGCUGCAAGACAAGCUCAGGUAAAAGCUGAUGAAAUUGCAAAGCUGAUGAAAGAAAAUGAGCAGCUAAAAAUUGUAAAUGAGGAUUUUGAAGAGAAAAUCCAAUGCAGCAGAAACUGAGUCUCUACGAGAAAAGCAAGCUGCUCCAGAAUUUCAGAUUGAGAAGUCAAGGGCACAGAUUAGAGAGUUUGAAGAAGAGAAGAAAUGACUGACAACCAAACUACAGGUGGAAGAGAAUAAGGUGGAGAGUAUUAAAAAGAGCAAGUGACAAGCAACACAAAUCGAAGCUUGCCACUGCCAGUGACUCUAAUGACGCUGCUGAUUCUAAAUUCAGGUUAAAAGAUUUAAAUUUGAGAGUAAAUAUAAUGUUUCUCAAUUCAAUAGAACCCACCAGUGGGCUUGCUUAGUUUGACAGAACACAUCAGCAAGUUAGCAUCUGACCAGCAUGAAUAAGAAUCAGUGGGCUCACUUUACCUUGAUUGUCCUCUUGUUGAUGAUCUCCAAGUGAAUCAGAGGUAGCAAGUCCAGGUAUCAGAAGGGUUGGGGUAACUUAACGAUGAGAGCAAGUGAAGAACCUACAGAUUGCCUAAUUGUUUCCAAGAUUACUCACAGUUAUGUUCCAGAUUUUGAAGAAUUCCAUAAGCACUGUGGAGUAGGAAAAGUUGUUUCUGGUUAUGUUUUAAAUGUCAAUAAGGAGCUUUAAGACAUGCCAAUAAACCGCCAAGGCGCCUAAUGAAGGUUGUGACCUAUAUCUAGAUGAUUUUGGGAUGCCCAGUUGCGGCUUCUGAACACAGGGACCUUUUCGAAGAGAAAAUAACAACAAAUUUCCGCAACAACCUCAUCAAUUUCAACAGCAGUUCGUUCCAAGUCAACAUCAACAGAAGCCAUCGGAAUCAAUUCCAGCAGAUCUCCUCUAAAGACCGUUCUAGAGCCCAAUACCAUUUUCCUCUUGCACCCUCCUGUUCUCCUCGUGCUUUUACGUGUUUUGAAUUGUGUUUUCAAAAUCGUUUUCAUCCAAAUAACCCUAACUUUAGGGAAUUACCCCCAAACUCUUUCUAGGUAUAAAAUCCCAGUUUUAACAUGCUAUUUGCUGCCACUUUCCUUCGGGUAUGCACUUUCAACGUUUUAUUUGAUCUUUAACUAUUUUUUGUGUUUUUCUUGAUUUUCAAUAAGCAUGAACAAACUCCAUAAUUCCAAGUCAUGGAAUUUAUGGAAUCAACUCGUGCGAAAUUAAUUAGGGCUUUGAUGGGGGCCCAACAUUCAUGAUAUCCUCUUCAAUAGUUUUUGUUUGACAUUUGAUUAAUUGUGUUUUCUCUUUGAGAUACGUGAGAUUAUUAUGCACCUAUUAUUAAGCAAUCUUGUUUCCCAUAGUGGCGUUUUAGCUUGCUAUCCAGGUACACUCCUUCACACUUAUUUUUGAGAAUUCCAUGGACAUAUGUGUUAUUGAUGACUAUAUCCAUACAUGAUGUGAUUUUUGGAUGUCUUGAUAUAUGCCUGAUUUGCUUGAAUAAAACAAAUGUUGUGUGCUACAUUUCUACACUAACUUUUAUGUUUUAUGAUAGCGCUUGAAGAGUGGUUCAGGUACGCACCUUAACUCUCCUUUAUCGCAAUUUGAUUGUGUUUGGCAUGCCACUCUCUAAAAUCACCUAGCCUUUAUAGGUAUCUAUAAUUAAUGGAUUAAUUGCCACACUUCCCUUAACUUUGUCAGUAGAGACCUUUUUAGGGCUUAGAGGGGUGCUACCUCCUAGAGGUACCUUCCCAAUAAGUAACCUGAUCCCCGGACCUAGACUCGGGUUUCUCAAAGACAUGUUUUUUCCAAAACUAUGGAGUCACUUUUUAGGGUUUUUCUUUCUUGUUUUAUUUUCCGUUUAAAAUAAAAAUAAAAUAGGUGGCGACUCCAACUUUUUUUUAAAAUUGAUUUUUCACAAAUAAAAAGCGAGUCUCGCCGAUCGAGUGGGGACGCACGUGAAAAAUGCGAGUCCACAAAUUGGCGACUCCGCUAGGGAUUUUGAGGAUCAAGCUUGAACAAUAGUUGAGGAAAAUGUGGCGUUUAAUUGGUCGAUUAGUGGGUACCUUUUUUUUUAGGCAAGGUGAUUUGAUUUGCUUGCUUGUUUGGUUUGUUAUCUUAACAUGUUUGAUUGCCUUGGAUGAUCACUUGAUUGUUUUGCUCACUUAGCAUGAUUCACUCUCACAUAUGUUAGAUAGGACUUUGUUUGUUUGAUAUUUAUUUGAUUCGCAUGACUGUUUGAUGUGAUCACUUAACUGUUUAUUCACUUUAGCAUGAUUCACUCUCACAUAUGCUAGAUAGGACUUUGAUUGUUUGAUAUUUAUCUGCUUCGCAUGGCUGCUUGUUGCAUGACAAUCCUUUCUCUUGGAUGUUCGUAUGAUUGCUUGUCUUCGUUCACUAUUUCACUUUAGAUCUUAGGUUUUUCGGAUGCACCCACAUCCUUUAUUAUGCACUUUAGAUUAUCCCUGAGUGUUGAGAGAUGGGAGAGCCUUCACCUUUAAGAAACCCCCUGGGAACGCGAGGAAGUGCAUGUGUGGAGGUGAUGACCACCUUGCAUGGAAGCACCCCGUCUCCUUGGAGGCGUGCAGAGGGUUGCGUACCGUCGGAGGGUACGAUCGCUUCUGCUAGGGAUCCUUUGACCCACCCAUUUUAUCCUAUAGAGCCGCCUCAACCUUGUAGGCUAACCUAGACCCAAUUAAGAAUUCACUCCUACACGUGGGUGCAUCUGUGGACCUUCACAGCUGCCUUGGUCACAAUUGGGUUCAGUUAUCCUCUUCAUGGUCUCCUUUUGGUGUGCUCAGAGAUUGGUACAUGUUUGAGUCUCAAUUGGGCCACCUUUCUGCAUUGUGAUUAGUGUGUUUCCACCUCUUCUGAGCUUCCUUCAUGUCAUUUCUCUUUCCGCGUCUUUGUACCUUAUAGGAAUGUUACUCACUUCAGUUUGGAUUCGACUUUUUAUAUUAGAGUUGGAGAUAGAUUGGUCAAGGUUUCAAAGCAAUCAGGUAUGGAUCCUCAGCAUGAUACAGUUGAUCGACCUACAGUCACCAUGACUCUAUUUAGGAUGCAUUAGCAGGUUUGAGCUAGAUGAUUGAUGGACAGUGAGAUAGAUGGCAUCCAGUUCAAGAUGAGAUGUCGUAUGAUUCAUUACCACCCACCCCCACCACCCAGUUAACCAGUGACAUUGUUGAGGGUGACUUCGUACAUAUGAUGAGUUUAGUGGAUUAUGAGUCAAAGUUUAUCAGAUGAGAGUUCUUAUAGAGGACGUUAGUUUUUCUCAGAUGGGAGAUUUGAUUAACAUGGUUUUUCUUCAUGAUGAGCCUGAGGUAGACGUAUUGGAUGAUAGUUGGAUGUUUGGCACAGAUUAGCCCGAGAUAGUUCACUCUCUUGAUAUGCUUGAGAUCUUCAUUGUUGAGAGUUCAGAAAAGAUUCAGUUUAUUUAUGUUGGGGCAUCCCGCUUAUGUUGAUGAUAUGUUUGAGGACGAUAUUAGCCCGGUUAUGGUCAUGGAGAUUCAUCUAUUCCAGGAGACCCUAGGGACUUACUUGGAAUACACCACUUGUCAUUAGAGAGUUGACCCUAGAGAGGAAAUAUGAUUGACAUAUCUGGAUAGAGACCAGUUCUCAAACCCCACCAAUGUGGAUUAGUUGAAGAAGUAUUACAUUUGAGACCAUGGUCACAGGAUGGGUGGCCAUCAUUUCGGUUAGCCUUACACCUUAUCACCUUAUUGAUAUAUUAAACCAUUGCUAGCCCAUUGAGCCUCACGUGGUAUGUUAUAGCCUUAUUUCUUUCUUAUAGCUUUGAUUACCAUUUCUAUACCCGGGUUGGGGCCCUUUGAUGUAUAUGCAUGCUUUGCUAGGAAAGUCUCAUGAGCUUUAGACUUAUAGGUCUAUCUUCUCAUUUUGUUACCAUCCUCUUAUCACCUUAUUUGUUCUAUUUUAUUAUCACCACAUGUUCAUUCUCUUUCUUGACUCUAUCAUUAUUUGCUUCAUCUUAUCUAUUCUCUUCCUUGGGUUGAUGAUUCUUCACGUCUUAGUGCAAAAAGGGCAGUCAUAUCACUCUAUUUAUUCCAUCAUUUGACAUUGAUUCGGAGAUCUUAGUUUGAGAGGUUGUCUCAUGGGUUGGGGUUCAUGUAUUCAUCAGUGAUUUGAGAGAGUUUAUUCAUUUCUUGUAUCUUUCCCAUUGGAGUUUGACUUAUUGAUGAUCAGAGCAUGCGCCAAAAAAAAAAAAAAAACAAAAAACAAAAAAAAAACAAAAAAAAAACAACAAAACAAAACAGAAAAAAAGAAAAAAAGAAAAAAAGAAGAAAAAAGAGAAAAAAAAAAAAAAAAAGCGCAAUGACAUGUUUAUGUAUGGUAUCUUGCUCCAUUGGGCACUUAUAUCACCUUUUGAGGUCUGUUUACUGGGUAUAUUUGUCAUUGUGGGUUCUUGUGAGAUUUUUAUAUGAGUUUUCACUCCUUGAGCCACUCUUGUUAUGCAUUUGGAGUGUUGAGGGUUCAUGUGAGAGUUUUAUGGUAUCCUAUGCUUCUUGGGCCAUGGUUGAUACGUAUUAGGUAUGAGAGAUGAGUGACCUUUUACUAGGGUCUCCGAAUCAUUGUCUUAUACCCACCAUUCCAUCAUUGGUGAUAUGACUCUCCUUUAUUGUACUAACAUGGGUUGAUCAUCACUCAUUCCACUUUCUCAUUGCUUUCUUUUGUAUCCCAUUACCUCUUUCCAGAUCUUUGUUCCAUCUUUUAUUCAUUCCCUACAUAUUGAUACCCAUUACUGAUUUGAUACCUUCUUCACAUCAUUCACAUAUUUCAUUGAUGGUUUGACCAUUCAUCCUUUCUCUCAUUUCGUUAUCGACAUUCCCUUUGGUUACUUCUAAGUCCAUGACUCAUGAGAUUUUUCUAUGCAUUACAUCUUAUACACGAGGGUAUGGGUUUGAUCAUUGGGUAUUUGAGCCUAGUUUCCCUUCAUUUCUUUCACCCUAUCACCCUAGCCUACGUUACGUCCCGUGUCUUAAGACCACCCUGAGGCCAUGAGAUCAGAUGUUAUCUUUGACAGCCUCUACUUAGGUUGGUGUUUGGGAUUUGGUUGAUAUAUAGAUGUUGUCAUGUUUCUUCUUUUGGGAGAUGCUUCUUUGAUGCUUGGAGGUGAUUUGGUGAUGGAUGUGGAUGAUUGUUUCAUCUUACGGAUGAUAUUUGAUGUUGUCUAGCUUCUACUGUACAUCAGAUAUCCACACUGGGGCAUUUUCCCCUUUCAUUUGGAUGAGAUGAGCUCCUAGUGGAGCACUUUCUUUGAGCAUGGACAUUUUCAUUGAUUCGAGAUCCCUAGUGGAGUAUGUUGAGAUGGUAUUAGUUUUAGUGGAGCAUUGUUGAGUUCAUUGACGACUUUCAUGACCCUAGUGUUUCCAUUUGCGGAGUAUUUCUGAGAUAGACUAGUGGAUUAUUACUGAGUUGGAGGCAGUUUUCAGUGCAGUGUAUAGAUCUGGCAUACUGGGACAUAUUUCCCCAUUUUGAGGUUACCAGAUUCAUGUUGGAUAUAGUCAGGGAUUCAUCAGAGACAUGUUUCUACUUUUGAGAUUACCACAUUCCUCAUCAUUUUGGCUAUUCAUUUGAGAUUAGAUUUAGAGUGUCUCCUUUGAGGCAUUGGUCGAUACAUUAUUCUGACUUCCUAGCAGAUUAUUGUUGAGCUGAGGACAGUUGAUUGAUGAUGUUGGAUUCACCCUUUGGUUGUGCAUUAGAUUAUUCACACUGGGGCAUAUUCCCCUCUCCAUUACGAGAUUUAUUUGGGCAGUGAUAUAAGGAUGGAUGAUUGGUGUCGGUUGUUUAGCUUAUGACUUUGACGUCAGAUCUUAUACUGGGGCAUAUUUCCCCCAUUUUCUUUGAGUAUCCUUGAGAUUGAGACAGUGGCCAGCUUGGUUUUAGAUUGAGUACUAGCCCAGAGCUUCCGACGAUCGACUGUAUCAGGGCCUCCCUACAUGGAUUUGUUGAGAUAGAGAUGGAUCGCAUCAGGUUUCAGCCGAGGAGCGUGGGUGGAUCCUUUAGGCAGAUGUUCAUGAGACAGAUUUGUUUUCAUCAUUGUUACCUUGCAGAUUGGAUUAUCCAGAUAAGCAUCAUUUUAUGCACUUUGAGAUUUGCUUUUAGAUGAGCCACGAUAUACACGCUUUGAGAUUCACCUUUUGAGAUUCGUCGACAGAGCAGUUUUUUUUCAGACACAGAGGCCUCUUUCAGUUUUGACUUUUCAGAGGUUUGUCAUGAUGUAUUGGUUCUUGACCCAUUGCUUCUAGCAGAUGAUUGGUUUACUGGUUGUUUCAGCAGUGUGAGCACCCUGGAUACUGGGGCAUAUUUCCCUUCUUGGUUUCAGUAGUCCGACCCUUGACAUUUUGAGUAUAUGGCUUUGAGCCAAUUUAUUUCAUGUCCACUUUCUAGUUGGUCUUCUCUAUUAUUCCCUUCUAGGCCCUGAGCCUCGUAGCUUUGAGUUAUUCAUUCCUUCUAGACCCCGAGUUUUAUAGCCCUGAGCAUUCUUCUUCCCUUAGGCCCUGAGCCCACUAGCCCUGAGCUAUUUUUUUUUUUUAAGCCCUGAGCCUCGUAGCUGUGAGCUAUCCAUUCCUUCUAGACCCUGAGUCUUAUAGCCCUGAGCUAUCAUUUUUUCCUUAGGCCCUGAGCCCGCUAGCCCUGAGCUAUCAUUUCCUAUAGACCUAGAGUCUUUCCAGCUCUUAGCUGAGCUUUCAUCAUUUGGUCGCCCAUGAGUGGUUUGACCUAGAGUUUGCGUAUCGCAUUCUCCUUCUAGCCGAUCAGUCAUAGAGCCCGGAGCUCAUAGCCCUGAGCUAUUCGUCGACCCAGAGUCAUUUUUCAUCUUGACCCAGAGUCAUUCAUAGCACCCCGAGCCCUGAGCUCACGACCCGGAGUCAUUUGCAUCAUUCACAUCCUUGAGAUGUUUCGUUUUCAUCAUUCUAGCCACUUGUGAGUGGCCUCGACCCGACACCUUGAGUCGGAAAGUAUCCUGAUCGGCUAUCUAUUUAGAGCCCGGAGCUCUCGACCCAGAGUCAUUUUCCAUUUUGACCCAGAGUCAUUCCUUUCCAUUUAGAGCCCAGAGCUCUCGACCCAGAGUCACUUUCCAUUUCGACCCAGAGUCAUUCCUUUCCAUUUAGAGCCCGGAGCUCUCGACCUAGAGUCACUUUCCAUUUCGACCCAGAGUCAUUCUUUCCUAUUUUAGAGCCUGGAGCUCUCGACCCAGAGUCAUUUUCCACUUCGACCCAGAGUCAUUCCUUUCCAUUUAGAGCCCGGAGCUCUCGACCCAGAGUCACUUUCCAUUUUGACCCAGAGUCAUUCUUUCCUAUUUUAGAGCUUGGAGCUCUCGACCCAGAGUCACUUUCCAUUUUGACCCAGAGUCAUUUUCCAUUAUGGUCCAGAGUCAUUUCUUUUCCAUUUAGAGCCCGGAGCUCUCGACCCAGAGUCACUUUCCAUUUUGACUCAGAGUCAUUCUUUCCUAUUUUAGAGCUUGGAGCUCUCGACCCAGAGUCACUUUCCAUUUCGACCCAGAGUCAUUCUUUCCUAUUUAGAGCCCAGAGCUCUCGACCCAGAGUCACUUUCCAUUUUGACCCAGAGUCAUUCUUUUCUAUUUAGAGCCUGGAGCUCUCGACCCAGAGUCAUUUUCCAUUUUGACCCAGAGUCAUUCUUUUUAGAGCUUAAAGCUCUCGACCUAGAGUCGAUUUUCCAUUUCGAGCCCAGAGCUCUCGACCCAGAGUUGGUUUUCCAUUUAGAGCCCAGAGCUCUCGACCCAGAGUCGAUUUUCCAUUUCGAGCCCAGAGCUCUCGACCUAGAGUCGAUUUUCUAUUUCGAGCCCAGAGCUCUUGACCUAGAGUCGAUUUUCCAUUUAGAGCCCAGAGUCGAUUUUCCAUUUCGAGCCCAGAGCUCUCGACCCAGAGUUGGUUUUCCAUUUAGAGCCCAGAGCUCUCGACCCAGAGUCGAUUUUCCAUUUCGAGCCCAGAGCUCUCGACCUAGAGUCGAUUUUCCAUUUCGAGCCCAGAGCUCUUGACCCAGAGUCGAUUUUCCAUUUAGAGCCCAGAGCUCUCGACCUAGAGUCGGUUUUCCAUUUAGAUCCCAGAGCUCUCGACCCAGAGUCGAUUUUCCAUUUAGAGCUCAGAGUCGAUUUUCCAUUUAGAGCCCAGAGCUCUCGACCCAGAGUCGGUUUUCCAUUUAGAGCCCAGAGCUCUCGACCCAGAGUCGAUUCUCCAUUUAGAGCCCAGAGCUCUCGACCCAGAGUCGAUUUUCCAUUUAGAGCCCAGAGCUCUCGACCCAGAGUCGGUUUUCCAUUUAGAGCCCAGAGCUCUCGACCCAGAGUCGGUUUUCCAUUUCGAGCCCAGAGCUCUCGACCCAUAGUCGAUUUUCCAUUUCGAGCCCAGAGCUCUUGACCUAGUGUCGAUUUUUCACUUAUGACCCAGAAUCAUUCUUUCUGUGCAAAGCUUUAAGCUCACGACCUGAAGUUAUUCCCUUUUUGUGAUUGCGUCCCCAUGUUUAGAUCUUACCUCUUCAUGUACUAGGACAAAAUCUCUGGUCCUUCUUUAAUUCUUCGGUAUAGUUCACUUCAUUCUGCUCAUUACUCGUAUUUCUACUCACAUUCUCUACACUCGUGAUCUAUACCGAAGAGGGGCAUAUUUGUAGACCCUCAAUUUUGUCCCUUUAACACAUGUCUUUAAGUUCGUUUCCAGUGCUCCACGGUAGUUCCUUGGUGGCCCAUUACUACUCGUACCACUUACCUUUUUUCUGAGUCACCUCGGAGACUUUGGUUGAGGGAUUAUCUGACCCCUUAUUGUGACCCCUUGGCAGCCCUAAUUUAGACUUAGGCUUUUCUUGUUUUUUUAGGAUAGCCUUUAGAUACACUUGGCCCAUUAGGCACCACCCUAGGCCCGCUUAGUCUCAUCAUAGGCCCGUUUAGGCACACUUGGCCCAUUUGGACAUUUUUAGCGUGACUUGUAUGACUUGCAUGGUUACAUGGCUUUUAGGCUCGGCUUUUGUUUAUUGGUUUAUUUUUUAUUUUUUUUUAUUUUUUUAUUUUAUUUUAUUUUUUUAUUAUUUUUAUUUAAUUUUGUUUUAUUUUAUUUUAUUUUUACCGUUUCCUAAUUUAUUUACUUGCUUAUCUGUUCACUCAAUUAUUUAACUUAGAAAAUUUUCAUGUUUUUGCAAGGAAACUUACUAUUGGAGUUUAAGGAAGGUGGGACUCUCCUUGGAAGGUUUUGGAGGGGAAUUUGAAAUUGGGAAGAUUGCUUUGAUUGGAAGAUUUAAAAAAAGGAAGAGAAGAAGAAAGGAAAUAGGGGAAUUUUCCUUUUGGGAAAAAUUUAGGUCUUGAGGGAAGAUAUAUAUGUGAGAAAAAGGAUUUUUCUGGGGGCGCAGCACUUAUUGGAGUCUAGAGAGGGAGGAGGAGGAAGAAAGAACAAGCAAAAAAGAGGAUUUUUAUCUGGGAAUUAUCCUAGGAGGAAGAAAAAAGAUAGCCAGAAGCCGAGCCAUUGCAACCAAAGCUGUCCAGGUAUGCACCUCGUUGCUUUCGGAAUUCUUACCUAUAUUUGAUUUUUUUUUCCGUGAGUUCGAUUCCUGAAUAUAUAAUUGUUUUGUUGAUUUUUGUGUGGACGAAAAGGGCCACAAUUUGCUUUGUUGAGAUUGGUUACUUGCCUGUUUGCCUUGUUUUGAUUUUGGAUGUCAUUAAUGUCUUCGGAAGCAUAUAUCUCUGUGCCUAUUCCCACUAACCAGAGCCUAUUGAAAAGUCAUGAGAUGUGGUUUUAUUUUCUUUUAAUCUCCCAUGCCUGUUUUCCCAUCGUUUCCGCUAUUCUCUACCAUACUCGUUUUUGCUUUUCUUCCUAUCCGUCCUAUGGCCAUCAAUUCUUCAUAUGGGGGUGAUUCCAAAGCUUGGGCAUGCAAUCAUGAGAUUCAACAAAGAGAACAAACGUUUCAGAAUUCUAGCUUGUCGGCUGUUUAUUCACUUGUUAAGGAUAUGCAGAUUAAGGACAGAUUGAGAAGCAUGGUUCUGGAAAUAGAGGAUCUUUCCGCUGGUUAUUUGGUCUCUGAUAACUACACUUUCACCUUCUGGGUCCGUACCUCCGCUCAGCUAUUGAUGCAUGGGAUCAAUUCGUUUGUACAGGGUGCCGUUCUGAAAAGUGGGUUCAAGUAUGACUCAUAUGUUCAAAGUGGUUAGUUUACAUGUAUACAGGGAUUGGGUGGUUUGGCUGAUUGCUAAUGGAUGUUUUCAUCAAUUUGUGAGCCAAAUUUGGUGUAUCAGAUUGUAAUGGUCAAUGCAUGUGCCAAGAUGGGAGAUCUUUACCUUUGCUCGGAAGUUGUUUGAUAAAAUGCCCCAUAAGAACCUUAUUACACGGAAUGUAGUGAUUUCGGGAUAUGUGCAAUGUGGGUAACCAUGGAGCGAGAAUCACCAUUGGAAAGAAGAGUAUCGACCACUUAAAAGAGAGAAGCACCAGAAUUUCAGAGAGAGGAUGAAGAUACCUCAUGAAAAUAUACAGUGGUUUGGAUGAGCCUGAUGGUCUAUCUGGCCUAGCAUGUUUACACACAUCAUUAAGUUUGCAAGACCAGCUUUCUAAUCAACAAGAAAGCAGGAAACUGGGCAGAAGUUUUAACUUCUUCUGAGUAGGCUUUGCAGAUGGAGCCCACCUCAGUGCAGAGGCAUUCAGAUGUUCUUAAUUGUUUACUGACAUGUGCCACUUCCAGACUAUGGUCCAUUGUUGUUACCUUUCUAAAGGUUCACUCCUAAAGAAGAAAUUUCUCUUGACAUUACUGUACUAGAAGCCCCUCCUAACAUCAUUAUCCCUUCGGAUGUCCCAAAUAUCCUGCUGGUAAAUCCUAUCCUAGUGUAAACUAUGGUGUCUGCUAGAUCUGUUUCUCAUGUCUUAGCUGCUACACGUAUAUCAGAAUUUCGGGGUUGUUCAGACUUGGGCAAUAUAUGGCCAGUUUAUUCAUCCAACCUACCAGUACUUUCUGGUUAUGGAGCAUCACGAUCAGAUGUUAAUUGUAAGAGCUUUGCAUCCAUUUGACGAGAUUGGACAUGUAAUCAGCAGGAGGGAGAAUUCCGUUAAAAGUGUAAGGAAGUCCAUGAUACAUUGGGAAGGCCUGUAUUACUCAAUCUCCUUAGAUACGGAAUGGUAAAAUAGAGAGAAGAUGUUUUAUCUUUUGAUUUUCUAUGAAAUUUCCUUUAAUUGGACUGUUUGUUUAUUUUCUAAGAAUAUUAUAGUAUGUUGUGAUGAAGAUAUUGGUUGGUCAUAUUUGGAAAAUAAUUUUUGAGAAAAUUAUUCUCAAUAUUGUCAUCUCUCGCAAAAGGAUUAUUUUUGCUUUCUUUUCUUAUUGUUUUUAUAUGCAUUGACCAAACUUUGGAGCAAUUUGAAAUUGAUGAUGAAAUUUUCCUUUCAAGGUUAGGAAAUUUCUAUAAAAUCCUUUUAUUACAAAUUUUUUUCCAAUUCUUUCCAUAAAACUCUUCAUUUUCUUCAUUUUUCUUUUUUCUGAAAAAGAUGUUUGAUAAUUUAUUGAUCUAAAGAAUAUUAAAAGUAAAAAAAAUAAAAAUAUUGAAUAUAUUUUCCUUUGAUGUUUUUAAUUUUUUAUUAUUUGAACACAAUUUCAUAUCCAAUUUUUUUAUUAAUUAUUUUAAUUAGAAAAAAGAAAUAUCAAUUGGAGUUUUGACUGAAAAAUCAAUAAUUUUUAUGAAAAACUCUUUAAUUCUUUCUCAUACUAUUUUUUCUCUUAAUAUUUUUUAAUAAUGAAUUAGGUUUUUUGUCUUAUAUACACAAUUUUCAUGCUUGUUAUAAUAUCAUGUCCUAUCAUAUUAGUAGUUGAAAACAUUUUGAUAUUUUGUUACUAAAAUUUUAUUUUAUGUAAUUGAGAUGAAAUUUAAUGGACAUUGUUAUUUCAUAAAAUGAACAUUAAAAAAAUAUUGAAAUUAAGAAAAUCCUUCCAAGAAAUAUAUAUAUAUAUAUAUAUAUAUAAUGUUAAAAAUGAUUUUUAAAAACAUAAUGAAUUAUAAAAAAUAAAUUUAAAAAGUGCAUAUUUUAAGUGGAAGAUUAGUAUUUUCUAAAUUUUAGAUUUAUAUUUUGAUUUGGUAGUUUUGAUUUAUUUUUUAUUUUCUUGAAUUGUUUUUAUUUGAAUUCAAAUGUGACUACUUUGUUAUGAGAUUCAUUAAAGAGAUAAUUGUUGAUUCUAUAGUUAUUGCAUUAAAGGUUUUACUCAUUUAAAUAAUUGCACAUAGUUUCAUACUUCCAAUUAUUGUGAUAUUAAUGUUAUUAUCAUUUGAUUUUAGUUUGAUGAUAAAAAAAAAACAUAUUCUUAAGUAGAAUGUGAUGAAAUUAGAGGAGAAUUGACUACUUUUAUAUUAUAACUAAUCAAGAAUCAUGUUGAUGUAUCGUGAUCAUGCAUGGUGAGUCCCUUAGUUGUUAUAUGAAUUUUCCAUUGGUAUUGUAUAACAUUACUUAUUCUUUACAAAUUAUUUUUAUAUCAAAAUGGAAAAAAGAAAAAAGAAAACAUUAGUAGUUAGAUUUGUUUAUUUUUUAUAACAUUAAUUAAUUUUUAUUUUUAAUAAAAACUCUAAAACUCAUUAAACUAUGAAAUGCAAGUAUACACUCUUGGAAGGACAGUAUGAAGAAUAAAAAGAAAGGAGAAAGAGACAACAAGAUUUUGGGUUUUUAGAUGUAACUUUUAUGCCAUAUAUUAUAGGACAUAAACGUUACUUUAUUUGGUAUCGAGAAUUUUGGGUUUUUGGAUGCAACACUUGUGUCAUUUUAUGGUUAGCCAGUUUUAUGCAUAUGAAUUGUAGGUAUACAUGAAUGUUGGGAUGCUUAACAUUUCUAUGUCAUGUUUUAAUGUGCAUUCACUUUUCCUUUUUAGUUUUGGUGGGUUUGAUGUACUAUCAUUUUGUGAACAUUUGAUAUACAAAUAUUAUUGGAUGAUUUAAUGUAUUACAGGUUGAUCUUAUUUAUUAAUAAGCAUUACAAAAAUCUAUAGGCUAAUCAAUAAAAAACAACCAUAUAUUCCAUAAUCAUUUACAAUGAUGUGACACCAUAACUCAAAGGUGAUGCAUUUAACGUGGCACCAUAACUCAAAGGUGAUGCAUUUAAUAUGACACCUUAUAUAUCUCACACAACUCUAUAUCAAAUUAAGCAUUACUAAAAAUAUAUGGUGCCGCUUCUGAAUGUGUCACCAUUUAUCUACAUUGGUGUCGCUUCCAAAUACAUCACCAAUUGGUACCCUCUAUGGUGUCAGUGGAUAAGGUGACGCUAUGUUGUAGUGACACCUUAUGUUUAUAGUGACUCAUUAUAAAUGUCACCAUAUAUCUUUUUCCUUGUAGUGUAUUCACCCCCUCCCCCUCUAGGUGUAGUCCAUUAUUGAGAUUCACCUUUUCAUCAUCCAUCCACAUGCCAGGAAGAAAAGUAUCAGUAAGAUUAUGGAAGCUCUCCCAAAGAAUCUCCCCUGAUCUGUUGUCACUUAAAACAAGGUUCCCGGAGUCCAUGAGCUUCAUCACCAUGCCUGUAGAUAAAGAUGUCUCAGUAUUAGAAGACCAAUGAACUUUCCCAUUUUCAUCCAAUAAUUUGAGCUUACCAUCGUCUUUAAUGGCAAAAACUCCAGAGGGGGGAUCAGAAAGGGGAAGGGGGCUGUCUUGGUUGGCCACCCAUACAACUCUUUGUGGUUUCAACAAGUAAUACCAUAUGCCAAUGUAUUUUCCAUUGUUGAACCUUCCAUCCGAAUUAAAGAAGCCAAGUUCAAAAGUUUUGCCUACAGAAACAAGAGUUCCUCCAUCAUUUCUAAGCCAAUCCUCUGGUGUGAUGGUAUCUCUAGCAGAGCAAUAUAGGACAGAACAUAAGAAAAAGAUGGUUGAUAGCAUGUGAGUUGUAGAGACAGGAACCAUGAAUUUUCUUCUUAUCAUUUUGCCCUCUAUUGUUGUUAGUCAAAGAACCAUGAAGAGUUGCAGAAACAUGAACCACGAAUUUUCUUCUUAUCAUUUUGCCCUCUAUUGUUGUCAGUCAAAGAACCAUGAAGGGUUUGCUACUGUUGUAUUGCACUCUCAUUUUUAAUGGAGACUUUUCCUUUUGACUCUUGAGUGGAGAAAAUUCAUAUCAGUAUUCUUAUCUUGAUUUUCCUUUUUGAUGCAUAGCUUUCAUCUCUGGACUUUUGUGGCAACUUGAGUCUUUAAGAUGGCAACUUUAAUAUGCUUCCUAGUGUCUUCCAAGUAUUGACGUUUUGUAUGCAUCACCCUCCUCCUUCUACACCAAUUUGUUUCUUUGUAUGUAUAGUUUUAUCUCUUCUAAGCAAUAAAGCAUAUGGCAUCAACCAAUAAAUUUUUCUGUACUUUCUCCAAUUUGGAGGAGCUUCGUAAUGGGACAAACAAGAAAAAUUAGAAGUUUAUUUGGCAAUGCUUGUAGAAACAGUUUUUCAUAACAAUGCUAAGAAACAGUUCUCAAAUGUUUCGACUAACUCAAAUAUAAGAACUAGUUUUCUUUGUUUAUUCUCGUACGUACAAAGCGAAAGUUUAAAAAAUAUUCUUUAUUUUAUGAAUUUUUAUCCAAUGAACUCCAUAAAAAUGAAAAAAAUUACAAACACCUCAAAAUGAUUCUAAAAUAUAAUUCAUCUGCAUAACAAAUUUGGCAAAAAAAAAAAAUCAUUUUUCAUCAAAUGUCUAUCAAACGUGUUUUCUAAUUUACAAAACAAUUUUCUGUUUAAAUAAAAAAAUCUAAAAUAACUACUAAACAUACCCUGAUUUUUGUUUUAAGCUUUUUUCCUUCUCAUGUCUUCUAAUUGCCAUGCAAUGAAUUAUCCACUUCAAACAUUUUUGUGCCAAAGGUAAAGCAAAGGAGAGAAUUACUAAAACAAACCCAGGAAAAUUAAGAAUCAAAGGACAAAAGGGGUUCAAGGAAGUGAUAAAUUUUCUCAAUGAAUUAACUUCACUAAUUGCUCAAAGGCAAGUUGUCAAUUGUUACAGAAUAGUGAAUAUAGGAAAUAAGAAAAACAAAAUAUGAACAUAUAGAUUUGUGUGAAAAAUCCUAAACGAGAAAAACCACGGACAGAUGAGAAGAAGAUCCACUAUAUCAAAAAUUGGUAUAAGAGGAGAGAGUUACGAGCGUCUAUAGCAUAACCCUAAAAAUACAUCAUCACAUAUACACACACAUAUGUAUAUAUAUAUAAAGCAGGUUCAUACUUUUGAAUUCAUUUAAUCUUUAUAUAAUGAAGGAAAGUAAAAUAAAUUAGAAAAAACAUAUGAAAUAAUUUAUUAACUUCGAAUUUAUUUUUUUAUUUUCUUUUGUUUUUUCCUUUCUUCUAUUUUUCCUCUCUAUUUUUUUUUUUCCAUAUUUUGCCUUAUAUUUUUUGAGAACCAAAUCUAGUCUUGAAGUUUCUUGGAAACUUUGGACUUUAGAAAAAACUUAACCUUUUUUUCUUGGGAAUAAUUUUCUAGAUUUGAGGUACAUUAUCUUAGGGGGGUACUAAGCAUGUCAAAAUACUUUCAAAAUCUAACUCCUAUUUUUUGGAAAGUUAUGAAUUAAUAUUUCUAUUUUUUUUUUUUUUUUUACUCUUUCCAAAUCUAAUUUUACUAGGAACCAAAUUUGUGAAUUUUUGCACAAAAUCCUAUCCAAGAGAGGAUCUUUUAGAAAUCUCAUCCAUUCUAUAUUUGAUUGGUAGAGAAUUAAAACCACGGUUGUGCAAAAAGCAUAUGAACAAAUAAAAUUAGACCAAGAUAUAUAUCUAUAUAUCUAUAUAUAUAUAUAUAUAUCAAUGAUUCAACUUAGAAGAAUAAUGCAUUAGAUUUCUACACUUUGAGUAGUUGCCUUGAUUAAGUCCAAUUACUAGAAGCCAAGGUCAAGGUCAUCGAAGUUUGUCCAUUCUCUUUCAUAAUUUCUUUUUUCCUCACUAAAGGAGAGAAUAUCUCUUUUACAAAUCUUGUCUAUUCUUGAUUGAUUUGGUAGAGAAUUUAAAAAAGGGUUGUGCCAAAAGCAUGUCAACAAUUUAAAAUGGACCGAGAGACGAAGCUUCUCAAUGAGUGGAUGUAUAUCUUUGUCAAUCCUUCAACUUUGAAGAAUAAUGCAUUAGACUUCUAUGCUUUAAGUAGUUUCCUUGAUUGAGUCCAAUUAUUAGAAGCCAAAGUCAAAGUCAUCGAAGUUUGUACAUUCUCUCUUGUGGUCCCAUGGUAUUUGCUCUUUUUUACCUCAUUAGAGGAAAAAACAUUAACACAGCUUCAUGUGGGAACCAAGCUUUCUUUUAGCAUCCAUGAUAGUUUUUCUUCCCAAUAAUUAGAAAAAGAUUCAUGAGGACCCCAUAUGAGAACUAUUAUUGGUGAUUGUAUAUAGAAAUAAAGAGAAUUCAUUUAUCCUAUAAAAAACAACCCCUUCCUAACGAUUAUAUAAUUUAUUGGUAACAAUGUGAUAGAAAAUUUUGAGACACAUAUUAUAGAUGAAUCUUGGUUAUGGAUUAUAGUUAGAGGGGGUAAAUAGUUAUUUNNNNNNNNNNNNNNNNNNNNNNNNNNNNNNNNNNNNNNNNNNNNNNNNNNNNNNNNNNNNNNNNNNNNNNNNNNNNNNNNNNNNNNNNNNNNNNNNNNNNNNNNNNNNNNNNNNNNNNNNNNNNNNNNNNNNNNNNNNNNNNNNNNNNNNNNNNNNNNNNNNNNNNNNNNNNNNNNNNNNNNNNNNNNNNNNNNNNNNNNNNNNNNNNNUUUAAGUGACUUGAAAAGCUUGAAGAAGGGCCUUGUGAUUCCAUAAAAGCUUAGUAAUGAUCCUCAAAGUUCAAAUGCAAGCUUAUGUCUAUUUAAUAUGUCUUAAAGAAUUAGUACCACAUAAAAUGAAGUGAUGUCUAGUGUCUAUGUGUUUUGUCCUAGAGUGAAGAACAAGGGAAUUGAAGUUGCUACUUGCACUACUAUUAUCAUCCAGUACAAUCAUGAUUCCUUGAUCUAUUUCAUAAUCACUUUACAAUUGCUUGAUUCAAAGAAGUUAGGCACAAGAACUACCAAUUACAUAUUCCACUUCAUCUAUGGAUAGUCAAACAUCAUUUUGUUUCUUACUCAUCUAAAUCAAGAUGUGAAAUAAAAAAAUGUAUACUUCAAUUGCAAAUAAAGUGGACAAUGUUCCCUUGCUUUUUAAUUAUGAGAGCUAGCCUCACAUGAGCAUUUGGUUUAGAACUAGGUAAUCAUUGAGUCAUCUCCACUAUCUAAUUAAGCCCUUGAAGUCCAAAUACAAGCGAUGAGGUUUGACAAUUUUAUGCUAUGCAAUUAAUGAUAAUGUAGAGAGGACCAAAAAAACAGAAGAGCUUCCUAUUGACACUCAUUAGGAAAAAAAAUUACAUUGAAGCAUAAGAAUAAAUACUCCAUAAAAUUCAAUUUUAAUGAAAUUAUAUAAUACAAAUGAAAAUGAUGUUGUUAAAGAGCAUGGUAUAUAUUGUGAACUCAAAUUCUACAAGUUAACCUUUUAGAAAAAUUGGUAAUUGAGUAGAGCUUGGUUUGACGGGAGGUCAUGUGUUCAAGAGUCGCUUCUCCCCAAUUUGCAUAUUUAUUUCCUCCUAGGCUACCAAUGAUCUCAUUCUUGGAGCAUGUGUUUCUGGUUUGGUAGAAGAAGCAGCAGCCCUACUAUAGAACAAUGGAAGAAGCAUUGGAAUCUUUGUCCCUUCUUCAAGGUCUUUAGAUUUUUUCAAUUUGUUUUCUUUUCAAUUCUCAUGCAUACAUCUAAUUUUCCACUUCCAUAAUAUUUCAACCUCUGGAUGUGAAAUAGUAUUUGUAGAUCAAUCAAAAGUAUUCCAACGUAAUAUGUCACUAUAUAAUAAUCCAAUAUUUCAACCUCUAUAUCUGAAAUAGUAUAUGUAGAUCAAUCAAAAGCAUCCCACCAUGUAUAUUCAGCUAAUGUAAUCGCUACCACCAACAAAACUAAUUAUUGGUUUCAUUUUAAGAUGUUAUAGCUAAUAAAUCCCUACUUUCCUUACCAUCAAUUACUCAAUAGAUAUCAUGCUUCAAUUUAUUCCUAAUUCCAACGGUAAAUCACUGGUAAUAGAAGGCAUGAUAUACAUAUAUAGGGUCAUUUCUUUGAGUGACUUUACUCAAAAGGAUGGUCUUGAUUACAACUAGCAAAUUCUGUUUAUAAGAAGACCCUAUACAAAACUCACAUGGCUAUGAUCAUUACUUGAGUCACUAUCACACAGAAUUCAUACCAGUUUUGCUUACAAAUUGUUCUUAGGAAGAACAUAUUCCAACUGGGGGCUAAUACAAGUAGAGGUUCCAAGCUACAGACCAAGAAGGUAUGUACCAACAGAUACCUAGCUAGGAUUGCUUCUUCUAGUAACGGUUGGUUAUUAGCACAUAAAAAUGUGAGCAGGCAACUAAGUUGGAACCUUAUAGACACCGUUAGUCUCCCUAGCUUAUGAUAAAGAAUCUUUAAGGCCAUUAAGUCAACAGUUCACACUUACUAACUAGGUUUUUCUCUUUGUCGUGACUUUUUUUUUUCUUAUGCUUUUGGUAGAGCCUUGGUUAACACAUAUGCAAUUUGAUCCUCAAUCUUGCAAUAAAGCAGUUUAACUUCACCAUCCUUUUGUUCUUCUCUUAAGUGAUACAACUUGAUCUUGAAAUGCUUAGUCUUGCCAUGAAAAACAUAAUCAUUUGAAAUUGCAAUUGCAGCUUGGUUAUCUACAUGAAUCUGUGUUGGCUCAUUUUGCUUCAUGUGUAGAUCUGCAAGUAUUUUUCUGAUCCAAAUUGCUUGAUUUACAGUAGCAUUGGCUGCUAUAUAUUCUGCAUCUGCUAUACUUUGAGCUAUCACAUCUUGCUUCUUUAAGGACCAUGAAAAAAUUCCAAAUCCAAAGCUGAAACAAAAUCCUGUUGUACUUCUCAUGUCAUCAAUAGAACCUGCCCAAUCACUAUCAGAAUAACCAUGAAGUUUAAAAUUCUGAUAGUAAGAAUAUUUAAUGCCAUAAUUUGUUGUGCCCUUGAUAUAUCUUACAAUCCUUUUGGUAGCUUGAAAAUGCACUUCACUAGCACAAUGCAUGAAUCUUGAAAGCAAGCUUAAUGAAAACAUUAUGUCUGGUUUGGUGGCUGUAAAAUACAUCAAGCAACCAAUCAGGCUCCUGUAUUGGCUUUCAUCCACUUUUUCUGCUCCAUCAUCUUUGCUAAAUUUCUCCUUCUGAUUCAUUGGUGUGCUGGUCCUUUUGCAAUCUUCCAUGUGAAAUUUGUUAAGUAUUUCCUUUGCAUACUUCUUUUGGCUUAUGAAGACUCCAUCAUGAUCUUGCUUCACCUCCAUACCUAGAAAGUAGGACAUCAAGCCAAGGUCUGUCAUCUCAAAUACUUUGAGCAUUUCAGCUUUAAACUCUUUUACCAGUUUCUCAUUGCUACCUGUUACAAACAGAUCAUCAACAUAAACAGAAACUACAAUUAAGUUAGCAUCUGUUCCUUUUAUAUAUAAUGUAGCUUCACUUGGACUUUUAACAAAUCCAAGACUUUGAAGAUGUUCAUCAAUCCUGCUGUACCAGGCCCUAGGAGCCUGUUUAAGACCAUAUAAGGCCUUUUUCAACAAGUAGACCUUCUCCUCUUGUCCCUUGACUUGGAAUCCCUCGGGCUGCUCUACAUAAAUUUCCUCUUGAAAAUAACCAUUUAAAAAAGCAGAUUUUACAUCCAACUGGUAAGUCAUCCAUCCAUUUUGUGCUGUCAAAGCAAGCAACAUUCUGAUUGUAUCCAAGCGUGCUACUGGAGCAAAAGUUUAUGAGAAAUCCACUCCAAACACUUGACUAUACCCCUUCAUAACUAAUCUAGCUUUGUAUUUAUUUAUAGAACCAUCUGUAUUAAGUUUGGUUCUAUAAACCCAUUUGACUCCAAUGACCUUUCUGUGUUGAGGUAUGUCCACCAACUCCCAGGUGUCAUUCUUUUCAAUCAUUCUAAGCUCCUCUUUCAUUGCUUCAGUCCACUUGUCAUCCUUCUCUGCCUCUUCAAAUUCUGCAGGCUCAAAAACAACAACAUUACUUCUUUCAUAAACAUCAGAUAAGGACCUUGUACCUCUAACUAGGGCAUCAUCUAUGUUUUCAUCAAAGUAUUGCGGAACCUCUGGUAGUUGCAUCUUUAUUGACUCCUCCCAAUUCCAUUGUCUAUCCUCUAUGAACUUGACAUCUCUACUUACAAGAAUUUUUCCAUUUUGUGGUUGGAAAAUUCUGUAAGCCUUGGAAGAGUUGCUAUAUCUAAUGAAAACUCCUGGUUCUGCCUUCUUAUCAAGUUUGUCUCUUUUCACCUGUGGCACAUAAGAAAAACAAAGACAACCAAAAGUUCUUGGAUUCUGCAAAUCUGGUUUAUAACCAAACCAGGCUUCAAAUGGAGUUUUUUUUUUUGCAAAACUCUAGUUGGCAGCCUAUUCAGCAAAAAACUGCAGUGUUUGCAGCCUCUGCCCACAAUUUCUUUGGCAACUCCUUCUCAUGUAGCAUACACCUUGUCAUCUCCAUAAUACUUCGAUUUUUUCUCUCACUUACUCCAUUUUGUUGUGGAGUGUAAAGUGUUGUGAGUUGGUGCUCAAUACCGGCUUCUUCAUAGAACUUAUCAAAAAUUUCAUUUGUGUAUUCUUUCCCAUUAUCUGACCUUAUCUUCUGCAUCCUGCAACUGCUUUGAUUCUCCACCCAUGCUUUAUAUUUCCAAAAUACAUUAGGAACCCCAUAUUUGGAUUUGAGGAAAUAAAUCCAACAAAAUCUGGUAUAAUAAUCAAUAAAUGCAAUGUAGUACUUAUUACCAUUUAAAGAUGGUGUUUUCUGAGGUCCUCCAACAUCUGUAUGUACCAGUUGCAGCUUGUGCAUUGCUCUCCAUGUUGUUUGAGGGAAGGGUUUUCUAGUUUGCUUUCCAUAUUGACAAGCCACACAAUCAGCUAGCUUGUCUUGCAGCAAUGGCACACCUUUCACCAAAUUAUGUUUCUGCAUAUAUAGAAGUCCAACAUGGUGGAAAUGCCCGAGCCUUCUGUGCCAUAAUUUUGCAUUGCGUUCAAUGCUUGAAAAUGCUAUUUGCUCAUCCUCCAUUAGAUUUAGAGCAAAGCUUUUUGCUCUCAUUUUCACUUUGAAUACAUCUCUACCUUUCGCGUCUUUGAUCAAGCACCAUUUGUCUUCAAAUAUGACUUUGAAACCUUUUUCAGUUAGCUAUCCAACACUAAGCAGGUUUUGAUCAAUGUCAGGCACAUAUAAAACAUUAGUAAUAUACUUCAAACCUAUUAAGCUUUCUAUAGCCACAGUUCCUUCCUUUACCCUUAACUGAAAUAAAUUCACCAUUUCCAAUUUUUACCUUGGAGAUAAUAGUUUUAUCAAGCUCCUUAAAGAGCUCUUGGUCAUUGGUCAUGUGGUUUGUGCAGCCACUAUCAAUCAACCAAGAAUUGCUAGAGUUGUUACUUGUUGUGAAGCAUGUUGCAACAAAAAGUUUCUCUUCUUGAUGUUGCUUAGUAGAAGCUGUAGGGACUCCUCCCUCCGAGAACACGUGGCACACAUCUUACAGUGACACGUGGCACGCAUCUUACAGUGACACGUGGCACGCAUCUUACAGUGACACAUGGCACGCAUUGUCAUCCGAGUCAUCCUCAUCCGGAUCUUCCUAUAAAGCACACAUGGCGCACUUUUUAUCCGGACUGCCUCAAGGAAGGGCAAACGACGCUUACAAAGCAUAGACAUCCGGACGACUUCCAUUAAUGCGUCCGCUCCACAAUACAUCCGGAUAACCAACAUGGACUAUCCGGAUAUGAUUGUCCGGAUCAUUAACUAAAGUAAAGCGAGUCUUACACUGAUUCGAUGCCCAGUCGGGUCUUUUAAUCAAAAACAUUUAUAAAACCUAUGACCUUAUACUGGCGUAGCAAAGCUACUAUAGUAUAGUAGUUCUAGGGUCGAACUCAGGGAUGAGUUUUCACUCUAUCAGUGACAGACUCUAAAUUAGAAAUUGAUUCUGAUGAUUUCCUUUAGCACAAACUUGAAAUUUAAAAGAAAAUAAAAUUGUUUUGAAAGUGGUGAUUUAAACUAAACUCACAUAGAACUAAGUAAAAAGUGUAAGAAAGAAAGUCUCCCGGAGCUGAAGGUUGCUAGGUUCAAGUGCCAGAUGCAAAGUGGAAAAUUCCGGAUUUUUCUCCUCGCAUUGGGGAUUUAACCUAUAGUUAUUUCCCGAACCGGUAUAGGUUUGACAAUGAAGUUUUAAUCCAUAAAAAGUCACUAGAGAUGGUAGUCAAGGUCCAUUAAUGGCUUAAGACACUAUGGGCUAUCACCUUGAAUCACUUUCCAAUGGCUCGUACAUGAUAACUAAUGGACUGAUAUGGAUCUAGCAAUAAGCAUCCNNNNNNNNNNNNNNNNNNNNNNNNNNNNNNNNNNNNNNNNNNNNNNNNUUCCAAUGGCUCGUACAUGAUAACUAAUGGACUGAUAUGGAUCUAGCAAUAAGCAUCCACAGAGACCUUAAACUUACCAUGUAUUGGCCAGUCAAAGUGAUUCAAAGGAAUUUAAGGCAAAACCUUGGCUUUAUAAACCAUUUAUGGACUCCAACUACCUGAAUUUAAUGCACGAAAACUUUCCAUGUUUUAAUCUGGACUUUUCACCUAGCUUCCUUUACUCCAAGAAACUAAAUGUUUAGCCUCUCAUCCUCUGGGAAAACAUCCUCAGAGGGUGUUUGGCUUACAAGAAAAUAGAAAAUAGAAGAGAGAAAAAGAAAACAAAAGAGAUCUCUGUAUUUCACUAAGUAUCAAAUUUACAUUAGUUGGUCUCCUGGAGAAAGCUCCGAAGCCGAUUUUCAGUGAUUACAAGAGAAUUUAUAUAGGAAGGUAAUUUUACCCUUCCUUGGAUACUUCCUAGCUAAGGAAUUACAUGAGUGGUUGAAUACAAGGAGAAAAUGGAAAUUUAGACACAAAAAUAUCAGAAGAAAAAGAGUCGGCAAAAAUAUCCAAUUUUCGCACGCUGGAGUUCCAAUUUCGCACCUUGGUUUGAGGUGUGCGAAAUUCUCGCACAGUGGACUGAGGAAUUCGCACCUUGCACAGUGGUGUGCGAAAUUGUCCCUCAGCUUGAUGCAGUUGUCUUCCAAAGGCCAUAUCUUUCUCAUUUCAGCUCCAAAUCAUACAUGGUUUGAACCGUUGGAUUCUUGACUUUUGGAGCUUUGAAAUGGUAUAUAGAAUGUAAAAAAUGGACUUCGGAAAGUGCUCCAAAAGUGCGAUGAAAGACUGAAGCUGUGUCCCCUAUUUUCAUCCCCUGUUUUCCUCUUCUCCAUUGUUUCUUCCUUGUAUACUUUGAACGAAUAAGGCAAAGGAUUAUGAGGCUCCAUAGCUUGAUUUCUUCAUAAAUUUAAGCUUUCAAAAGCUUUGCCAUGAACUAUAAAUAGCUCUCCCUCAUUCUUAAAUUGCUUUGGUGAGCAUAAAGCUAUCAAAAAGAACCAAAACUUAACACAAUUGUUAGAAACGAUUGCAAGGGUCCUUAACAUGUUAAUUGGGUUAAAAGGUAAUAAUUACUACUCAAGGGUGUUUAAAAGAGCUAAUUACAAGCUACAAAAUAGCAUGUUUUGAGUAGUAAUCAUACACGCUAUCACAACAACCAACCAUGGCCCACGUCCCAUCACCUGCAGAGUGAAAGGACGGGUUGAGGUGACAACAAGUCACUUCCCACGAUCGUUCUACAUGAUCACUUCCUACGAUCUCUGAUAGCCGCAUCACCUACCACGGUUUCUGACAGCCGCCCGUAGGGUGGUGAUGACCCUGCUGCCAUCUAAAUAUCAUCAUGACAACAUGAAAUAUCUCCCCACCAUUAAUGAGAGGAACAAUACUCCUGACACUAUAUAUAAACCUUCACACGAAGAGGAAGGUAAUCGCCUGAUACCUAGAAAAAGGCCAACUGAUUUAUAUCUCCCUCUCUAACCAUGGCUAACAAAACCAUCGGAGGGUGCGUCCGGACACCCUGUCCGGAUGCCUUUUGCAGGUAUAACGAUUGAAUCAAGAACCUAUUUUGGUUGAGGUCGCGCAUCCAUCCAUUUGGCAACUACGUGGAACACCAGGAGCGCGAGGUAUCAACAUAAGCUUUUGCCUCUUCAUGUUGUCGUGACUUGCAAAUCCACUCCAUGUGUCCAAUCUAACCAUAUUUCUUGCACUUGACAUCAGGCCUCCACCAACACUUCCUUUGUGGGUGAUUUGUCUUUUUGCAGUGUAGGCAAGGUGGAUAGGUUCCAUCCUUGUUUUUGUUGUUGUUGUCAGUCUUGUUGAUCUUCUUCUUAUUGUUGUUUUCUUGUUUUUGCCUCAUCUUGAAUUUUAUGCCUUUGCUUGNNNNNNNNNNNNNNNNNNNNNNNNNNNNNNNNNNNNNNNNNNNNNNNNNNNNNNNNNNNNNNNNNNNNNNNNNNNNNNNNNNNNNNNNNNNNNNNNNNNNNNNNNNNNNNNNNNNNNNNNNNNNNNNNNNNNNNNNNNNNNNNNNNNNNNNNNNNNNNNNNNNNNNNNNNNNNNNNNNNNNNNNNNNNNNNNNNNNNNNNNNNNNNNNNNNNNNNNNNNNNNNNNNNNNNNNNNNNNNNNNNNNNNNNNNNNNNNNNNNNNNNNNNNNNNNNNNNNNNNNNNNNNNNNNNNNNNNNNNNNNNNNNNNNNNNNNNNNNNNNNNNNNNNNNNNNNNNNNNNNNNNNNNNNNNNNNNNNNNNNNNNNNNNNNNNNNNNNNNNNNNNNNNNNNNNNNNNNNNNNNNNNNNNNNNNNNNNNNNNNNNNNNNNNNNNNNNNNNNNNNNNNNNNNNNNNNNNNNNNNNNNNNNNNNNNNNNNNNNNNNNNNNNNNNNNNNNNNNNNNNNNNNNNNNNNNNNNNNNNNNNNNNNNNNNNNNNNNNNNAUUAACAAAUAAGAAGAAUAAGAAAUAUAGUUUCACACUUAAGUAACAACUAAUACUAUAGAGAAAUGACCACAAGCUGGAAAGUCUUGACCAAUUUGAAAAAUCAUUUGAUGUAGUUGAAAUAAUUGAAUUUUGGAUAAAAUUCAUAACUGUCUCAACAUUAUUUUUUUUCCCUUUUUAUUUUUAUUGUUUGAAUAUUCAAGAGUUAAAACCAUUCCAAUGCUCCUUUUUGCCAUGUAUAAUUAAACUGAACCAACAAUUAGGAUAAGCACGAAAAAGAAGGAACCGAGAAGAAGAUAUCAACAAUAUUAACCGGUUUUAUUAUGGGACAACUCAUGAUGUUCAUAUUGAUCUAUUAUGCGCCUUUGCAUCUAGCAUUAGCUAGACUCAUACUGUCCUAGCUCUACUAUAUCUUUUAUUUCAUUUCGAUCUUCUGAAACAAUCACAAACACUUUUCAUUAUUAUUAUUAUUAUGAAUCAAAUGGGACAUAAAUGAAAUUAACAAAUGAGAAGAGUGAAAAAGGUAAUUAACAAAAUUUCAAGCUCAUCGUUGCUAAAUAUUUUAUAAGUAAAAAUUGCCCAAGAAACGAGCCUUUAAAAGUGUACCUUUAUUUAAAAAUAAAUAAAGGUAAAUUAAAGUAUUGACUUAGUACAUAAAUAUCAACACGAUUCCAAUCCAACGCAUUUUUUUGUGGGUUUUGGUUGAAUAUAAUUCUAUUUAUAUCAAAUCCGUAUCAACUUGUGUAAUAUAUUUUACUAAUAGGUUAUUUUUAAAUCAACAUACAUAACAUGAAUUUGACUCAAGUUAACCUUUAUAUUUAAUAAUCAUACCAAUUAACCUAAUUAUAAUUCUAACCGUUUAAUUAAUAUUUGAUUCAUUUUAAAUUUAUUUUUGAACAAAUAGUUAAUUAAAUUAUAACUAUAUUAACUUGUAAGAUUAAUUAUAUAAAUUUAUACAAAACUUAACUCAAUUAAAAAUUUGAUUUAAAUGAGUUAAAUAAAUUACAAAACAUGUUAUUUGUUUAAUAAUUACAUUGUAUUUAGGUUUAUGCUUUUUACUUUAUUAAUAUCAUUAUUAUGAUUGAGUCAACCUAUUUAGUAGAAUGUUUUAGUCUUGAUAUCACACAAAUUGUCAUCCCUAUCUCUAAUCUUGUCAAACAAAUAGUUUGAACGACAUAUUUUUUUAACUAAAGAAAAUUAUUACCUUACAUAGAGUUUUAUUAAAAAAAAAAAGCCAAAUAAAAAAAUGUAAUUAAAAAUAAUUACAAAUUUAUGCAUUUUCAAAUUAUUUAAUAAAUUUAAAGAAGUGAAAUGGAUUUAAACUGACUUAUAAAAAUAAGUUAUCAACUUCAAUUUUUUUUUCUUUCUAAUUUUUUUUUUAAUUUUUUUCCCUCACAUUUUUUUCCAUAGUUAUAGGAAACCAAACAUAACCUAAUUAGGAUCCUACUAUCAUGUUUUUUUAUUCCCAAAAGUUUUUGGGUCUAACCUUUUUCUAAACUUAUUUCAAAGGGCAUCUAUAACACAAGAUAUUAAGUGUGCUUGCUCGACAUGUAGUCUUUCAUUGAUUUCCUUUUCGAUUAAAAACUUUUAGACAAGUCAGAUAUAUAGUUUUUGCUUUCUUAACAGAAAUCAAAGUCUAAGGUGGUGUUUGUUUUUUUACUUAAUUCUAAAUAGAACCUUAAUACUUAAUAGUAUUAAAUAUUAGGUUGUUUGUUUUUGUAGUAUUUUAUUUCUAUUAAGUAUUAAAAAGUAAAAAAAAUCAUUGUGUUAUUUUUUCUAUUUAGAAAAAGCCACAUAUUUUGGCUUUUUCUAUUUAGUAAAAAGUUUAUAAUAAGUCAUGAAAAAGUAAAAAAACAAACAAUCUAAAUUCUAAAACUAAAUGGUUUUCAGCAAAAAGCCAAAAAAACAAACACCAUCUAAGUCUUUGCACAAAAUCCUAAUCAAAGAGAUCUUUUAGAAAUCUUAUUGGAAGAGAAUUUAAAACCAGAGUGGUGACAAAAGCACACGAACAAAUAAAACUGGACAAAGAAAUUAAGCAUCUCGAUGAGUUGAUAAAUAUCUUUGUCAAUGCUUCUACUUGAGAGAGAAAUACAUUAGAUUUCUACACUUUUGAAUAGUUGCCUUGAGUGACUCCAAUUAUUGGAAGCCAAGGUCAAGGUCGUUGAAGUUUGUCCAUUUUUUCCCUUGGUCCCACAUUAUUUGCUUCUCCUUAAUUUCCUCUGGUUUGGGAAAAGGACAUUCACACGGUUUGGUGUAGGAACCACCCUUUCCUUUAGUAUCCAUGAUUACUUUUCUACCCAAUAAUGAGGAAAACAUUUAUGAAGGCCCCAUGUGAGGACUAUUAUUGGUGACUCUAGAAAUAGAGCUAUUCAAUUUCCCUCAUAAAUAGUGUAACAUCCAAAAUAAAUUUUAGAGACAAAAUAGUAAAUUAUUAAUUAAUUAAACUUAUUAAAAAUAAACGAGUCAUUUUACAAUUAAAAAUUGUAUCAAUUAGAUUUUCAAUUUAUCUUCUUUAUUUAGAAAACUUUAUUAACAAAAAAUCAAAUAAUUGAAGAACGUAAGGUUAAAGAUUUGGAAGUCUAUAGUUUGAAGUUCAAUUAUUUUUUUUCAAGUAAGAUUCUAACCCUAGAUUAAUAUAUUAUAUUCAUUAGUUAGUUUUGACUAUGUUAGAUAUUUUUAGAAAAUUUUAAUUUAGAUUAUAAUUAGUUUAUUUAAUUUAUUUUAAGAUAUAAAAAAUUGAAAUUAUGAAUGUUGUUUCAUUGAUGAAAAUAAAGAAAUUCAAAAUUAUUUUAGAUGAAUAAAUCUAAACAAUGAAAUUUAAAAAAAUUAAAUGAUUAAAUAAGUAUAUGAUUAUAUGUGGCUUAAGGGAUUGAAAAAUAAUAAAAAGAAGAAUAACAUGUUUUUGGAUUUUGGAUUUGAGGAAUUUUUUAAUAAUAAAAAUAAUUAAGGUUUACUAUUAAUAAGAAUAAUGAUAAUAAUGAUAUUAAUAAUAAUAAGAAGAAGAAUUGUGUGAAGAAUAAUUUCAUCUUCAACGUAGAAAUGUGAUUGUCAAGGCCUCAGUGAAGAGAACGGUAACGGACCCUGCUGUAAACGACGAUGGGUCACGAGCAAAUGGUGAAAUUGCGGAUGAACCCCACAACUGUAAAGUGCUUUUGACGCGUAAUGGGUUCCACCACUACCAUUAUUGGGGAAUCUUUCUGGUGGAUGAAAAGCCGCUUUUGGGUUCACGGUUGACUCAUUAAAUCUCCUACCUAUCUCUGAGUUUGUCAACUGAGACCACCGAGUUUUAUUUAUUUAUUUAUUUUUUUCUUUUCCUCGGUUCAAUUUUUGUUUCCAAUACGAGGAAAAGGGCUUUCAAGUCUGACACGUGGAAAGUCAGUGGGCUUCAUAAUUUUGUUACAUUUUUAGGGUUUGUUGGAGCUGCAAUAGGGACAAUAAUUUUUGUAUGGAUAAGCUACAAAUCAGAUAUCGAAUCUAAAACAAAUGUUUAAUGGUGCAACUAAAAGAUGUUUUUUCAAACAUUUUAUUUAUAUUUUUUAUGUGAAAUAUGUUUUUUUUUUUCUCCCAAAGAAUAGAAAACUAUUUUUAAAAAAAUGUUAUUAACAAAAUCUAAGUAUAAAAUCAAUUAAAAACAAUGAGAUUUUUUUUCUUAAAAUUUUCUAUGAUAAGAUAACAUUAGAAUGACACUAUUAGCAAAAUAAAAAUUUAAAGCUAAAUAUACAUUCCUACAAUGUGAAUAAUUAAAUAGCACACAAUCUAAUAUAAUUAUUUAAUUUAUUUUUAAAUUAGAUAUUAUUUAAUUAAUUACCAAAAUUUAGAAAAAAAAAAUCAAGCUCAAAAUUAAAGAGAACCUAAAUUUUUUUAAAAAAAAUUAUUUAAUAAAAUGUCAAAUACAAAAUUACCAAAAAAAAAUUAACAUUAUUAGAAAAGUUAUAAUAAAAUUAAAAUUUACAUUUAAUGCAAGAAAGAAAAAUAAAUAAAAUGUUGAAUGCAUGAAAAAAAUUAAAUUGAACUUUUAAAACUCAAAAUUAAAUUUAUGGGGUUUCUAUUUUAUUUUUUAUUAUUCGAAAACCUUAUUUAUAUCUAUGAGAUUUUUUAGGGGACUCGCCCAUCUACUGGCUUGGUCAAUGUAAUAUAAACUUCUUUUAAUCAUAUAAAUGUAUUUUAAAAUCAUGAAUAUUGAUUGUGCUCAAAGUAAAUAAUAUCGUAAAUACAUAUUCUGUUCAAAGUGGAUAAUAUCUACAUAAGAAAAAGCAAAUUAUUAUAAAUGAUAUUAAAAUCAAUCCUUGAAUAUGCGAGACUACCUAAAUGGUCUUAGAGGGAUGUUUAUGUGUUUGACCUUUGCAUGGUAUAAGUAAUGAGAUCUAUCUUAUCACCGACCAAUCAUGAAAUAUGAUAUAAUAUUCAUAUUUUAUCUUAUUUUAUACUAUAUCCGGUUAACCAAACAUGACCUAAGGUUAAUUGUUGUAACUAGUCAAGUUUUAGCCAUGACGGAUGCAUACUCAAUCAUGGUAUUAUCUCAGCCUUUUGGGCUUCCAGGACUGGUCCUUUAAAUUUGGGCUCAAACCCAACCUAAUGGAAGAGGGCCUUAACUCAGUUCAUGGGCCUGUCUAGCCUGCCGCGCUGGUUUCCAACUGGCUCGACCCAGCCUAGACUAGGGGUCGUGCCCGUCCACUAUAUUGUUAUAAUUUUUAUAGGAUCAUAGGUGAUUUAUUCUUUGAAUUUUAUAGUAAAGAGACAAAGCUUGAUAAUAAGAAUUUGGACAUUGUCUAAAAAAUUUUAAGGGUGUUUAGCAUCUAAAUUUUGAGAAUUUUUUUGGCUAUAAAAAAAUUUGAGAAAAACUACAAAGAAAAUAAAAUAAAGAAAAAAAGUAAAAAGGAAAAAAAAUGAUGAAAAAUAAUGAAUAAAUUUAAAGUUCAUGCGAUAUUUUUAUAUGUUAUUUAAAAAAAAUUAACUCUUAUAUAUAAAGGUUGAAUAAUUUGAAAAUAUAUAGAUUUCUAAUUAUAUUAAAUUUUCUUACAUAUUUUUAAUGAUAAAAUCAAAUAUGAAAUCAAACAUGAGAAUAUAAUUUUUCUUAAUAAUUUUUAUUUUUAUUUUUUUAACAUUUUUCUUUCUUUUUAUGAUACAUACUCUUAAGUCUAAUCCAAUGAGGUAGAGGUAGUUGUACAUAGAAGGUCCAACUAAUGUUGGUUGAUGUGGGACAUUGAACUUUCGUCUGUCCUAUGUAGUGAACCUANNNNNNNNNNNNNNNNNNNNNNNNNNNNNNNNNNNNNNNNNNNNNNNNNNNNNNNNNNNNNNNNNNNNNNNNNNNNNNNNNNNNNNNNNNNNNNNNNNNNNNNNNNNNNNNNNNNNNNNNNNNNNNNNNNNNNNNNNNNNNNNNNNNNNNNNNNNNNNNNNNNNNNNNNNNNNNNNNNNNNNNNNNNNNNNNNNNNNNNNNNNNNNNNNNNNNNNNNNNNNNNNNNNNNNNNNNNNNNNNNNNNNNNNNNNNNNNNNNNNNNNNNNNNNNNNNNNNNNNNNNNNNNNNNNNNNNNNNNNNNNNNNNNNNNNNNNNNNNNNNNNNNNNNNNNNNNNNNNNNNNNNNNNNNNNNNNNNNNNNNNNNNNNNNNNNNNNNNNNNNNNNNNNNNNNNNNNNNNNNNNNNNNNNNNNNNNNNNNNNNNNNNNNNNNNNNNNNNNNNNNNNNNNNNNNNNNNNNNNNNNNACCCUAUAGAGUAGUAAUCUGCUCCCUUUAGUUAUGCCUGUAACGUAGGGAUUAUACAACUCAUGUCCACACUCUCCCUCAAGUUGGUGCAUAGAUGUCGUUGAUGCCCAACUGCAUACCAUCUUAGUGAGGAUGUCUGCUAGUUGGUCUUCUGAUUUGAAAAAUGGGAAUCAGAUUAUAUUAACUUCUAAGUUUUUCUUGAUAAAAUGUCGGUCUACUUCCACAUGCUUAGUUCAAUCAUGUUGGACUAGGUUAUAAGCAAUAUCAAUGGCUGUCUUGUUAUCACAAAGCAAGUUCAUCUCGCAACAAGGAGAAUAGCCAAUUUCUAUCAAUAAUCUUCUCAGCCAGAGUAACUCACACAACCCCUUAGCCAUUCCUCGAAACUCCGCCUCUGCACUAGAUAGUGCUACUGAUUCGUGCCCGAUUGGUGUUCCAAUUGAUUCAACUCAAUUGAUGUGCUUUGAUCUCAAUCCUCAGACGGGAGUAAUCAACAAAAUUUAUAAACCUAUUUCACCAUAUACUGGGGUAGCAUUUAACUAGCAUAGUAUAGUGGCUCUAGGAUCGUCCACAGAGAUGGGUUUUCACAUCGCAAUUGAUAUUAGUUCAAAAAUUGAAUUGGUACUUUUUAUUUUCUUUGUUAGCUUUAAAAGAAGACAUAAGUUUGAAUGAAAACGGAUGGUAUUAAGCUAACCUAACAUAAAGUAAUUGAUUUUACUUACAAAGAAAAGUGUUUCUUGGAGUUUUAGAUCACUAGGCUCAGAUUCCUCAUACAAAAAGGGAGUUCCGGUCACUUGCUUCUUUUCCUCGCAUUAGAGAAUUAACAUAUAGUUAAUUCUCUAACCGGUGUGGUACAGAUGCUUCCCAUUAAUGGGUUCAAACACUAAAUUCCUCUCACUGAUGCACCUUGCAAUGGCUCAUACCUCUCACCAAACACUUUCCAUUCAAGGUGAUCUUUAACCUUGGAUUACCCGUCAAAAGCGAACAAGAGAUAACAAUUAGACCUCCAUGGAGCAAGAUUGCAAGCAAUAAGAAUCCAUGGAAUUCGAAAGCUUACCAAAUAUUGGCUAUUCUAGAAAAUCCUACCUUUAAACCACCUACCAAAAGCUCGCAAGAGAUAAACUAGUGCAUCUCUAUGGACGGAGAUCACUUGCCUUACCAAGUGUUAGCUCAGGUGAAUUGAAGGCGUUUUAAGUUAACUAAAAAGAUAAAAACCAUUAACGGGUCACACUUUCUCUUCAUUAAAAACUAAAACAACAAAACUUUCAAUUUAUGCAUGUGGAAACUUACCCGGCUUUCCUCACUCCAAGAGACGAAGAGCCUAGCCUCUCAUCCUCUGAGGAAAAAUCCUCAGAGUUUGGUUAGCUAGAAAGAAAAAGAAAAUGAAAAUGAAAGAGAAGGAAAAACAAAGCAAAGCUCUUUAUAUUCUAUAUACUUAUAUAUCUAUAUCUUUUACAAUGGAUGCAAGGGAAUAUAUAUAGAGAAGUUUUUCCAACCUUCCUAGCUAAGAAAUCUUAUGGUUGGUGGAUUACAAGGAGAAGAAUGGAAAUUUAUACAAAAAUAUCUGAAGAAAAUAUCUAAAAGAGUUGGUGCACAAAUAUCCCAGUUUGCAUGUAGAUUUCGCACGUUGCAUGGUGACUUGCGAAAAUCUCGCAAGUUGAUUUCGCAACUUGGAAUCCAUUUUCGCACGUUGAGCUCCAAGUUCGCAAGUUGCAAAAUCACUUUCGCAAGUUGGGCUUCUCUGUGACUGUGCGGCUGUAUUCCAUUUCCAUUUCGCAAGGUAGGCUUUAAUUUCGCACGUUGGAGUUCCAAAUUCGCAAGAUGCGAAUUUGUCCUUCAACUGGGUACAGUUGUCUUGUGAAAGCCAUAUCUUCCUCAUUUCAGCUCCAAUUCGUACACUGUUUGAAGCGUUGGAUUCUUGACUUCCUGAGCUUUGAAAUGGUAUAUAGCAUGUAGAAAAUGGACUUCGGGAAGUGCUCCAAAAGUGUGAAAGAAGACUGAAGCUGCUGUCCUCUAUUUUCUUCACUCUGUUUUUCCUCUCUCCGUUGUUCUUUCCUUGCAUACUUUGAACGAAUUUGGCAAAGGGCUAUGGAGCUCCAAAGCUUGGUUCUUCAUGAAUUUGAGCUUCCAAAAGCUUUGCCAUGAACUAUAUACAGCUCUCCCUCAUUCUUGGAUUGCUUUGGUGUAGCUAAAAGCUAUCAAAAACACCAAAACUUAACACAAUUUGCUUAGAAACGAUUGCAAGGGUCCUUAACAUGUCAAUUGAGUUAAAAGGUAAUAAUUACUACUCAAGAGUGUUUAAAAGAGUUAAUUACAAGUUACAAAAUAGCACUUUUUGAGUAGCAAUCAGCUACUACUUUAUGUUUUUUUACUUCGACAUGUUUUCAAGUUUCUCCAACAAAUGUGAGGUAACCUGAUGUGGAUUUCCUAUCGGAGAUAUUUCUUGCCCAAUCAACGUCGAUAUACCCUAUAAUUUCCAGGUACCCAUUCUUUGAGAACAUAAUUCUCUUCCCUAGGGUUCCCUUAAGGUAUCUUAAAAUUUGAGUCACUACAUUCAUAUGAUCUUCACUAGGGCAAUGCAUGAACUGAUUCACUACACUGACCGCAUAGACAAUAUCAGGUCGGGUAUGUGAAAGAUAAAUUAGUUUUCCAACCAAUCUCUGAUAUUUGCCUUUAUCAGUGGGGAUCUGGUCAGGGUAUUCUCCAAGCCUAUGAUUCUAUUGUAUUGGAACAUCUGUCAGUUUACAGUCUAGCAAUCCAACUUUUGAUAAUAGAUCGAGAGUAUACUUUCGUUGGGAAAGAAAGAUACCUCGUUUAGAUUGAGCCACCCGAAUUCCUAGAAAAUAUUUCAACCAAGCCAAACUCUUUAUUUCAAACUUUGCUGCCAACUGUUUUUUAAGUUUCGCAACUUCCUCGGUAUCAUUACAUGUGAUGAUCAUAUCAUCUACAUACACUAUUAGUGUUGUUACCUUGCCUUGUCGACGCUUUAGAAAUAGAGUGUGGUCAUAAUUGCUUUGUUGAAACCCAUACUUUCUCAUUGCUAGGUUGAGGCGUCCAAACCAAGCUUGUGGAGACUAUUUCAAGCCGUACAGGGUGGGCCACAGUUUACACACUGUCUUGCCAGACGUUUCAAUGUACCCAUGGGGAAUAUCCAUAUAAAUUUCUUCUUCGAGGUCACUAUGGAGGAACACAUUCUUUACAUCAAAUUGGAGUAGCGACCAAUCAAGAUUCACUACAAUAAAUAGAAGGACUCUUAUAGUGUUCAACUUGGCUACAAGUGAGAAGGUCUCCAUAUAGUCAACUCCAUAAGUCUACGUAUAUUAUUUCGCUACAAGCCUCACUUUUUAGCACUCAAUUGACCCAUCCACCUUGUAUUUGAUGGAGAAUACCCAUUUGCACCCCACUAUCUUGUGGCAUUCUAGUAAAGAGACAAGAAUCCACGUCUUGUUUUUCAACAAUGCUUCCAUUUCUUCCUUUAUUGGUUGGACCCACCUAGGGUCUUGUAGAGCCUCCUCUAUGCUUGUUUGAAUGUGAUGCGCUGAUAAUGCAUUAGAAAAGCUCUUUAAGGGUUCUGAAAGCUUCUUUGUUGAGACGUAAUUGGCAAUUGGGUACUUUGAUUUGUGUGUCUCAAUAUUUGGAGAAUAGCAUUUUGGUAGUUUGCCACGAUUGUGCUUGGAAGGUAACUAAUAACCAUCGUCAGUUAAAUGUUUUGUGGCAAGAGGAAAACUUACCUUAGGAACCUCUUCAGGAAUAUUCUCAGAAGUUGGGUCAUGAGGUACUUUAGAAUGAGGGGGUGUCUCAGGAAUUGGAGUUGGUGUCUCAGUAGUCAGCAUUGGUGGCUCUGUAGCUAUUCCAUACCCAUGGUAGUUGGUGGCUCUAUAAUCAGUGGGAUGUCUGGGAUGUCUUUGAACCAAUUCAACUCUUCAUCGUGUGUCUUCCCCUUAAGAGAAGAAUUGGAUGGAUGAUAGAACAUCUCAGACUCGAGGAAGGUGACAUCCAUAGUAACAUAGAGCCGCAUGUUUGUUGGAUCAUAGCACCAGUAACCUUUUUGAUUGGUGGCAUAGCCUAGAAAGAGACAACGACAAGCACAAGGAUCGAGUUUAGUGCGCUGGUUGCAGUGAAGAUGAACAUAGACAACGCAUCCAAAGGUUCGGGGAAGAAGCGUCGUAGUCGAAAGUACUCAUAUACUCGAGGCUAAGGCCUGUAGAGGUGUUUUGAAAUCCAGAAUUUGGAAUGUCAUUCGAUUAAUGAGAUGCACAAUAAUUGUAACCGCAUUAGGCCAGUAAGGACUAGGUACAUGUGCACUUAAUAGGAGGACACGUGUGGUCUCGAGAAUAUGGCGAUUCUUACGUUCUACUACACCGUUUUGCUCUAGAGAAUGAGGACACGAGGUUUGAUGUAUCAACCCAUGUUGGUGGAAGUACUUCUGGAAUUGUCGAUUCAUGUAUUCAGUGCCAUUAUCAAAGGAAAAAACUCCGAGUUUGGCAGAAAAUUGGGUUUGAGUCAUUGUGUGAAAAGAGCAGAAGACAGUAAAAACCUCAUCUUUGUUUGUCAGUAGGUAGAGCCACAUCAUUCAAGUGCAAUCAUCAACAAAGAGAACAAAUCAGCGAUAACCCGAUAGAGUAGAUUUUAGGGAUGGUCCCCACACAUCAGAAUGAAUUAAGCUAAAAGGUACAUCACUCUUAUUCUUAUGUAAAUGAUAAAUUAUCCGGUGACUUUUGGCCAAAAUACAAGUUUCACAUUGAAAAUCUGAGAUAGAGAAAUCAGAAAAUAAACUAGGUAGUAAAUGCUUCAAAUAUCCAAAUGACGGAUGGUUGAGUCGUCGAUGCCAAAGUCAUAUCUGUUCUAUUCUAGAAUCACCCGACUAUCCCACAUGAUGAGUUUGUCCCAUUUUUAACAGAGCCAUGUUAAAAAUCUCUUAUCUUUCUUUAUUUUCAUGUGUUUGGUUUGGUUAAUGUAGGAGAUCUCCAUCCAAUCUGCAUUUCGCUCAACCAUCCGACAUCAGAAAAUGGAUACAAACUAGAAGUACUUUGCCCUUCCCUACUAUGCAGUCGCUUGUCACCAAAAAUGGUAAGUCCUGGUUGAACUCCAGAAGUCUGCUCAUGGGUGAAAUUCAUCUACAUCCCCAAAAAAUCUCCACCAUACCACUUUCUUGGAAAAUUUGGUUGGAAUCCUGGCAAAUACUUGCACAAAAUCCGAUUUCUACUAUUUCAACUGGCAAAACUCUCACUGGGAUUAUUCCCACUGCACCUAUCUUUUGGUUUCUGGAAAAGCGAAUACCAAGAGGCCGUCUCAUUACGGAACUGUAGAUGUUGUAUCUUGCCGAAAAAUUUCAUCACCAACCUCCUAUAAUAAAGAGAGGUUGUAUCUUGAAAGUCAUAAUCAUAUCCUCCAAGUGAGCUUUUUCUUCUAUCAUCACUGAUAGUGGUAGAUAAAAACCAAACUAGAGCACUGAUGAAAAGAUUGAAAUUGCAUUGGGUUCUUUUAAGAUUGAAGAAGAGAACAGUGGAAAAGGCAUUAUGGGUAAAAGAAUUGUCAAACUUGUAAGAUUUGUUUCUAUUUCUUUUGGUCAUUGGUCAAGUAGUCAUUACUUUUUUAUUUUUUAUUUUAUUUUUAUUUUUUAAAAUCAACUCUUGAUUCAAUGAUUUCACAAUGCAUGUAUCAAUUGGAUGAUGAUUCUUGAAUUAGAAAUUUCCUUCCACACAAUAUGAUUAUAAAUAAAUACACAAGAAAAAUGAGCAACAGAACUACCAAAGAAUCAAACAGUUUUAGGUCUACUUCGCCUUGCAGCCUUAAGGCAAAAAUAUAGAAAAUAAGAUGGGAAGUUACUGAUUUACAAUUGGUGUAGAGAACAAUCGAAUAGAUAUUCAUGAAAUCAAUUUACACUAAAACACACCUGUGAUUAUGUCCUAAGAAAUCCAAUUCUGAUGCAACAUAUAUGAAGUUGAUAACACCAACAAACAAGACUGAACUUUGGCUGAUUCUCCCUAACUAUCUACCUUCUUCUAAGCUGACAGUUAUCUCAUUGUUGGAGCAUGUUUUCGGAUUGGUGGAAGAGGAAGGAGCUAAGCUGGGCGGCCCUCUUCUCACAACAAAGGCUGGUUGCUAGGGUAUUGGAAGUGUGGCUAUCUCACUAUUGAGCAUGAGAAAUGCAUUGGGCAUGGUGGGGCGAUCACUUGGGUCUUCUUGUACACACAACAACCCAACAUUUACACACCUCAAGAAUUCAUUAGUGUUGCAUGUUUCACUUAGUGUCUGGUCCAUCAAAUCAUACACCUUGUCUUCUUUCCACAAUCUCCAUGUUUGGAACAAUUCUCUUGAUAUUAAAAUUAGAUUUGCUAAAGUAAAAUGAUAGGUUGGGCAAUCAUAUCAAUUUGAUAUAUAAUAUAAAGAUUUUUUUUCUAGGGGAGGUCAUCAAUUCAAACCUCAUUGUUUGUUUAUUUUCUUUAUUUACUAAGCUUACAUGCAAAUCUAAAGAAGGCCACUUGUGAGAUAAUGUUGAAUGACAUGUCCUAGGAGCUGCUGACAUGGAGCUACGUAGAAUGAAGUGGAAGUAGUUAAAAUAAGUUAGUCAUGUGGAAGAUUUACCUAUUCCUUAGGAAGUAUUUGUUGGUUUGUUUUUAUUCUUUAGGAAGUAUCUAUAGGUAGCAUGUUUGUUGCUAUUUUUAUGUUUUUCUGUUUUAAGCUAGCUGUAUAAAUAAGUGCUUUGAAGCUUAAUAAAAUAUAACUUCAGAUUCCUCAACAUUAUGUUGCUUCUUGAGAGUUUCUACCCUUUGUUUUUAUCAAAACCUACAAAUUGGUAUCAGAGUUGUUGUUAUUGAGUAACCUGUGAGGUGAGUGAGCCUAUACACCACCAUCUACCCUAUCCAAAACAAUAUCCAUGUUGUUCUUGAGUAACCUGUGAGGUGAGUGAGCCUAUACACCACCAUCUACCCUAUCUAAAAGAAUAUCCAGAAUGACCUCAGAAGCUUCACUGAAUGCAGUGGCACCUCCAGUGUUUGAUGGAAUAAAUUAUCAAGUGUGGGUUGUCUGUAUGGAAGCCUACCUUGAUGCUAGUGAUCUGUGGGAAGCUGUUAGUGAGGAAUAUGAAGUUCCUCCCCUGUCCGACAAUCCAACUAUGGCUCAGAUAAAACUACACAAUGAGAGGAGGCAAAGGAAAUCAAAGGCAAAAGCUAGUCUAUUUGUAGCUGUCUCAUCCACAAUUUUCACCAGAAUCAUGGCAUUGAAGACGAAAAAUGAAAUAUGGAACUUCCUGAAGAAGGAAUAUGAAGGAAAUGAAUGAGUCAAAGGUAUGCAAGUGCUGAACCUGAUUAUAGAGUUUGAGAUGCAAAGGAUGAAAGAAUCAGAAACAAUCAAGGAUUACUUAGACAGACUUCUUAGUAUUGUUAACAAAGUAAGACUUCUUGGUACUGACUUUUCUGAUUCUAGAAUAGUUCAAAAAAAUUUUAUAACAGUUCCUGAAAAGUUUGAGACUACAAUAUCAUCUCUAGAAAACUCAAAAGAUGUGUCAAGUAUCACCUUGGCAGAGCUGUUGAAUGCAUUACAGGCUCAAGAACAAAGGAGGCUUAUGAGACAAGAAGAAUAUGUGGAGGGUGCAUUUCAGGCCAUAUCUCAGUACAAGAAAGAAAUGCAAAGCAACAAUAACAGCAGCAACAACACUCAAAAGUUUCCACCAUGUCCUUACUGUAAAAAAUCCAAUCAUCCACAAAAAAAGUGUUGGUGGAGGUUGGAUGUAAAAUGUCACAAGUGUGGUCAGCUAGGGCAUGUGGAAAGAAUAUGCAAAUCUCAACAGCAGCUAGGAGAAGUCAAGGUUGCUGUGGAAGAACUUCAAGAUGAGCAACUGUUUGUGGUAUCAUGCUUUUUCACUAGCAGCUCCCUAGAAACUUGGCUUAUAGACAGUGGUUGUACAAACCAUAUGACUUAUGAUCAAGGGCUCUUUAAGGAACUUGACAAAACUGUUACUUCCAAAGUUAGAGUUGGAAAUGGAGCAUAUCUUGCAGUAAAAGGCAAAGGCACCAUGGCAAUUGAAGGCCACACAGGUUUGAAAUUAAUCUCUAAUGUCUUAUAUGUUCCUGAGAUUAAUCAAAAUUUGCUGAGUGUUGGUCAGCUAUUGGAAAAAGGCUAUAAGGUGUUGUUUGAGGACAAUCAUUGCAUGAUUGCUAAUGGACAAGGCAGAGAGGUAUUUAUAAUCCAAAUGAAAGACAAAAGCUUUGCCUUGGAUUUGAUACAAGAAGAGCAAGUUGAAAUUCACAAAGAAAAAACAAUACAAUGCUUUGGCAUAGGCGUUUGGGGCACUUUCAUCAUACCGCCCUGCUCUUUAUGANNNNNNNNNNNNNNNNNNNNNNNNNNNNNNNNNNNNNNNNNNNNNNNNNNNNNNNNNNNNNNNNNNNNNNNNNNNNNNNNNNNNNNNNNNNNNNNNNNNNUUAAAUAUGAAGUGCUACAUUUUUGGAAGUUUAAAGCUUGGGAUGAAAAUCAAAGUAAAUGUAAAAUGCAAGUGAUCAGGUCUGAUAAUGGAACUGAAUACACCUCGGAGAAAUUUAACAAAUUUUGUGAAGAUGCAGGCAUUGAGCACCAGCUUACAACACCUUAUACCCCUCAACAGAAUGGAGUCGUUGAGAGGAAAAAUAGAACACUUAUGGAAAUGACAAGGUGUUUGCUGCAUGACAAAUGGCUGCCAAAGAAAUUCUGGGCUGAGGCUGCACAUACAUCAAUCUUUCUGCUGAAUAGACUGCCAACAAAAGCUUUGCAACAAAAUACUCCAUUUGAAGCAUGGUAUGGCUAUAAACCAAGGCUACAAAAUUUAAAAACAUUUAGUUGUCUUUGUUUCUCUUAUAUUCCACAUGUUAAGAGAGACAAAUUGGAUAAAAAAGCUGAAGUUGGGAUCUUUAUAGGCUAUAGCUCAAUAUCAAAGGCCUAUAGAAUCUACCUUCCAGAAAAUAACAAAGUGAUAGUUAGCAAAGAUGUCAAAUUCUUUGAAUCAGAAAGUUGGAGUUGGGAGAAUGAUAAGAAGCUUGAGUUUAAAGAGAAUCUUGAGUUCCAAAAGGACCUUGAGUUUCAGGAGGAGCAUGACAAUAUUGAUGAUGAACCUAUCAGGGGAACCAAAUCACUCUCUAACAUCUAUCAGAGGUGCAAUGUUGCUAUAAUAGAGCCUGCAGGGUAUGAAGAAGCUACAACUGAUAAAAAAUGGAUGGCUACAAUGAAGGAGGAGCUUAAAAUGAUUUUGAUGGACAAACCGACACACAAAAGGGCAAUUGGAGUCAAGUGGGUUUAUAGAACCAAACUCAAUUCCGAUGGUUCUAUAAACAAACACAAGGCAAGACUAGUUGUCAAAGGAUAUGCUCAGAUGUUUGGGGUGGAUUUCUCUUAGACUUUUGCCCCAGUUGCUAGAUUGGACACUAUAAGAAUGUUGUUGGCUCUUGCUGCUCAAAAAGGCUGGAAUAUACAUCAGAUGGAUGUCAAAUCAGCCUUCUUGAAUGGAUACUUGGAGGAAGAAAUUUUUGUGGAGCAGCCUGAAGGUUUUAUUGUUCAAGGAAUGGAGGAGAAAGUAUAUUUGCUGAAAAAGGCCUUGUAUGGUUUAAAACAGGCACCAAGGGACUGGUACAGUAGGAUUGAUUCACAUUUGUUAGGCAUAGGCUUUACAAAAAGCCUAAGUGAAUUUACUCUAUACUUCAGGAAGGUUUGUGAUGAAACACUUGUGGUAUCCUUAUACAUUGAUGAUCUACUUGUGACAGGAAGCAGUAUGGAGCAAAUUGUUAAUUUCAAAAAGGAAAUGAAUGAUGUUUUUGAGAUGACUGAUCUUGGAAGGAUGACAUUCUUUCUUGGCAUGGAAGUACAACAAAAAUAGAAUGAGAUCUUCAUAUGUCAACAAAAAUAUGCCAAGGAAAUCCUGAAAAAGUUCAAAAUGGAAGAGUGCAAUCCAAGUGCAACUCCAAUGAAUCAAAAUGAGAAGUUUUGCAAAAAAGAUGGAGCUGCAAAAGCUGAUGAAAGGCUUUACAAGACCAUUAUUGGGCGCUUGAUGUACCUAACAGCAACUAGACCAGAUAUUAUGAAUGCAGUAAGUUUACUCUCAAGGUACAUGCAUUGUGCUAGUGAAAUUCACUUUCAAGCAGCAAAAAGAAUUGUUAGAUAUGUCAAGGGUACAAUUGACUAUGGUUUGAGGUUUUGUCAAGUUAAAAACUUUACUCUUCAUGGUUAUUCAGAUAGUGAUUGGGCAGGUUGUGUUGAUGACAUGAGAAGUACUUUAGGUUAUUGUUUCAGCUUUGGUUCUGCUAUUUUUACAUGGUGUUCCAAAAAGCAAGAAGUCAUAGCCCAAUCCACAGCAGAAGCAAAAUAUGUAGCUGCUGCUGCUGCUAUGAAUCAGGCUUUCUGGAUCAGGAAAUUGAUGGCUGACUUGUUUAUGGAGCAAAAGAAAAGCACACAAAUACUCGUAGACAACCAAGCUGCAAUUUCAAUUGCAAAUAAUCCGGUGUUCCAUGGCAAAACAAAACAUUUCAAGCUAAAACUCUAUUUACUAAGAGAGGUACAGAAAGAGGGAGAAAUACAGUUGGUCUACUACAAAACAGAAAGUCAAAAUGUUGAUAUCUUAACCAAACUACUUCUCAAAGCUAGAUAUGAGUUCUUGAGGCAAAGGCUUGGAGUCUGCAGCUCCAGAGACAAGGAGGAGUGUUGAAUGACAUGUCCUAGGAGCUGCUGACAUGGAGCUGAGUAGAAUGAAGUGGAAGUAGUCAAAAUAAGUUAGUCAUGUGGAAAAUUUACCUAUUCCUUAGGAAGUAUUUGUUGGUUUGUUUCUAUUCUUUAGGAAGUAUCUAUAUGUAGCAAGUUUGUUGCUAUUUUUAUGUUUUUCUGUUUUAAGCUAGUUGUAUAAAUAAGUGCUUUGCAGCUUAAUAAAAUAUAACUUCAGAUUCCUCAACGUUUUGUUGCUUCUUGAGAGUUUCUACCCUUUGUUUCUAUCAAAACCUACAGAUAAGGUAUUGGCCCACCAUCACAUGAUAGUUUAAGCUUUGGGUUGAAUUGAUAAUUUAACAAAGAAUGACUAAAAGAUAAAUCAUCAUGAGAUAUUCAAGCCACUUACAUAACCUAAAAGGCUCAUAGCUUGGUCAGAUUGAUAAAAUCCUGUGUUCCUCUUCCCACUGAUGAUCUCAAGUACAAUAACACCAAAGCAAAAAACAUCAGAUUUUACUAAGAAAAACCCAUCUAGCACAUAUUCUGGAGACAUAUAGCCACUGCAUUACAUGGAAUGUUAAAAAGUAAUCAGUUGAUUAGGUAUAUGCCAAGGCAAAUAUCUUUCCCCAUGCAUACAAUACUUACUAAGUGCCCACUACUAUGUUUGUGUUUGCCUCUGUUUGCUUGCUCUCAAAGAUCCUGGCCAAGCCGAAGUCUGAAAUUUUGGGAUUCAUAUCCCCAUCUAGUAGAAUGUUGCUCGUCUUCAAGUCCCUGUGAAUGAUCUUCAACCUUGAAUCUUGGUGAAGAUAAAUUAGCCCUCGAGCAAUUCCCAAAAUGAUGUCGAAGCGACUCUCCCAGUUUAGUAACACGCAUAGCAUUCGAUCUUGCCCAGUUGCCAUUAGAAAGAAAAAUUUUAGUGGCAUGGUUCAUUCAGUUAGAUCCUGUCUAUCAGUUCAUGGCACGUAUGCAAUGAUACAACAAAAGUAGGGACUUGACGUAGGUUUAGAGGCAAACCAAAUAUGAAAGAGUCUAAGCUUUUGUUGGGCAUAUAUUCAUAAAGUAAAAUCUUCUCAUCUCCUUCAAUACAAUAGCCCAGAAGUCUAACCAGAUUUCGAUGCUGAAGUUUGGCAAUCAACACAACCUCAUUCUUAAAUUCCACUAGGCUUUGCCUUGAAGCACUUGAGAGUCUCUUCACAGCUACUUCUUUCCCAUCUGGAAAUUUGCCCUAGAAGCCACAAUGCAUAUGCAUUAGACAUUGAUAAUCAGAAAUCAGUUGAAAAUAUGAGCAUUGUUUGAAAUAAGUUAUAUUACCUUGUAAACCGGCCCAAAGCCCCCUUGUCCAAGCUUAUGCGAAUCUAAAAAGUUAUCCGUAGCAGCCAGGAUGUCUUUUAAGUUGAAAAAUGGUACAUCAAUGCCUUUCUUAUCCUCAUCUUUGAAUUGCUUCAAGUCUAUUAAGUGUUUCACACGACUUUCACUAUCAUACAAGUGUAGCACAGGAUUUGCCCUGUUUCCUAAAUUAAAAAAAAGGAAAAUAUUAUAUAGAAAACCUCUGCAAUUUUCUCAAUUUUGCCAGGUACAAUUUGAAAAGAAAAUAGCGGAAGAUCCAUGGUAGAGCUUAUGGCACAAAGAUUACCUUUCCUUUUGGUGAUGUUUCUUUUGCGCAAAUAAGCAAUAUAACCAAUGGUGCUUAAAAGCGCAACUAGAACAACAACAAUUGUUAUGCCUACCACAACUACCGGAGAUGAUAAUGACGACAUCUUAUUGCCAAGGUCUAAAACAAAGAAGAACCACUCUCAUUCAUGGAAAAGGCAAUGCAUCUGUCAUUACUAACCUCUAUGUCUUUCAUUGGAAAAUAAGUUUAAAUGACCAAAACCAAGCAAAAAGAAAGUAUUGAGUUCAACUUCUCACAUACCUAGAAAGCAAAUUUAGAAAUAUACUAGGUCUGUAGCUCACCUUGUGUAAAAUCUAAACUUGAUCCAUUUCACUUAAAUUUUUCACUACAAAAGCACUUAGUGGUUCCAUUUUGUGUUCUGCAAUUUGAAUUAGGCCAAUCCUUGCAGUCUGCUGAUGAGGUACACACUAGCUCCAAUGGUGGAUCCCAACUGAUCUCUAUCUCAAUGCUAUUUUCCAAUGACUUCUCAGAGCCAAAAUUGUCGAUUUUGACCACUGUGCAGACAUUGGUCAUGUGAAAAGGCAGGUUUAGUGGUGGAAUUUUGUUGAUAAGACUUCGAGAACUGCAAUCUAAUUCUUUAAGUUAGAUUACAAAUGUUAAUGUCUCUAGAUUAAUGCUAGUUACCCGAUAGGUGCCACCAGGUACCUUGAACUGAACCUGGCCCGUGGUAAUGUUACAUUCAAAAUUAAAGUACAUGGGAUCACCACACUUUGAUCCAGUGCUUAGAGGAUAAGGAAUCAUGAUUGAGCCACAAGCUUGACAAUUUCUUACUGUUGAUUCUGCAAAUAAAAUGUAGAAUCCCUUGUUAAAGGGUAUUUCUUCCGAUUAUAGUUUCUUCCUAAUGUCUAUAAAUGGAUUUAUGCUUGUGUUGAUCAGUAAACUAAAACAUGAGGUACUUCUUCUCAAGAAAAGGGGAAAAAGAAAUUGGAAAGGGACAUACCUAUAUCUGAAAUAGAUACACGAACAAAGAGAUUGUCAGCAUCAGAGUCAUACUCCUCCUGAAGACCACUAAGGUCGUCUGUCCAAAUCAAGCAUUCUGGGUUAUUGCCCCUUUAUGUUAUUUAGUUUGAGCAUAAUGUCACGGACUUAGUCGUUCACUAAGCUCUUGUGGCACUUAGGCAAGUCAAGACGCUUGAUCUUGCUAAGUCAGCCUUGCUCCCAAUGCUUAGCUUGCUAGGCUAAGACACUCACGACUCGAAAGCUUAAGAAGCUUAGUAAGCAACUCUUUAAAGGAAGCUCUUAUUAACUCAUGGAAGCCUUUACAAGUGCUUGGAAGCUCACUUGCUUGGUACCUUGGCCAAAUGAGGCCCUCACCUAUUUAUAGGCACCAAUGGAACUCUCUAGAACCUUGGAGGGUUCCUUACAACUUAAGUAUAUUCUAGAAUGUCCUACAUCAUUCUAGGUACAAGCCUAUGUACAAGGAUAUACAAGAGACUUCUAGAAUUCUCUAGAAAGCCCUGGACUCCUCUCAUGCCUUCCACCAUAGUGUAGAAUUGUGUGGAUUCCUCCAGGCUUCUCCACAACCUUCCACACUCUUCCCACUCUAGGAGUCUCCAAAAGCUUCCUGGCUCUAUAUAAGCCCAUGGGGAGGCUCAUUUGAAUCAGCUUGUGACACUCUCCUCCACCUAAGCCGCAGACGUUCUUGUCGCGCCUUCUACCCGGAAUCGCUCAAUUUGCUCCUAUAACUGCCAUAGUGCAUCUGUUGGCUCCCAGCUAGCCUCACUUUUUGGUAGUCCUUUCCAUUUCACUAAGUAUUCCGUACCAGGAGGUACACCUCGUCUCCUGAUGACCCGAUCUACGAGAAAGUGUUCUAUCUCCUUAUCAUAGGAGAUCACGACCGUUGUAGGUGCCCUCUUAGACAACCCUCGGCUUGGAUCAUCUUUGUCUUCGUGAUAGGGUUUCAAGUAGUUUACGUGGAAGACAUGAUGAAUCUUCAACCUUGGCAGUAGCUUAACUCUAUAGGACACCUUGUCGACAUUCCCAAGUACGGGGAAGGGUCCUUCAUACCUCCUCAUAAGGCCCUUAUGCACUAACCUUAAGGAUUUGAAUUGUUGAGAAAUGAGCUUGAAAGCACCAUGUCUCCGACUUUGUACUCCGUGUGUUGUCGCUUCUUGUCAGCCCACUUCUUCAUUUUCUUAGCGGCCUUGUCCAAGUAUGAGCGUGAUAUGUCAGCUUGCUUGUGCCACCCUUUCGCGAACUUGAAAGCUGCUGGACUUCUCCCCGUAUAGCCUAUCGUUAGAGUGUGAGGAGUUAACGGUUGCUGCCUUGUGGCCAACUCGAAUGGGCUCUUAUUGGUUGCCUCACUCCUUUGCAGGUUAUACGAGAAUUGGGCUAUGUCUAGCAACUUAGCCCAAUCCUUCUGGUUGGCACUCAUGAAGUGCCUUAAGUAUAGCUCCAAUAAAGCGUUCACCCUCUCAGUCUGCCCAUCCGUCUGUGGGUGAAAGCUUGUGGAGAAGUGAAGCUCCAAACCCAUAAGCUUGAAGAGCUUCAUCCAAAACUUCCUAGUAAAACGCGAAUUGCAAUCACUUUAGGCAACCCCCAAUACUUGACUACGUGCUUUAGGAAUAGCCUCGUCGUCUCUUCCGCAGUGCGGUCAGUCGGGGCUGCUAUGAAGGUUGCAUACUUAGAGAACCUGUCCACUACCACUAUGAUAGAACCGCUGUCCUCCGACUUGGGUAGCCCGAUGAUGAAGUCCAUGGUGACAUUGUCACAUGGGCGCUCUGCUAUAGGUAGUGGCUUCAACAGGCCUCUAGGUUGUUGUUGUUCCACCUUGUCUUGUUGGCACACAAGACAAGUCCUCACAUAGGCCUCUACCUCAUCCCGUAUUUGAGUCCAGUAAUAAGCCGACUCGAGUAGUGCCCUCGUGCGUCGUUGCCUAGGGUGCCCAGCCCACUUGGUGUCAUGGCACUCAUUUAUCAGAUUCCGUCUUAUGUUCCCCCAUUUAGGCACAUAGAGUCGUCUCCCCUUAGUGUAGAGUAGGUCGUUCUCCACCCAGAACCGCUUAGUCUUCCCUUCAUGAGCUAGGGCGAUGAGGCUCUUAGCCACUGGAUCAUGUUGUAGUCCCUCCCUUAGAAGAUCCAUUAUGUCUCCUUGGGGUUGACUCGUCAUGGAUGCUAGCUCCGUUUUACAGCUUAGGGCGUCAGCCACAUGAUUAGCACUCCCUGGCUUAUACUCCAACGUAUAGUCGAACUCAGCCAGGAAGUCUUGCCACCUAGCUUGCUUAGGACUCAACUUCUUCUGUGUUUGGAAGUAGCUAGUGGCAACGUUAUCGAUCUUCACUAUGAAGUGAGACCCUAGAAGAUAGUGCCUCCAGGUGCGCAAGCAGUGGACGAUGGCGGUCAUCUCUUUUUCUUGCACCGUAUAGCACAUCUCUGUGUCGUUUAGCUUGCGAAUCUCAAAUGCGAUCUGGUGUCUUUCUUGCAUAAGGACUCCCCCAAUAGUGAAGUGUGAGGCAUCUGUGUGUAUCUCAAAAACCUUGGUGUGGUCGGGUAGUGCUAACACCGACUCCUCAGUCACAGCCUUCUUAAGAUCUUUAAAGGCUUGUUGGCACCUUUCGUUCCAUUCUCAUGCCUUAUUCUUCUUAAGGAGAUCAGUGAGAGGAGCGACCCUUGCUAAAUAACCUUUGAUGAAUCGCCGAUAGUAAUUAACUAAACCAAGGAAAUAUCUGAGCUAAGGUACCUUGGUUGGUGGAUCCCAUUCCUGGAUGGCUUUCACCUUGCUAUCAUCCAUCUUCAGCUUGCCAUCCUUGAUGCGAUGCCCUAGGAAGCUCACUUCUUUUUUAACAAAGGAGCAUUUUUCCUUCUUCACGUAUAGCUUGUUCUGCCUUAAGAUCUUAAAGACCUUCCUCAAGUGCUCUACGUGCUUCUUUAGGGUGUUACUGUAGAUGACUAUGUCAUCCAAGUAUACCACCACGAACUUGUUGAUUACUACUCAAAAAGUGCUAUUUGAUAGCUUAUAAUUAAUCCUUUUAAACACUUUUGAGUAGUAAUUUUGGCCUUUUAACUCAAUUGGCAUGUUAAGGACCCUUGAAAGCAAUUUUAAUCAUUUUGUGUAAGUUUUGGUGUUUUUUUGUUAGUAAUUUGAUCACCAAAGCAAUUCAAGAUUGAGGAGAGUUAUGAGAAAUCUUGGGCAAAGCUUGGAAGUCAUUUGCCAAGAGUAAAUCAGGAAUGCAAGGAGAAAAAGUUAAGAGAAUCUGCCAUGAAGCAUAUUCUUGAUGACAGUAGUAGCAGCCACUUUUGGAGCACUUUUUGAAGUCCAAUUGAUGCAUGCUAUAUACCAUUUCAAAGCUUAGGAAGUCAAAAAUCCAAUGCUUUAAACGGUACGCAAUUCGGAGUUGAAACGAAGAAGUUGCAGCCAUUGCAAGCCAAUCACUCCAAGCUGAAUGAAGCAUUUUCCAAAGUGUUGCGAAAUCACCCUUUUGUUGCGAAGUGAUUUCGCAGCCUUUUUGUACAGUAGGGUGUAUUUCCUUCUGAAGUUGCCCGAUAUAUGCCGCAAGCUGGAAGCUGAGAACAUCAAGGUGGAAGCCAACUUCGCAGCCCUGCGAGAAUAGCUUUUUGCUCCGAAGUGAUUUCGCAGCCCUUCUUGAGUGUCUGCGAAAUCUCGCAGACACCAUUUUCUCUUGCGAAAUGGUCCCUGGAGCAUCCCGAUAUUUGCUACCGACAUUGGGAGAUAUUUUACAUCAGAUUUUUGUUGUCUAAAUCCCAAAAUACUCCUUGUAAGCCACCAAUUACAAGAUUCCUUAGCUUUUAAGUUAGUAAAAAGAGAAAAUAUCCAUGUAAUAAUUAGUUUUAUAUUAUGUUCAUAUGAAUACUUCUCGGGAGCCUGUUCUCAAAAAGGGACCCUUUUGUAAAGUUUUGGGAAAGCAAGUAAAGUUCAGGUCCUUUGUUUUGUCUUACCUUCUCACUUUGUAUUAUUUAUUUCUUACUAAGUUAUGCACUCUCUGAGGAAUUUUCCCCAGAGAAUGAGUAACUAAACCUCUAGUUCCUUGGAGCUAAGGUUGCCGGGGAAGGUUCCAAAUGCAAGAAUGCAAAGCUUUGUGGUUUCAGCCAUCAAUUAAGAGGAAGUGAAGUUUUUUAGUGAUUUCUAUGUUUUUAGUUAACUUAAAACACCUUAGAGUCACCUGGGCCAACACUUGGUAAGGCAAGUGAUCUCCAUCCAUGGAGAUGCACUAGUUUACCCCUUGCGAGCCUCUGGGAGAUGACUUUAAGGUAGGAUUUUCUGGAAUUGCCAACACUUGGUAAGCUUUUGGACUCCAAGGAGACAUCCAUUAGUUAUCUCUUGCGAGCUAGAGAAGGGAAGUCCAAGGUUAAAGAUCACCUUGAAUGGUUAAGGCUUAGUGAGAGGCUUAAACCAUUGCAAGUUGCAUCAAUGAGAGAAUUAAAGUUGAAAUCUAAUUAAAGGAUGUAUCUGUACAACACCGGUUAGAGAAUUGACUAUAUGUUGAAUCUCUAAUGCGAGGAAAUGAACCAUCUGACCGGAGCUAUGUCUUUUGCAUGAGGAACCACCCCAGUGAACCUAACUCUCCAAGGAAUGUUUUUCUUCCUAAGUUAUUCUCACUACUUAUUCUGUUAGUUAGUUUAAAUCUAAAUCUUUACCAAUCAAAAGGUUGUGUUUUAUUUUUUUAGCUAACCUUGAAAUGAAACAAGACCAAUUCACUUUGAAUUGGUAUCAUUGAUAGCUUGCUAAUCCUUCCCAGUGAACGAUCCUAGAGCCGCUAUAUUAUAGUAGCUUUUUCUUUGCUACCCUAGUAUAUGGUGUAAUAGGUUAUAAAUUUUGUUGAUUACUCCCUCAAUCAAGGAGCACCAGCUGGACACGAAUCAGCUGAGACACCAAUUGGGCACAAAUCACUUGUCUAAGCAUGGGUGGAAGAUCUUGUUCAUGAGGGUGCAGAACGUUGCUGGGGCAUUGGUGAGUCCGAAAGGCAUCACUAAGAAUUCGUAUGAGCCAUACCUGAUCACACAUGUGGUCUUUGGCUCGUCCCCCUCUGCAAUCCUUACUUGGUAGUAGCCCGACCUUAGGUCUAGCUUCGUGAAGUACCUUACCCUUCCAAGUUGAUCGAAUAAGUCAGCAAUGAGCGGGAUAGGAUACUUGUUCUUUACCGUCACCUUGUUGAGUGCCCGAUAGUCUAUGCACAUUCGUAGGGACCCAUCAUGCUUCUUCUGAAAUAGAACCGGCGCGCCAUAGGAAGCCUUGGAUGGUUGGAUGAACCCCUCAUCUAGUAACUCCUUAAGUUGUCUCCUUAGCUCCUCCAACUCCGGUGGUGCCAUUCUAUAUGGCCCAUAGUAGGGGGCUUAGCUCCCGACUCCAACUCAAUCCUGUGAUCUUCCUCUCUCCUAUGAGGAAGUCUCUUAGGCAACUCGGGCGACAUCACGUCCUUGAACUCAUCAAGGACCCCCUCGAUUUCCUUAGGCAUGGGUUCUCCCGACCCAUCGUCUCUUUCUUCCUUCAGGGUGGCGAGGUAGGUCACCUCUUUCCUCUUUAACCCCUUCCUAACUUGCAUAGCUGAUAGCAUAGGGGUCUUAAGCGUACCUUCAGUGACCGUAGGGACCAUGCAUGGCUUCUCCUCCUCUAAGAUAGCCAUUGAGCAUAGGAAAGGUAGUGGCACGACCUUGACCUUCUGUAGGAAGUCCAUUCCUAGCACCAUCUUGAAGUUAUCCAUGGGUGCCACUAUGAAAUCGACCCUUCCUUCCCAUGAGCCGAUGUGCAUAGUCACCCUACAAGCUACUCCAUGUGACGGGCUUGGCAGCUGAAUUAACUGCCUUGAGUCAUCCUCCUUCCUUAGAUGCUUGGAGCUUUAGUCUCUUUGCCUCAUCCUCCGAGACAAAGUUAUGAGUGGCACCAGUGUUCACCAAGGCCUUGGUGGCCUUCCCAUUCACAAGGGCCUCUACAUACAUUAGCCCUUUGCUUUGAGGCGUCUUAGGCAUCGGCUUGGCCUUAAGGGCAUUUAGGAGUUGCAACGAUCCCACUUUAGCAUCGCCUUCCUGCUCAUUUUCCUCAAUCAUAGCAUUUAGAGCUUUCCUCUUAGGGCAGUCUCAUGCCCAGUGUGUACCAUCGCACAGGAAGCAAUUGGUCCUGGGCAUGAACUCCUUCCACUUAUCUUUGCCUUUACCAUCCUUGCCACUAGGGCCUUUGCUUGAUCCUUCCUUAGAAGUGUGGCAUCGUGAUCCAUUGUCUCCCCCACCUUUGGCCUGGUUACCCUUGGAUGGUGGUUUUGGCUUGGAGGAGUCUCCCCUUCUAUAAUCUACCAAGGACUCUGCUACCGCCAUGGUCAUGGCUAGGUCUUAGACACCAUGUCUCCUCAACUCUUGCUCGACCCAACUUUGCAAGUUGUCCAUAAAGUUAAAUAGUAGCUCCUCCUCAACCAUGUUAGGUAUCUCAAGCAUAAACGUAGAGAACUCCUUGACAUAAUCACGGAUCGAGCCUGUGUGCUUGAGACGCUUCAUACUCUUCCUUGCUAGGUAAGCCACAUCUUCGGGAUAGAAUUGUCUUUUGAUUUCUCUCUUAAAGGCAUCCCAUGUGUCUAUGGUGCACGUCUCUUUCUCUAUGUCGGAAAACUGUCGACGCCACCAUAGAGUAGCAUUAUCGGUGAGGUAAAGGGUCGCGGUGCAUACCUUAGUGGCUUCAUCCGUCAAUGCAAUGGCCUCAAAGUAACGCUCCAUGUGCCACAAGAAGUUAUCUAGCUCCUUAGCAUCCCUCUUGCCAUUGAACGAGUGUGGCUUGGGCACCUCCACCCUUGGUGCCUCAUGAGUGGCCAUGACUCAUGCUGAUAUCGCAGUCUUGUAGAUGGCUAGCUCUUGAUGAAUCUCUUGGUCUCGGGUCUCCAUGAGCGCAGCCAAGGCCUCCAUCCUUGACUCCACACUAGCGAACAUGAUCAUGACCUUGUCUUGGAAGGACAUGAACUCCUCGUGUGACACGGUUGAACUUGUGAGCCUAGCACCCCCUCGCGAAGGUCUUGGAUCUGCUCCCUUAGAUCCUCUAAGCCUUUCUCCAUGCCUUGCUCGAUCAAGUCCACCCCUUCCCGGGUGUCCGUCAUGGCUAGCUCCACCUUAGCUAGCCUUGCCUCCAUGUUGGCUAAGGCAUCACGAGACUUAUCCUUCCUGCCUCGGCCCCGUGCAGUAUGCUCCAUCUCCCUUCCAUGGGUUUGCUCGCUAGUCUCCUCCACGUUAGAGCCCGACAUGCUUCCUUUGCUAUGCCCACUUCGUAACCGCCCUCUAAUACCACUUGUCACAGACUUAGUUGUUCACUAAGCUCGUGCAGCACUUAGGCAAGUCAAGACGCUUGAUCUUGCUAAGUCAACCUUGCUCCCAAUGCUUAGCUUGCUAGGCUAAGAUGUUCACGACUCGAAAGCUUAAAAAGCUUAGUAGGCAACUCUUUAAAGAAUGGAAGCUCUUAUUAACUCAUGGAAGCCUUUACAAAUGCUUGGAAGCUCACUUGCUUGGUGCCUUGGCCAAAUGAGGCCCUCACCUAUUUAUAGGCACCAAUGGAACUCUCUGCAACCUUGGAGGGUUCCUUACAACUCAAGUAUAUUCUAGAAAGUCCUACAUCAUUCUAGGUACAAGCCUAUGUACAACGAUAUACAAGAGACUUCUGGAAUUCUCUAGAAAGCCUUGGACUCCUCUCAUGCCUUCCACCAUAGUGUAGAAUUGUGUGGAUUCCUCCAAGCUUCUCCACAACCUUCCACACUCUUCCCACUCUAGGAGUCUCCAUAAGCUUCCUAGCUCUAUGUAAGCCCAUGGGGAGGCUCAUUUGAAUCAGCUUGUGACAAUAAGCUUGACAUUGGCAGUCACUAAGGCAAGCCUUUUUGCAAUAUUGAUUAUCAUUCGUAUCUACUAAAAUAGAAGACUACGGUUUUUUGGCUUUCAUCAUUUUUAAGCGCAAGAACAUGUCUUCAAUGGAAUUCUUCUUGUAUUUGGGUGACUUUCUGGUACACCCACUUGAGAACUCUCCAAUUUUCCAACUAUUCGGCGAGAUUGGUUUGAACCCAGGCAAACAUUUUCACAUCAAAGCAUUCUUAGUGCUACAACUUCCAAAUUUCCCACAAGUAAUUGACACACUGCAUCGGUCUUUCGGUGCCCACCAGACUGGAGACGAUGUAUUCCAAUUCGCAUAGUAUUGAAUUUCCCCUAAAGAACUCAUUACCAACUGUUUUUCAACUGAUGAGUUGGGGAUAGAGCUAUGCCCUUUAUACACGUUCCUCUAGGAGAUUUUGGACAACAAGCUGCGUGUUGCUUCAGGCAUCUCAUCAAACGUUCCAUCCCAGUCCUCACUGUACCAAUGUACAUAUAAAAUUUGAGAUAUGAUAUACUGGUACUCUUUUUCUUGAUCUAGCUUGAAGGUAUAGUUUCCAGGUGUGGCGUCAAUGGGGCUUAACCAUGAGGUCAAUAUUAAGCUUUCAUUCAUCUUCAUACCAGGAAGAAAAAUAUCAGUGGGAUUACGGAAGCUCUCCCAAAUAAUCUCUUCAGAUCUAUUGCCACUCAAAACAAGGUUCCCAUAGUCCAUAAGCUUCACCAUCCUGUCUUUAGAUGAAGGUGUUUCAAUAUCAGUAGACCAGUGAACUGCUCCAUUAAUUUCGGCCAACACCUUCAGCUUACCAUCUUUUUUAAUGGCAAAAACUCCAAUGGAGGUACCAGAAAAGGGGUUCUCUCGGUUGGCUACCCACACAACUCUUGGUGGUUUAGACAUGUGAUGCCAUAUGCCCAUGAAUCUUCUAUUCUUGGAGCUUCCAUUUGGAUGAAAGAAGCCUAGUUCAAAAGUUUCACCGGAAGAGACAAGAGUUUCUCCAUUAGUAAGCCAAGUGUCUAGUGUGAUGGUGUGUCACGCCCCAAGACCCACUCCAAGGGCGUGACGGUCAUUUCACACCUCAAACCCGAAGGCUUAAAGUAUAAUCUGACCCAAACAGUCAUAUUGUAACUGGAUGUUACCAAUUACCAAAUACCUGCUCAGAGUAGCGGAAACAAAGUCUAAAAUCCUCAAAAUUCAAUUUCCAAAUAACUUCCAAAUACAAAAUGAUCCAAAAUAACAUAACUAAUAGUUAAACAAAAUCCAACAUAAAAUCCUAAGUCAAAUCCUAAUGAUGACCAUUCCUCAGCCUAGCCAUCACUCCUCACCCGAACUAAGAGUACCUGAAAAAUUUUCAACAAUUGGGAAUGAGCUCACAGCCCAAUAAGGAAUAUUAAUGCAGUUCAUGGAUCAAAUAUUUUCAUUUCAAAUAGGAGAUAUCAAAUUUUAUUUUAUUUUUUCAUCAAAUAUCAGAGUUUCAAAAAUGCCAAUAUAUUCAAAAUUCAACCAACCAAUUUCAUAUCAAAUUCAAACACUUUCCCAUCAAACUCAAUCAAAUCCAUUCAAUUUUUCAUUACUCUGGUUAUCAAAUAUCAAAUGCCCAGUUAGGUGGGACUUUUCAAAUGGGUGGCUGGCCUCAAAUUGUUCUUGGUGGACGGAACCAAACACUACUAGUACUAGUAACCUCUAACCAAACCCCUAGAGGUUGGGGUCCAAAUCAAUUACAUUCCCACCAUGAAAUGUAAAGGUCAACUAUUAUAUCCCGUUGACAGGGCCGAAUAGUCAACUAUUAUAUCCCGUUGACAAGGGCCAAAUAAACCAGAGUGAUGUUUUUUGUUCAAGUAUUCAAAUUUACACAACAUAAUAUCUCCAUAUUUUGUGUCAUAAAUAAAACAAAAUAUUCCAACAUAACAUUUAAUGCAAAACAAUUUGAUCCAUGCAUGGUAACAAAAUAUCAUUUUAUUUUCCACAAUUCAAAAUAACAUAUAAAAUAAUUUAAUUUUAUAAAUAUUACAUUAACUUCCCUUACCUCAAAAGAAGUCCUUGAAAGCUUGGGAGAAGAAUGAUUCUGAAAAAAAAUAUAAUCUACUCUUCACCUAAUAUAACAUAAGAGAAACAAUUAUUACUAUUUAUUUAUAAUUUAACUAAUCUAUUCCUUAUUUAAAUAAAACUAAUAAAUUCCCAAUUUGUUUCUAAUAACACAUUACUAAUUUAAUUAAAUUACAAUUUUAUGUCAUUAUAAAAUUCUAUAUAUAUAUAUAUAUUUUGCUAAAUCUAUUAUUACUAUUAUCUUAUUCAUUAAUCUAAAACUAAAUAUUAUUAUUUUAAUUAACCAAUUCAAAAGCCACUAGAUGUCUCGAGUACACCAAACCAAAAAGCAAGUUUUUUUUUUUUUUCCAUUACAUCAUCAUUCAUUAUAUAUAUAUAUAUAUAUAUAUAAAAGGCUUCCUUCCAUUUGGCACAUGCCUAUUUUUUUUUUUUUUCCUCCUUGCUUCUAGUAGCACAGUACACGUACGCCCCCCAUAUAUUUUUCUUUUUUUCUUCCUUCCUUCCUUCCAGUGCUGUGCACACGCGUUCUCCCUCUUUUUUUUUUUUUUUUUUUAAUUAACCCUAACCUAAAAUCGAAAUAUUCCAAGGAAUUUUAUUUUUUCUAAUAAAACUUAAGAUCUCCCAAAUUCCAAUGCUAAAAUCAAAAUAUUAAAUUUUCACUAUUUGAUAUUAAAACGAAUUAAAAAAUAAUCUAACCCUAAUCUAGAUUUGGGGUUUUCCAAAAAAAUAUAUCUAAUGUGUUUGAAAUUAAUCAAUGAAUCUAAAAUAUUAAACUAGGGGUUAGAAUCUUACCUAUAGAGAUCUGUUCUUCAACCCUGAAAUCUGACUCCAACCUUACGUUCUCUGGAAUUCUGCGAACAGGAACUAUAUUCAGAAAAGAAGGGAAAGAAUAAAAUUUCUAAUUUAUACCUAGGGUAUUUAUUCGUAAAAUUACUCUUUUACCCCUCUUCUUUUUUUUAUUAAAUUAAUUAAUUAACUAAUUUAAUUAUUAAUAAUAAUUUCCUAAAUUACCCUUAAAAGAAAAUGCUUGGGCGUUACAUGGUGUCUCUAGUAGAGCAACACAGAAAAUAACACAAUAAGAAAAAGAUGGUAGAUAACAUUGUGAAUUGCAGAGACUGAAACCCUGAAUUUUCUUGUCUUUUGCCUAUUGUUUUUGUUAAUCCGAGAAUCUCUUUAGUUUUGGUGCCACAAAUUCACUAUGGGAUAGCGUGCUACUUCUCUAGGUUGACCUUCUAUAUGUGGUGCCUAAAACAUUGGCCCCUUAGAUUAACUUUUUAAUUGUCUUAAACCAUUUUUACCGCAGGUCCAUACUCCGGGACAAGCCCCCACACCCCCAUCGGAUCAGUGGUGAUAGGCCCAAUCCCCCUGUUAGACCCUAAAAAAAAUCUCAUAGUUUUUUUUUCACCAUAUAUAUUGUAUUGCGAAAUUUUCAAGUCUGACAAAAUAAAAUUCGAGUCACGAAUCUUUAAUAGUUCUCAUCAAGAAAUGAGAUGGAAAUGUUUCAGCUAGUGAAAAUCUACAUCAAGAGGCUUUUUGGGAAGACAAAUAUAAAAAUACAUCUAAACAUCAUUAAACUUCAUGAUUCUAAUACACAUCAUGGGAUGAAUUCUCAAUCAUAUAUAGGUGAGUAUCACAUAUAUAUAUAUAUAUAUAUAUAUAUAUAUAUAUAUAUAUAUAUAUAUAUAUAUAUAGGUUUAACACACAAUGCUACAUAAUGUGGUGGAUAAAUAUGCAUGUCAAAUUGAUCAUAGUUGUAAAAUUGUUAGCUAGAAACUAAAAAUUUCUAAUCUGAUUCCUAAGUGCUUCUUUUUUUUUCUUUUUCUUUUUUUUAAAAAAAAACAAAAAAUGAUAAUAAUUUCUACAUAAAAUGUAAAAAUUAUCGUAAAAAAUUAAUAACAUUCAAUUUAGAAAAUUUUAAGAUAUUAUAUAAAACAAAUUCACCAUCUUAACAUUUAAAAGUAAUUUUUAAAGAUAUAAGAUAAGUUCAUAUUAUUUAUAUAAAAACUAUUUUAUAAUUUACAUAGAAAUUAUAUAUAUAUAUAUAUAUAUAUAUAUAUAUAUAUUGAAUUGGGUUAUUUCACAAUAUUGGAGCAUAGUUUACCUUAGGUGAUUAAAGAUGUGAUACAGUAUAGUUUUUAGGAUAGAUGUGAUAAUUUAUAAUUGAAGUUUUGAUAUGGGCUAAUUAGUAAUAUUAAACAAAGGAUAAUGUUUUUUCAUAUUCUUAGAUUUAAUUUUUGGUGAAAAUAAUUAAGAGUAAGUAUUUGAUAGUGAUUUUAAGAAAUGUUUUUAGUCUUUUUAAUACUUGAAAAAGAAAAUUUUUCAAGUGUUAGAAAAACCAAAAAUACCUUUUAGAAACAGUACUAAACAUAUUCUAAAUAUGUACUCAAUAAUCGAUUUAAUAAAUUCACGGGUGUCAAAAUAAAUAUGACAUCAAGAUAUGUUAAUAAAUUUUUUUUUUUUUUUGAAAAAUAAUUCAACAUAUUUAUUGAAUUCACAUUCAAGACAAGGUCGCCUGUAACAUAGGUGCAUGGCUGUCCAUUUAUUCCCAAUUGCCUUAGACAAACAUCCCCUUACUCUUAAGUCAUUUUGCUUUUUUUUUUUUGUGAUUGCAUGUUGAAAAUUUGAUUUUAACAUGAGUCCACUAGGAGUUCAGGACAUCUAUUAAUUAAUGGGGGCAGUUCUCGACCUCCAUGGCCUGCCUACUAAUUUUGGUGGGUUGCUCACAGGUGACGUCUGACUUAAAAUACGUCCAUCGCCCAACUUACUAUUCAUGGACAAACAAAAUAUUAGUAAUGUACCAAUCAUCUUGUAUAUGUAGUAACAUUUUCAAAUUUUUAAUCUAAACCUUGGUGUAAAUAAUUAAAUUUAAAUAAAUUAAUUAAAAUGUAUAUUUAAUUUUUUUUUCACCCGCAAUUGAAGGCCGGUGGAGUGGUGAAAUCUUGGAAAUGGAAGCCAACCAUGCAGCAAAUAAAGUGACCCAAAGUCCAAGACCACGUUUAGAGCAUUUGUCCAUUUUUACUUGUUUUCAACGGCUUCUAGUCUUGAAGUUGAAAUCUGCGGUUUCAUAAACGGUAUUCUGAAUUUUCUCUCUUGCGUUCUGUUUUUCACAUUUUCCAGGAAAUGGGACCUAUUUGUUUGGCUAUCAACAAUGAGUUUCGUGUCAGAAUCUGUAAAAGAACUAGAACUUGCAGAGAAAAAAUAAAUAAUUUGAGAGUUACGAAUUGAAGGAAGGCACACAUCUAUUUCACAAAUGAGAAUGCCUAUUUAUAGGCUUACAACCAAACGAAAAUUGCAAAAAAAAUCUUAGCUAUUUUCAAAUUUUAUUGGCAUUACUUCUAUUAACUGAAAAUAGAAAAUUAUGGAGUAAGAAUCUGAUAUGAAACAAUAACAAAGACUAAGUCUAACUAAGACUUUUUCAAACUUCAAAGGCAAACUCUCAUGAGUUCUAACACUCCUCCUUGAGAUUUGCCUUGGACAUGCCAAGCUUCAACCUUAGAAACUCCAGCCUUGAUUUAGGAAGUGCCUUAGUCAUUAUGUCAGCAAGUUGCACAUCAGUUGAGCAAUAAUGCAACUUGACAAGUGAAUUCUUUUUAGCUUCCCUUAUAGAAUGAAAUUUUACAUUUAUGUGUUUGGUCUUGCCAUAUUAGACAGAAUUUUGAGCAAUGGCAAUGGUUGACUUGUUGUCACAGUAAAGCUCUGUUGGUGAGCUUUAUUCCUAGCCUAGAUCAGCAAGCAAUUUCCUUAACCAUAUCCCUUGAUUUGCAACAGCUGCUAAGGAGAUAUACUCAGCUUCUGCAGUUGAUUGUGCCACUACUUCUUGUUUUCUUAAAUUCCAGCAAAUGACACCUGAACCGAUUGUAAAUACAUAACCUGAAAUGUUCUUCAUGUCAUCAACACUUCCUGCCCAAUCACUAUCAACAUAGCCAUCUAGCUUAACUCCUCCUGUCUUUAAAUACCAAAUGCCAAGAUUUGUUGUACCUCUAACAUACUUCAGCACCCUUUUUGCAACUCCCAUGUGAACAUUGCUAGGUGAACUCAUGAAUCUUGAAAGUAAACCAGCUAGAAACAUCAAGUCAGGUCUGGUUGCUAUCAAGUAUAGUAGGUUGCCUACCAAGCUUCUAUAUGCAGAGGGUUCCUUAAGUUUCUCACCAUCAUUCUUUGAAAUUUUCUCAUUUUGUGCCAUUCCAAGGAAGUAGUUCAUGAUGCCAAGGUCAGACAUCUCAAAUACAUCUUGCAUUUCCAUUUUGAACUCAGCCAGCAAUCGUACAUUACUUCCAGUCACUAGCAUGGCAUCAACAUAAAGUGACACUACCAAUUGCAAACCAUUCUCAUUUUGUUUCAAAUACAAAGUAGCUUCAUUUUCACUCCUCCUAAAUCUAAGUUGGAUCAGGUGAGAGUCAAUUCUGAUAUACCAGGCCCUUGGUGCUUGUUCCAAACCAUAAAGAGCCUUUUGCAACUUGUACACUUUGUGUUCAUGCCUAGUAACCUCAAAGCCUUCUGGUUGUUGAACAUAAAUUUCUUCAAGAAGUAUGUCAUUUAGAAAAGCUAACUUGACAUCUAAAUGGUACANNNNNNNNNNNNNNNNNNNNNNNNNNNNNNNNNNNNNNNNNNNNNNNNNNNNNNNNNNNNNNNNNNNNNNNNNNNNNNNNNNNNNNNNNNNNNNNNNNNNAGCCUUGUGCUUGAAGAUUAAACCAUCUGAAUUGAAUUUGGUUCUGAAAACCCAUUUUACACCAAUUGUCUUCUUAGCUUCAAGUAAUUCUGUCAACUUCCAAGUUCUAUUUCUUUCAAUAACAUCAAUUUCAGCUUUCAUAACCUCAAUCCAUUCUAGAAAUCUUGCAACUUCUAUGUAACAUGUAUGCUCAACAUGUACAAGAUUGCACCUCUCAUACACAUUAGAUAAUGGCCUUACCUUAAGCACUGGUAUGUCUAAAGUUGCUUCAACAUCAAGUGGAUCUUCUGCUGGUUCAAGAAUAGAUGGAGUGGUUUGAUCACAUUUAUGGACUUUCUUCAAGUCCCAAUUCCAGUAGGAAUUUUCAUCAAAGUGCACAUCUCUACUUAUCACAAUUUUCAUUCUACUCAAGCUAUAAAUUCUGUAACCUUUUGAUUCUGCUGCAUACCCAACAAAAACACCCUUCUCAGCUCUUUCAUCAAGCUUACCUCUCUUGAUAGAUGGCACAUGAAGGUAACACAAUGAAUUAAACACUUUUAGGUGCUUGACAGAUGGUUUUACACUAGACCAUGCCUAUAUUGGUGUUUUGCUCUUAACAGACUUAGUCGGUAGUCUGUUAAGCAAAUAUACUGAGGUGCUAACUACUUCAGCCCAUAGAAGCUUUGGUAGCUUCUUCUCGAGUAGCAUGCACCUCGCCAUCUCCAUUACCGUUCUGUUCUUCCUCUCAGAGACUCCAUUCUACUGCGAUGAGUAUGGAGCUGUCAGUUGGUGUACAAUUCCAACUUCUAGACAAAAAACAUUGAACUCUUUUGAGGUAUAUUCACCUCCAUUAUCAGUUCUGAGCACCUUAACCUUUUGGCCACUUUGAGUUUCAACCAUUUUCUUGAAGCUUUUGAACACAGAGAGCACUUGUGAUUUGGUUUUUAGAAAAUAAACCCAAGUCAUUCUAUUGAAAUCAUCAAUAAAUAGUGCAAAAUAAACAUUGUUGCUCAAUGAGGCUAUGCUCAUUGGUCCACAAAUAUCUGAAUGAACUAAUUCCAUCUUGUGAGUAGCUCUCUUGGACAUAUUUUGAGGAAAUGAUUUGCGAUGCUGCUUCCCUAGCUCACAACUUUCACAAGUUUGAUCAUUAACUGUGAUUUCAGGCAUGUCUUCAACCAUACUUCUUGCAUGAACUUCAAUGACUUCAAGUUGAAAUGACCAUAUCUUUUGUGCCAAACAGCAUUCUCAUCAAUCUUGGCACUAAAGACAUGACCUUCAACUAAAUCAAGCUUCAAAUAAAAGUUAUUUCCAUUCAUUUUAAUUUUUGCUAUCUCUGUUCCAUGUACAUCAGUGAUAAAACAAAAAUUUUCUUUAAAAGAGACUGCAUAUCCAUUUCUUAGCAUUUGUGUAACACUAAGAAUAUUUUGAUCUAGUUUUGGAAUGUAAAGAACAUUAGUGACAAUUUUUGUACCUCUCUUGGUGCUGAUAGCAAUUGUCCAUUUUCCUUUGGCCUGCACAACUUCACCAUUUCCCAACUUGACCGUUGCUUGAAUUGAUUUAUCAAUGGAGGUAAAAAUUGAUAGAUGUUUGGUCAUGUGACUGGUGCAGCCAUUGUCAAUGAGCCAAGUAUUCAGUUCAUGAGAACUGAGUACUUGUGAUGCCAUAAAUAAAUGCUUAUCAUCUUUUUUGUCUUCUUCAAUCACAUUUGCAUGUUGUUGUGUUUGCUGUUGAGAUUGUUUUUUCUUGGCUCUACAAUACUUCUCACUGUGGCCACAUUUAUUACAGAAAUUACAAUUAAAAAGGGAUUUACCUUUGUACCAACAAUCUUUCUCAACAUGGUUGGUUCUGCUGCAAUNNNNNNNNNNNNNNNNNNNNNNNNNNNNNNNNNNNNNNNNNNNNNNNNNNNNNNNNNNNNNNNNNNNNNNUCAAAAAGCACCUUCAGUAGCUUCAACACCUUUCAUUAAGACCCUUUGCUCCUGCGCAUGAAGCUUGCUGGUUAAUUCUGCAAUUGUGAGACUUUGCAAGUCACAAGACUCUUCAAUUGUAGAGAUCUUGGCUUCAAACUUUUAAGGCACUGAAACCAUGAUCUUUUCUACCACCUUUUGAUCUGUAAAUGCCUCACCAAGAAGCCUCAUUUGGUUUACAACAUCCAUUAACUUGCUAGAAUAAUCUUUCACAGAUUCAUUGUCUUUCAUCUUCAUCAAUUCAAACUCUCUCUUCAAUGUGAGGAGCCUGACAUUUUUUACUGUCACUACCAUCAAAUUCACCUUGGAGUUUGUCUCAUACCAGUUUAGGUGUUUCCAAGUCCAUGAUUUUGGUGAAGAUGUGGUCUACAAGUCCUGAAUGUAGGCAGGUGAUGGCUUUGUCUUUCUUAAGUUUUUCCUCCUCAUAUGCUUUCAUCUGAGCAACUGUAGGAUUUGCUCCCAAUGGUGGUGGAUCAGCUUCAAACAUCACAACAUUCCACAAACCUUGAGACCUUAAGUAAAACCUCAUCUUGUCAACCCAAAUGUGAUAGUGUUCACCAUUAAACACUGGAAUAACAGAGGAAGUACUGCUGGAAGUAGACAUGUUUGCACCACAACUGCCUGAAAAAAAAUAAAUCACUCAACCUCACUGUGUUUAGCACUCAAAACACUCAAAGAAACUUUGCCUCACAACUCGUAGGAACAAGGCUCUGAUACCACUGUCAGAAUCUGUAAAAUAACUAGAAUUUGCAGAGAAAAAAUAAAUAAUUUGAGAGUUAAGAAUUGAAGGAAGGCACACAUCUAUUUCACAAAUGAGAAUGCCUAUUUAUAGGCUUACAACCAGACAGAAAUUGCAAAAAAAUCUCAGCUACUUUCACAUUUUAUUGGCACUACUUCUACUAACUGAAAACAGAAAAUUAUGGAGCAAGAAUUUGAAACAAUAACAAAGACUAAGUCUAACUAAGACUUUUUCAAACUUUAGAGGCAAAUUCUCAUGAGUUCUAACAUGGCAUAUGGGUUUUGGGUUUUUCAAUUGAGGGAAGCCUAUCAUAGCAUUUAAAAAUGGAUCCCCAUAGUGGCCAACACCAUAGGAUGAUAAUUCAUCAUGGUUCUUAAUCAUGAUCUUUAUUAAAUAGAUCAAACCCAAGUACGAUACAGAUAAUAAUCGGAUUAGAAAAACAUAAAUUCAUCUAAUUAUUUAAUAAACAAUAAGUCGUAUAAUUCAUUUAAUUAAUCUAAUAAUCAUACAGAAUUAGGUCUUAUACAAAUCUACACGAUUAAUUUCUUAAUCUAAUAUGUUUAUAAUUCAAUUAAUUUAUUUAUUUAAAAUCAAUUUUUAAAUAAAUCAAAUAUAAGUUAAAUGAGUUAGGGUUAAUCAUAUUAAUCAGUAUGAUUAUCAAGUUGGUCAAUUAGGAUCAAAAUUGUGUUUGACUAAUUUAUUUAAAAAUAACUUAUUUAUUAAAUGAGUUAUACAUAUUAACAUAAAUUUAAUCCUUAAACCCACAAAAAAUAAAUUGAAUUUGAGUCAUGUUAACGAAAUAUAUUACACUUUUGACACUCGUAGUCUACGUAAAGAAAAGAUGUUGCAUCUUGCCAUUAGCUAAGCUUAGAGCAUCCAACAACUGACUAUAAGGGUCCAUAUCUUAGGCUAAAUUGAAUGAAAGCAUUAUAUUAUACAAAACCCCCUAUGCUGAUGAUGGUGCAAACACCAAAUUUGAUUUCCCAAAGUUGUAUAAUAAUGUAUUAGUUGUGUCUGUUGUGCGGAAGUUAGGUACAACUUAGUGACAAGUGUGUAUGGGGCUUGGAAUCUAGUGAGAAUCCAUUGGAUAGGAGUACAAAAUGUCGGCCAUGAGCAUGAUCUAGCCAUCCACAUUUCUCUGUGUCAGAGGGGUCAGGACCAUGGAAGAAAAUAUCAAAAUGAUAUAGUAUUGGAGGUUAUAAAAACGAUAUUUGAUGAAAAAAAUAUUAUUCUGACAAAAUUAUUUUAAGGAGUAUCGAUAUAUUUGUGAUUACUGAUAUUUUCAUCUUUGGUCAAAUUAGUUUUUGAAUUCACCCAUGCAUGACAUUUGAGAUUCAGCUUAAAAGUUGGAUCAACCCACCUGAUCACCUAAGCUUAUAGAAUAGUUACAAUGAAAAAAAUAUAGUUAUAUGACAUGGAAACACUUGAGUCUUCAUUGAUUUCCUUUUCAGAUUGAAAACUAUUAGAAAAAUUGAUUCAAUUGUCAUGAAAUUGGUAUCCACAAAACCAAAGAAACACCCUAAAACUAGUCCAAAAUCUUAUCUAACCCACAUAAAUUACAGAAAAUUAUCUUAACAGCAACCAAAUUCCUAAGUCUUUGCACAAAAUCCUAUCCAAGAGAGAUCUUUUAGAUUUCUUAUCCACUCUGGAUUGACUGGUAGAGACUUUUAAACCAAGGUUGUGCCACAAGCUCAUGAACAAAUAAAAUUGGACAAAGAAUUGAAUGAGUGGAUAAACAUCAUUGUCAAUGUUUCUACUUGAGCGAGAAAUACGUUAGAUUUCUACACUUCUAAAUAGUUGCCUUGAGUGAUUCCUUGGUCCCACAGUAUUUGCUUCCCCCUUUCCUCGUGGUUUGGGAAAAGGACAUCCACACGGUUUGGUGUAGGAACCACCCUUUCCUUUGCUAUCCAUGAUUAUUUUUCUUCCCAAUAAUAAGGAAAACAUUCAUCAAGGCCCCAUGUGAAAACUAUUAUUGGUGACUGUAGGAAUAGAGCUAUUCAAUUUUUCCAAUAUACAGGACAUUGGAUGGAUACUGAUAACAAAAAAGAAUUACAUUAAAAUGUAUAAGCGAUGUAUUAUAAUUCAUUUUCUCAUCUAUUUUCAUGUUUUGAUUAUUUUAACGAGAUGGGAUGAAAUUAAAUAUGAUUUUAACAGAAGUGAAACUUGUCUCGUAAAUAGGAUUCCAUGUUGAUUUCAACAGAAGUACGUGGAAGGAUAUCGUAGUUAAUUUAUUUAUUUUUUCAUUUUCAUUUCUAUUAUUUUUAAAUAUUGAAAUAACAACAAAUACUCAUUUCAAAUUUAUAUUCCUAGAUGCAUACAAAUAUAAGAACUGAAGCACCAAAUUCACUCCUAUUCUAAGAGGAAUAAGAACAUUGAUUUUCAUUCCCUACAAUCAAGUACCGAACAUGGCCUAAAACGUAAGGGUUCAUGGGAGAUCCUUCUCGCCUAUCGACCUUCUUCUAUGGUGGCUAGGAACUCACUAUUCAAGGAUGCUUCUGGUUUGCUUGAAGAAGAAGCUGAGCUGGAAAGGUCUCUCCUUACGACAAAAGCUGGUUGUUUAGGAACUGGGAGUGUGGCAGUGUCACUGCUGAGCAUUACAACUGCAACUGCCAUGGUGGGACGGUCACUUGGGUCUUCUUGCACACACAACAGCCCAACAUUCACGCACCUCAGAAAUUCAUUUGUUUUACAUGUUUCACUUAGUGUCUGGUCCAUCAACUCCAACACCCUGUCUUCCUUCCACAGCUUCCAUGCCUGGGAAAGUUUGGACGUACAAGGGUUUCAUGGCAUAUAUAUAGAAUGUCCAAAGGAUCAAUGCAAAUGAGAAAUUCAAAGCACUUACAUGGGCUAGAAGGCUCAGAUUCCGGUCAGACUGAUAAGAUCUGGUGUUCCUCUUCCCGCUGAUGAUCUCAAGUACCACAACACCAAAGCUAAAGACAUCAGACUUUUCUGAGAAAAACCCAUCCAAUNNNNNNNNNNNNNNNNNNNNNNNNNNNNNNNNNNNNNNNNNNNNNNNNNNNNNNNNNNNNNNNNNNNNNNNNNNNNNNNNNNNNNNNNNNNNNNNNNNNNGGAGACAUGUAGCCACUGCAUUGAACCAGUUAAAAACACUACUCAGUUAAUUGGGGAUGCAAUCAUGCAACUACUUGCAUUUUACCAUACACAAUAUGCAGUACUUACUAAGUUCCAACUACUCUGUUUGUGCUUGCUUCUACUUGCUUACUCUCAAAAAUCCUUGCCAAGCCAAAGUCUGAAAUUUUGGGAUUCAUCUCGUCAUCAAGUAGAAUGUUGCUUGUUUUCAAGUCUCUAUGGAUAAUCUUCAAUCUUGAAUCUUGGUGAAGAUAAAGUAGCCCUCGAGCAAUUCCCAAAAUGAUAUCAAAUCGCUUCUCCCAGUUCAGUAACAGGCAUAGAGUUUGAUCUUGCAAUGUUCCCAUUGGAAAGCACGACUUCAGCAUGUACACGUUGUAAUAUGGGAGAAAAAAAAAAGGAACUUUUAGGCAGGUUAGAGGCAAACCAAAUAUGAAGGAGUCUAAGCUUUUGUUGGGCAUGUAUUCAUAGAGUAAAAUCUUCUCAUCUCCUUCAAUACAAUAGCCCAAAAGUCUAACCAAAUUUCGAUGCUGAAGUUUGGCAAUUAACACAACCUCGUUCUUAAAUUCCUGUAAGCCUUGUCCCGAAGCUCUUGAGAGUCUCUUUACUGCAAUUUCUCGCCCUUCAGGAAACUUUCCCUAGAUGCCAUAGCGCAUGGUAUUAGACAGACAAACCAGAAACCUUGAAAUGAGACUAAUGUGGAAAUUAAGGACUAUUACUUUGUAAACUGGCCCAAAGCCCCCCUGUCCAAGCUUAUUUGCAUCUGAAAAGUGAUCUGUAGCAGCCAGUAUGUCUUCUAAGUCGAAAAAUGGUACGUCAAUGCCUUUCUUAUCAUCUUCUUUGAAUUGCUCAGAGUCUAUUAAGUCUUUCACACGGCUCUCGCUAUGAUACAAGUGAAGCCCUGGAUUUGUUCUGUUUUCUGAAUUCAGAAACAAGACUACAUUAUGAAGAAGUCCCCUAAAAAUAUUAUCAAUUCUGCCAAUCAACACGAAACAAAAAAAGACCAGAAGUUAAAUGGUGGCGCAAAUAGCACAAAGAUUACCUUGCCCUUUGGAGAUGGUUCUUUUUCGAAAAUAAGCAAUACAACCAAUGAUGCAUAGAAGUGCAACUACUACAACAGCAGUUACUAUGCCUACCACAACUACCAGAGCCGAGGAUGAUGAUGAUGACUUCUGGUUUGCAGGUGUUGGAGCCUCCGCAAGAUUGCCACCAUCUGAAACAAAGAAAGACCACUCUCAUUCAUGGAGAAGGCAGCGCAUCUGCCAUUACUAAUCACUGUGUCUUUCAAUGCAAUUUAGCAAUAUGCUUGCUGAAAAUCAUCCUCACCUUGUGUACAAUUUAAACUGGAGCUGUUCCAUUUGAAGUUUUGAUUACAAAAACACCUCGUUCUAUUUUGCGUUCUGCAACUCGAAUUUGGCCAGUCCUUGCAGUCUGUUGCUGAGUUACAAACCGGCUCUGGUGGUGGAUCCCAACUUAUUUCAAUUUCAUACUGACCUUUCAUAGGCAUGCUGGAGCUAGAUUUUCCUGUGUCAGCAUUGCACCAGCUAGCUAUCCUGAAAGGUGGAUUGAGCUGCAGUAUCUUCGUGUCUUGUGAAUUUCGUGCUUCGCAGUUAUCAAUAUCAUUCACUUGGAUGAGAAACUUCGAUCUCUCUGGAGUGAUGCUGGUUACUCGGUAGCUGCCAUUAGGUAAGGCGAACCAGACUUGGUCUGUGGCCUUGUCACAUCUGAAACUGAAGUACAUGGGAUCACCACAGUUUGGUCCAGUGCUUAGUGGAUAGGGGAUCAAGUUUGUGCCACAAGUUUCACAAUUUCUUACUGUUGAUUCUGCAGAAUUAGAAUGAAUUUCAUGCUUUUCCUCGUUAACAAUCAAUUAAAUUCAGAAGUAGAAGGGGGCAAGCAGAGAGGAUACCUAUAUCUGAUUUGGCCACACGGAGAGAAAGAUUAUAGCCAUCUGUGUUAUACUCCUGAAGACUACCGAGAUCUUCAGACCAAAUCCAGCACUUGGGAGGGGUGCUAGCACGGCCCCUUCGUAUCUUUCCAACUCCAGCAUAAGCUUGACAGCGACAGGUCUUAAGGCACUCUCUUCUGCAUUCACUUUCAUCCUUACCCAAAAACUCAAUGUCAUACUUUCUUACUUUAAUCAUCUUCAAGAUCAAGAAUGUGUCCCCACAGAGGGUUGUCUUUUUAGAACACCCACCUGAAAAAUCUCCAUUAGUCCAUCUCUCCAGCGAGUUAGGCUCGAAUCCAGGCAAACAUUUGCACAUAAAUGCAUUGUUAACAUUGCAAGAACCGAAAUUCCCACAAGCAUUCAACACACUGCAUCGGUCUUGCGGCGCCCACCAGAAUGCAGACCACUCCUCCGUAUAAUUAUCCCAAACUAGAUAUCUUAUUUCCCCGGUGAAAUUCAUCACCAACCGUGUAUAAGAACUGCGGACAAAUUGAGACCCAGUUGGUUUUUGUGUCUUGCUAAAAUUGGAUAAGAGCUCGGCUGCUGCAGAACUCAUUCCUUCUGAUUCCUCACUUCUCCAAUAUUUAACAAUUGAAUCUUCAAAUAUGAUAUACUGAUCUUUAUCAUCAUCUUUCUUGAAAGUAUAGUUUCCAGGUGCAGGGUCAACGGGGCUGACCCAUGAAGUCAAUGUUAAGUUUCCCUCCAUAAUCAUCCCAGGAAGAAAAGUAUCAGUUGGGUUCUUGAAACUCUCCCAAAGAAUCUUCCCAGAUCUGUUGUCGCUUAAAACAAAGUUCCCAGAAUCCAUGACCUUGGCCACCCUACCCAUAGAAGACGAGCUUCCAAGAUCAGUAAACCAGUAAGCUGCUCCACUUUCAUUCACUAGCUUGAGGUUACCGUCAUCUGCAAUGACAAGAGCUCCAACACUGUCGUCAGGAAGGGGGUUGUCUCUAUUGGCUACCCAUACAACUGUUCUCUCCUUCAACCCGUAGUACCAUAUGCCAAUGUAUUUUCCAUUGUUGAACCCUCCCUUGGGAAUAAAGAAGCCCAAUUCAAAAGUUUGAUUGGCUGAAACAAGAGUUCCUCUACCAUCAUCAAAAAGCAAAUUGUUUGGUGUGAUGGUAUCUCUAGCAGAGCAGCACAGGAUAGAACACAAGAAGAAAAAGAUUGCAGCAGCAUAUGAGUUGCAGAGUCUCUUAACCGCAAUUUCUCGUCCCUCUGGAAACUUGCCCUGGAAGCCACAGUGCAUAUGCAUUGGGCAUAUGUUAGAACUUGGUGACUUGAAUUCUAUUUGGUUCGACUCGAGAAGCUCACGACGCGAUAUAGGUAGUAAAGCUAAAAUUAUGAAUUUUUUUUGGGUCUGUAGUAGUAACAGAGGGAUCGGACCUAUUACUCUUUCAUGUAUAUAUAUGCAUGCAAUGAUGUAUAGUUUUCAGGAUUAUGAUGAUUAUGUUUUUGCUAUAGUCGUUUGUAUCUCAUUCCUCUUGUACUAAUUUUUGACAUAGUAAAAUUUCUUCUCCUCGUGGUCUUUCCUAUCUAGGGUUUUCCACACAAAUCUAUGUGUUCUUAUCCUGUUUUAUUUCUUAUUGCAUAUUCUCAUUUUUUUUGUAACAGCAUAGAUGAUGAGAAAUCAGUUGAAAAUGAGAGGAACAUGGAAGUUAAGAACAAUUACCUUGUAAACUGGCCCAAAACCUCCUUGUCCAAGCUUAUUUGCAUCUAAAAAGUUAUCUGUAGCAGCCAGUAUGUCUUCUAAGUCAAAAAACGGUACAUCAAUGCCUUUCUUAUCCUCUUCUUUGAAUUGCUCUGAGUCUAUUAAGUGUUUCACACGACUCUCACUAUCAUAUAAGUGAAGCACUUGAUUUGCUCUGUUCUCUGAACUCAAAAAAAAAAACAGAAAAUAUUGUAUAGAAGACCCUGAAAUAUUCUCAAUUCAGCCAAGCACAAGUCGAAAAGAAAAGACCAGAAGUUAUAGGCUAGUGCAUAUGGCACAAAGAUUACCUUUCCUUUUGGUGAUGGUUCUUUUGCGCAAACAAGCAAUAUAACCAAUGAUGCCUAAAACCGCAACUAGAACAACAGCAACUGUUAUGCCUACCACAACCACUGGAGAUGACGACGAUGACUUCUGAUCAGCAGGCUUUGUAGGCUCUGCAGGAUUGACACCUGAAACAAAGAAGGAACUGAAUUGAACUUCUCUCACCUACCCAGAAGGCAAAUUUAGUAAGAUACUUGGUGAACAGAAUCCUCACCUUGUGUACAAUUUAAACUUGAGCUAUUCCAUUUGAAGUUUUCAUUGCAAAAGCACCUUCUCGUUCCAUCUCGCGUUCCGCAGGUUGAAUUUGGCCAGUCCUUGCAAUCUGCUGAUGAGGUACACACCGGCUCCAAUGGUGGAUCCCAACUGAUCUCUACUUCAAUACUAUUUUUCAAUGACAUCUCAGAGCCAAAAUUGUCAGUUCCAACCUCUUUGCACACAUCAGUCAAGUGAAAAGGCGGGUUUAGUGGCGGAAUCAGACUUCGUGAACUGCAAUCUGCCUCUUUCAGUUGGAUUACAAAUGUUAAUGUCUCUGGGUUAAUGCUAGUUACUCGGUAGGCACCACCAGGUACCUUGAACUGAACCUGGCCUGUGGUAUUGUUACAUUCAAAAUUGAAGUACGUUGAAUCACCACACUUUGAUCCAGUGCUUAGAGGAUAAGGAAUCAUGUUUGAGCCACAAGUUUCACAAUUCCUU